ACUCCAGGUUAGAAAAUGCUUUUAUUCAAUUCUCGCUUGCACCUAUUCCCAGGUAAAUUACGCUCUCGUUGGUCUGGCCCAUUUAUUGUACAUACUAUUUUUCCACAUGGGGCAAUUGAAAUUAAGGACCCAAAGAACGGUGUCAUGUUUAAAGUUAAUGGUCAAAGAUUAAAGCCAUAUCUAGAAUACCAACCAUAUGGAGAAGACAUCGAAAUAAAUUUGAGUGACCCACCAAAUUUGAAUUGAUUUUUUUUUCUUCGGUGAUUUGAUUUUUUCUUUCUUUCUUUCUUUAUAUUAUUCUUUUCCUAAUUGAAAUUAUUUUUGCAUAAGUGUGUUUGUUUAACUAUUAAGUUUUCUCUUAUCAUUUUUAAUCAUGAGUACCUUACUUAGACCGUUCCUCCUAAACAUUCUUAAACCACUUCAACGUGUCAAAACUCAUCUCAAAAGGCAGAUUCAAUUUUGUAAAACACAUCGCAUUUGGGCUCUACAACCACCAGAGUUAGUCUCCUAUGUUGAGGGUCUAGAAAGCCAACUCAGAGAUAUUGAGAGAAGUGUUUACGAUAUCCAGUUGGAGCUUGAGGUGAAUUCAAUAAGAGGACGAUUUUAAUUUUCUUUGUGUGUUUUAAUUUGUUUUUCUGUUUGUGUGCUUUAGUUUGUUACCCCGGUGAAGUGGCGGAUAACGGUACUCCGUGACAAUCAAGUCGGUUAUUUCAGUUUCCCAUAAUAACUGAUAUUCUGAGGCGAAGGUAUGGACAGAAACGAGAUUCUAGCGAAGCUUCACAAGCGAUUCCCUUCACUUCCUCAGAAUGCCCUCCUUACGAUCUAUAAAGCUCGGUUCGAACGCAUGCGAUUACUCAUGAGGAAUAACAUACCUGCUGACAUCCGUUGGUUAAGCGAGGCUAAAGUACGAUCGGCAGGUGAGUUACCUCCAAAAUUUAUUGCAUACAUGCCUGGUUGUGGUAAAGGAAAUUAUGCAAGAAAACGACGAGCUCGAAGAAUUUCGGUUGCUUGUCAUAAGUGUGCCAGAAUGAGUUGCAAUAAAAACCCAUGUUCUUUAGGAAUGGUGUCUGAUAACAGGGAAGAUAAGAUUCAAUUCAUUAGGGAUGGCUUGAAUAAGGAGUCAUUGGAUGAUAUCCUUUUGUCUCUUGAAACGCAUCCCAGUGGAUAUGUGCAAGGAGCGAUUCUCCAGUUAUGGCCAUUAUUCCAAAAAGAGCAUGCACGAUAUAGUCUCGGGAAUCUGACUAUAAAUGACCCUAUUUGCCAAUUUAUAAGAAAACUGGAUGGGAAUCCUAUCCUCGACCCAUAGAGGGCGUUCAAGCCGUUUCUGGACGUAAAACCAGAGGAAGAUGUGAGCCACAGUCGUAACUACUUGUAAAUAUCCUUUCACUUGACUGUUAUUUUAUUUCACUAUUGUUUUAUUGUGUGCAUUAUUGUCUUUAAUAAUUUUAUUACUGUUUGCUUUUUCCUUUUUACUGUUUUCUUUUUUACUCGCGAGCCACGUGCUUUACGCGUUAUUUGACACUGACAUGUUACCUCAUACACAACUAUGAUCCACUGUCACCAAGAUUCUUAAAUGUGAUUUCUUUUUUGCCAAGCACUCACAAAUUAUUUUUGAGAAGUAUCACAAUGACAGCUACUCCAAAUAGACAAUUCAAGAACAUUUGUAUGCUUUCUAGAUUUACAUAUGGCAAACAUAAAAAGUUCGUUGAGGCAGCCAUCGAUCUUGGUCAAAGUAUAGCAGAGAGAAAAUUACACUUGGUGUAUGGAGGAGGUAACCGAGGGUUAUCAAAAAUGGUCUCAGAAGCAGCUUUUAUCAAAGGCAGCCAAAUGUUAGGCAUCAUCCCAAGAGUUCUAAAACCAUUGGGCAGUUCGUCUGACUCAUCAACUGGAGAAGGUUAGUCGUCUCAGGUAUGCAAGAAAGAAUAACUGAAAUGCUUAAUCAUGCUGAUGCUUUUAUUUUCCUUCCAGGAGAUCUUGCAACACUAGAGGCACUUAUCACGCUAGCAUCUUGGGCCCAUCUGCACAUCCACCAGAAACUCAUCGGUUUGUCAAAUGUCAAUAACUUUUAUGAUGGCUUUAUCGCAUUUCUUAACCAUGCAAUAAAAAACUAUUUCAUUCCUUCUAAUGUGAAAAGACUUUUUAUUUGUGCUCACACUGCUAAUGAGCUACUUGAUCUGUUACAAGCUUAUAAACCGGAGCCAGACCCCUGGACCUUUGUGUUGGAGCGCCCAAAUAAUGAUGGUAACAGUAGCCACAGUAAGAAGUACAAAUUAGAUUUAACUCUUCGCUUGUAAAUAUUUUCUUUUGUGUUGCACCACCCAGGCGAUGUCUUCUAAACUCUACUUCUUUCCUUUCAAACAUUGAGGACAAUGUUUCGUUCUGGUUGGGGGGAGGGAAUAGUCGACAAUUGUAGAAUUUUGGUUAAGUUUUUACUAAUUUUUUUGUUGUAGAAACUAACUGUUGCUAACUUUUUGUGUUGAAAAUGGCUGAAUAUGGAGGGUAGUGACUCUAGAAACGCAUCUUCAUCGUUUUAAAAAAAAAAUUAAAAAAAAAAUUAUUUUUCUUUAUUAAGUUUUGAUGUUCAUUUUUCUUCUUCUUUUUAAUUUCUCCUCUAUAAAUAUACAUUUUCCAACUUUUGAGUCGAAGAUAGCUGAAUAUGGAGUGUAGUUCCUCUAGAAACACAUCUUUUUUUUAAAAAAAAAAAACCAUUUUCGUUUUCUAUCAUUUUAUGUGUAACUUUUCUAAUUAGUUUUUAUGCAUCAUUUUCACAUUUUUGCAUACAUAUUUUCCUUUCAUGCUUAGAAUAGAUUGGGGGGUAAAAUGUUGUUUAAAAAUAAAAAAUUUGUGUGAUUUGUUUUAAUAUUGGAUGACAUGAUUAAUUUCAAAUUUUAGUAUUUGUAUUAUCUUUGGUCUUAAGUGAUGUUACGUUAUGUUUGCUACUCUACAUGUUGAUGUCGGAGACAAAUGUGAGUUGCUUGAAGGAAUGAACAUGUCAUAAUAAGUACCAAGUGAGUUUUUGAGCCUAUUAUUUUUCUUGGAGAAUAACCAUUUUGCCCACUCUUUAUACAGCUUAGCAUUUUAUUAUUUUACACACGAUCUCUAAAUUGCUUUUGNNNNNNNNNNNNNNNNNNNNNNNNNNNNNNNNNNNNNNNNNNNNNNNNNNNNNNNNNNNNNNNNNNNNNNNNNNNNNNNNNNNNNNNNNNNNNNNNNNNNCACUUCUUUAUUAUUUUCUCUCUCAAUUACUAUUCAUUCGAGUGACUAUUUUUAUUGGUUUUAAUUUCUUUGUGAGAGUGUCACUACUUCCAGUGAGAUUUUGGGGUUUGACAUGUCAUUAUUGAAAGUAGCUAUAACAAGGUCUACUGGGCUGAUUCAUGUGGAUGGUUGAUGUGGGUGUGAUGUUGCUUUAGACUGGAGAUAAUGCUUAUACUUUUAUUUGAUUGCUAUCAUUAAUCUGAUUGAAUAAACACGAGUGUUUCUAAAUUAAAAAAAAAAUCAUUUUGAAUUUGAAUUUUGUUUUCGCUUCAUUUGCUAGGGACUAGCAAUAAGCUGGGUGGGGGGUGUGUUGAGUGUUAGAAAAUGCAUAUUUAUAAAGGAGAAAACCGUCAUUUUACAUUUCAAGUCUUACUAACACCUUACUUUUAUGAAUUUAACCUUCUUUUGAUUUAAUUCCGUUUGUUUUAUCUUAAUUAAGUAUUUUAUGUAUUUUAGGGGCAUCAUAGUCAUUUCACAAUAAACGAGAGAUCAGAUAGCAAAACGGACAUCACUUUUGAACUCAAGACGGUCGAAAACCUUAGGAGGAGCAUAAAAGGAAAAAUAGCACUGUUCACAUGUACGGUACUAUUCACGUGUACGGUACUGUAUACGUUACUGUUCACGACACUGUUCACAUAGACGGAUGAUGACGUGGCAUUGACCGAUGAUGUGGCAUUGACUGAUGAGGUGUCAUGAUCCUAUUGGGCUAAAAUUCUUAUGUACUGUUGAUGGUGACGUGGCAGCAUAUCAGUGGACAAAAAAUCUCGUGUACGGUACAUGCAUCACACAGGAUUAUUUUCAACCAAACCGUGUUACUAUUCAUCCGGGUCAAACCGUGUUACUAUUCAUCCACGUGGUCAAACCGUGUACUGUUGACUGAUGACGUGGCGCAAUCCUGAGUGUCCAAACUGUUUUUAAUCCGAUGGCCAUGAUUUACUCCAUGUAUCUAUAAAAAGGGGGCCUCUCCCCCCUAAUUUGAUAUCUCUGAAUCCAUUUUUGGGAUCCAUUUUCUGUAAUUCCUUCUCCAUCUUGUAUUUUCUUCGUAUUUAAAUAAAUUCCCAUUUUGCCCCUAGUUCAAUUAUGAGUGGCUAAUUUUCUUUCAAGCUUGGGUUGAAGGUGAAGUCUCAACAUGUGUCAUGGGCUUAAUUUGGUAAAUUUAUUUUCUCUUCCCCUCUAGUUUUUGUGGAUGUUUUGACUUCUCGUCGACAAAUAAUAAUAAUCUUGUCUAGAUACUGCCUUGGUUACACCGGCUCUCUAGUAUAAGGUUAUUAUUAUUUGGCACGAUAAGCCCUUAGCACCAUAUUGAUUAGAGCGUGGUUCAUGAGGGGGGGAUUCCCCCCUCAGGAUUAAAUGGGCAUUAAUACGGAUUAUUUAGCCCAUGAUGCAUGUUGAAACGGAUCCAGAUACCCAAGUACAACAUUUCAAGGGAUUUCGCUUCAAUUAAUUCUCGCCAUUGCAAUUCCAAUUUUAGAAUUUAUUAUCGCCAUCUCAAUUCCAAUUUUAGGAUAAUUUAAAUCACUUCCACCACAAUUUCAACCACCCAUUUACAAAAUUAAUUCUACACAAUUAAAAUCCACCUCCUCGUGGGAUCAACACUCGUCACCAUUGAUCUAUACUACAAUAGAUUCGUGCGCUUGCGAGUACAUUAAAAUUUGCACAACACCUUGCACUAGGGAGACGGUUAUACCAGUGCAAUAUCUAGACAACAUUAUUACUAUCUGUUGACGAAAAGUUAAAACAUCCACAUAAAUAAGAGGGGAAAAGAAAGUAAAUUUACCAAAUUAAGCCCAUGGAAUAUGUUGAGACUUCACAUUCAACCCAAGCUUGAAAGAAAAUUAGCUACUCAACGCCACAUCAACAUUUUAGUCCAAUAGGAUUGUGACACAUCAUCGAUCAACGCCACAUAAGCAGUCAAUGCCACGUCAUUCGUCCAAUCGAAUACUGCCACAUCAUCGGAUCGUAUAUGUGAACAGUACCGUGAACAGUACUUACAUUUGAACAGUUUUGUUUAUCUUUUUAUGCUCCUCCAAAGGUUUUUGACUGUUUUGAGUUCAAAAUUGCUAUCCAUUUUGCUAUCUGAUCUCUUAUUCAUUGUUAAAUGACCAUGAUGCCCCCUAAAAUACAUAACAUACUUAAUUAUAUUAAAACACACAUAAUUGAAUCACAAGGGACUUAAAUACAUAAAAUUAUGGAUUGACUUUUAGUGAGACUGGGAGUGUAAAAUGACAAUUUUCUCCUUCAUAAAUGUACACUUUCUAGCACUCAACACAUCCCCCAACUAGCAAAUUCAGCGAAAACAAAAUUCAAACCCAAAAUGUUUUUUCUUAAACAGUCGUGUUUAUUCAAUUAGACUAAUGAUAGCAAUCAAAUAAAAGUAAAAGCAUUAUCUCCAGCCUAAAGAAAUAUCACCCCCACAUCAACCAUCCACAUAAAUUAGUCUAGUAGACUUUGUCACAGCUACAGUAAUCAAGCCACUUUCAAGAAUGACAUGUCAAACCCCAAAAUCUCACCGAUAGUAGUGAUACUCUCACAAGAAAAUUAAACCCAAUAAAAGUAGUCACUCCAAUGAAUGGUAAAUUGACAGAAAAUAAUAAAGAAGUAAUAUCACACACUCUCACCAAGAUGAAAGAAAUAUGCCCACAACUUAAAAAUAAUACGAUCUUAAGUCAAACAACAUACUAGUCAAACCAAUGUAUUCAUUUUUUUUAAUGCACCAUUACAUCUUUUUAGCCCAUAUAACUAGUUUAUACUUUAGACUAUAGUUCCCUAUAAUUAAGAACAACUUUUAUUAGGACAUAACAUAGGCUAGAGACAUUGCUAACAAAUGAAGGGAAAUAGAAAAAACUAAAUAUAUGUUUGAGAAAAAGUAGAGGUCUUUUGAAGAUUACAAGGUACAUUUCACUUAUUUAUUAUUAGUAAUUUUUUGUAUGGCACAACUUUACUGAACAAAAUAAUUUUUUUAUUUCUUCUUAAACAUGACUAGGUGAUGGAACUUGUAAGACAUCAGGUAAUAUUCCAAAUCGGAGUGGGUCAAGAUGAUAAGUUGACAAAGAAAAGUAUUUUUUUUAUAUAAAAUCAAUUUGACAAAGAAAAGUAUUUUAUAGAAUUGGUUAGUUUUCAAGUUCAUAGUCAAAUUGAAAAAGUUUUAAAACUACGAAAAUAGAUUGAUUUGUAAAGUUUUAUGACGAUUUGGGCCAUAGUAUAAUUAUAGAUAAUUUUGGGGAAAAAAUAUAAUUUUAAAAAAUAGUUUCACUGUAGUUGUCACUGUAGCAAACUGCUAACCAUUUGUGAAAAAUAGCAAACCAAUAAUUUCCAGCAAGCAUGUUCUACAAAGGAUUGUUAAAAUGAUGAUUCUGGGAAAUAAUAGUGAACCGUUUAUGGAAAUCAGUGAACCGAUAAAUUUCAGAUUGCUAACCUUGAACCGUUUAGUGAGAACGGUUAAGCCAAAUUUGUUUUGCAGGUCUCUGGAAAUUAACGGUGAACCGAUAGUGACAAACGGUCAACCGUUUAUUUGAAAUUCAGCUCAACGGUAACUUUGACUAGAAUAAACGGUUAACCAUUUAUAGUUAACGACGAUCCGUUUACAAGCAGACAGUUAAUAACGGCUAGUUUUCAGCUCCAACUAUAAAUAAACUCAAUCAAGUUCAAAUAAGGGUGGAUCACAACAUUAUCAUUGAGCUUGUAAUCGAGAAUACAAUAUUUAUUGAGCUUUAAAUUCGUUCUUGAUUCAUUUAUUAACACAUUGAGUAUAGAUUUGUAAUCAUAUAUUUUGUGUGAGGGAAAAACACAUUUGUCAUAUUUGUUUUGAGUGAUUGUAAGUGUUGUGAUACACUUGGGUUAAGAGAUUGGGGAUAAUCUCUUAGUGUAAAGGUUGAUUGACACAUUAGAAGUCAAUUGUAAGCAUUUGAAGCCUUGGGAGGCUUGGAUAGUGAAAUCCUCAAGCCGGGUGAGCUUGGAGGCGUGGACGUAGGCGAGGAUUGCCGAACCACAUAAAAAUCAUUGUGCUUGUUUUCUCUUCCCUUACUCUAUUAUUAUUGUGCUUUAUUGAAUUUAUUGUUUUUGAUUCUAUUAGGGCAUUAGAUUAAAUUGUUGUAUGGUUUACUUAGUUUAAUUUUUAAAAUCCCAAUUCACCCCCCUCUUGGGUUGCCUAGUUAGUAUUUCACUAUAUUCAAUAUGUAUUUACAAAGUGUGAAAGAAAAAUUGAAAGGAUAAGAGUAAAAUGGGAUGAUCUCCAAAAAAUGGCAUAAGCUAGCCUAUUAACCUAGAAAAUUCAUAAAAUGUCACCUAAAAUAUCUUAAGGCUACCACAUGUUGAUCGAGGACUAUUAUAAUAAUAAUGGCCCCUCCACCAAAAUUGCUACAUGUCAAAAUGAUAUGGUCCCCAUAGGGAUCUUGUCAAUCUAUGUCCCCAACAAUCACAUGCACUAAGAGUGAGACAGAAAAUCAACUCAACUGUCAUAUGACAUACCAACAGAGGAAUCAGCUACUCCAAAAGAUCGUCUCAUUUGAAAUAAGCUAAUCAGAGAUUAAGACAUACUGUUAUUCAUGAUAGUCUCACAGCUGACACAUUUCCAAUUAUAAAGAGGCUAAAAGGUUGAAUUUGAAUAGUCAAAUUACCCAAAAAUAUCUACCUGAAGAGGGAAAUGACUUAUUGCAACUUGUCACGUGUCCAAACAGACACUAAGAUGCCCUUAGGGGUACUUCUUAUAUAAUGUCAAGUUAGUCUUAGCAAAACAAGUUCAACUUCUUCCCUGCAACUCUUAAUUUUUCAUUGAUAUUAGGGUUUCUAAAAAACCCAGCACCCACUCUCACACUUUCUGACUUGACCGUCAAAUGUUAUUGCCGAUCACUGUUGUUGUCGCCUCUUAAUGGUCGUUUUCUCUCAUUUUUCAGGACCAUCUCUUAGUUUUGUUCAUCCUUAAAAAAUUGUUUACAAAGUGAAGCAGCCUUAAUUAUUCACAAAGUCUACCUACAAAAGUAAGCUCUCAUAAUAUUUUUAGGCUAAACUAAAAUCAAACCAAAAUACAUAUGCACCAAAGAUGGGAUAAAAACGAGCAUCCUAUAAAAAAACAAUGAAGUUAGAAAUGCUAUCUUUUAAUGGAAAGUAAAUUUUUCCCUAUAGGUUUUUAGUAUUAUUAUAUAUAAAUUAAUAUAAUAAUAAAUUAUUAUGUUUAUUAUAAAUAUAUAAUAAACUUUAUGUUUAAGUUUAAAUUAUUUAUAUUAAUUAUACAUAAAUUAUUAUUUAUUACCUAUUUAUACAUAUAAUAAAUUAUGUUAUAAUUUAUUAAUAAUAAAUAAUAAUUAUAUUUAUUUAUUAUAUAUGUAUACAGUUUAUUUAUUAUAUAUGUAUACAUAUAAUAAACACUUGCCCCCAUACAGUCUUAUCCUAUUAUACAAUAGUGAGCCUUAGCAAAUUUCAACAUUGAACAUGUGCCAACGAGAUUGAACAUGAAGGUAGAUGCAUAGUAAUAUUUGACAAAUUUAGCCUAAAAACAUGCUUUUUAGGCCUUUCAGUGAAUGUUAAUCCCUUAAUCAAAAUCAUUUUUUUUUAUUUUACAAGUGCAAUUAGAAAAAACUAUCCUUAUUGCAACAAAAUUUUCAUUUAAUCUCUUAACCCUUCUAGUAGAAAAUCGUGUUUGCAAAACUUAGUCUUUUACUUUGUCAUGCGUAUAAGUCUAAAGUCGCUAUCAAUGCAAGUCUUCAUCUUGCUUUAACGUUUACAAGAUUUUGUAUCGCAGGAUACUAAUGUUAAACAUCAAUUAAAGGCAUAAAGGACAAUAAAAAAUUUAGGAGUCCAAAAGAUAUAAAAAUUGAAGAUGUGGACUGGUUAAAACUCACGACAUAAAUAUCUCACUCUAUUGAUGGAGGUUAAGAUUGAAGGAGCAAUAGCUAGCUCAAUAUUUUUGUGACUUAAAAAGUCAUUGUGUUAUUAAAAAAAUUGUAGGUAUUAAAAAAAAUUGUAGGUAUGAAAAAAAAUUGUUAGUGGAGAAAUAUGAUUUUUACAUAAUUUUGACAAAAAAUAAAUUAUUAUAGGUUUUUUUAUCAUACAAAAUAAAAUCAACUUAACCUUGAAACGACGAUAGGAAGAAUGAAGUAUUUACCAAACCACAAUACCAAGUAGGCCUGGGCAAAUCGAAUUCAGAUUAACCCAAUCGGGUUUGGUUGGUCGGGUUGGACAAAAAUUUAUUUGAACCCAAUCAUAACCUGUAACCCAAUCAGAUCCGAUCUGAAACAUAUUCUGAUCAGAUCAAGAGAAAAAGUCAGGGAGAGUUCGGUUUGGAUCGAGUUUGGAUUAAAAAUGAUUCGGAUCGGGUCUAGUAAAUCCAAGUUAAUUCGGGUCAAUUUGGUUAAUUCAUGUCGGGUUAAAUUGGAUUAAAUAUGGUUCAAAUCAAUUUGGGUCAAAUAGGGUCGAAUCGAGGUUCAUGCAAUUUUAAGCUAUUUUUUUCUUAUUUUGAGCUUUUUAGAUUGCUUUGAGCUAUUUUUCUUAGUUGUAGUCCCUUUUUACCAACUUUCAACCAAACAAAAAAAAAAAGAAAAAAAGAAAACUACUAUGAAAUCAAAUGAAUAAAAAUUAGAGUUAACACAAAGUCCAAACUUAAAAAAAAAAGCACAAAGUCCAAAAUUAAUAGUCUCCAUCCAAAGCACAAUGUCCAAAUAUUAGUCUUUAAAACGUAAGGUCACAAAGUUUAAACAUAAUCAAAUAGUUUCUAAAACACAAAUCACAAAGUCUAAAACACAACAAAGUUUAAAUAUAAGUACUAAAUAACCUUCCUCCAUCGCUCCAUGCAACCACUUUGACAAGUUCUAAAUUUAGCUUCUUGUACUCCAAGUUGAAACAUCGAUCCCCCAGAGCAAAAUUGAAGAAAUAAUGUGCAAUAACUACUUUCUUUAAAUCGCACUACAAAUAAAGGUACAUAAAACACAAACACAAAUAAAUAAACCCAAUUCAUAUCUCUAAUUUAACAGACCAUAACUACCAUUUGAAUUCCAAUUCAAUGGCUAAUAGUAAAGUUUAAUAUUUGAGUAAAUAAAGAGCACCAUUAGCUGAAAAUCAAAAGGGCUGUUACAAUCUUUCUAAUUUCUAUUAUAUCAUUAGCAUAUAACAUGCUUAGCAAAUUCUUCAAACAAAAAAAAAAUUUGAUUGGAUAUAAACAUAUAAGUCAAUCAUGGCUUAUUUUAUGGCAUUCAUUACCAGGUCAAGUUAGUAAUAAUCUUAGGCAAUACGAUUCUACCAACUUCAAUUUGCCUAACUAAAACAAUCAUAAUGUUAAAACUUAAAAUGUAAAAUUAUAACAAGUAUAAUUAUAGUUUAAAUUAUAACCUAAAAUUAUAAUAUGAAAUUAUGAAUAAUAAUAUCUAUUAAGAUUUUUCUUUCAAAUAUCCAUAACACCAUGUUAGCGCUCACUGUUUCCACCGUUGAAGCUUAUGAUCUUACAAACUUUUUAAAAUGCAAAAAAAAACGUUAGCAAGUACCUUAAGUACUUGUAGAUGUUAUUCAUAAAGUUAUAAUACAUUUUAAAUAUAUUAUGUAUUUAAUGUAUGAGAGAAAUGUUACCUUCUUAUAGCUCUAUAUGAAACAUUUGGUCUUUAACUCUUCCUAAAGGUUAUAGACAAGAUUGGCAAAAAGUUUAGAUUGCAACUAAUUUCAAUACAUAUCAAUGCCUCAAUCAAAGAAAGGGCCAAACAACUCCUAUACUCAUCAAUAGCACGAAGCCCAAUGCUAAAGGUAAACUCAGACGUCACUGUGGAAACAGGAAUAGCAAGGACAUUUCCUACAAUUUUCUUUAAUAUUAGAUAAUUUGAUCAUUCACCUUGUACCAAAGCAAAAUAUUGAGUUUAAUACUACUACGAUCUUCAACUGAGUCAAUUAAGUAUCUUUCCACCUUAGAUGCUACUUUCUUGCCCUCAUUCUAAACAAAAACCUUUUUAGCAUAUCUAAGGAAAGGGCAAGCAAAUCAAAAAGUGUCAUCAUCUGUACCAUCAACGAUCUCCACCAAACUAAACUUAAUUGUAAUGUAUGGUGUUGAGUGUAUAUUUAUAUAGAAGAAAAUCGUCAUUUUACACUUCAAGUUUCACUAACAUUCUUAUUUUCAUGUAUUUAAGUCUCUUGUGAUUUAAUUAUGUGUGUUGUAUUAUAAUUAAGUAUUUUAUGUAUUUUAAGGGCAUCAUACUCAUUUUACAAUGAAUGAGAGAUUAGGCAGCAAAACAGACAUCAUUUUUGAACUCAGGACAGUCGAAAAUCUUAGGAGGAGCAUAAACACAAAAAUGGCACUGUUCACAUGUACGGUAUUGUCCAUGUAAUUGUUCACUACACUAUUCUCAUAAACAGAACGAUGACAUGGCAUUGACCGAUGAUGUGGCAUUGACCGAUGAUGUGGCAUUGACUGAUGAGGUGACACGAUCCUAUUGGACUAAAAUUCUUAUGUACUGUUGAUUGGGACGUGACAACUUGUUAGUGGACCAAAAAUUAUGCGUACGGUACAUGCACAUACACAUAAUUAUUUACAACCAAACCGCGUGGUCAAACCGUAUCACUAUUUAAACCACGUGGUCAAACCAUAUUACUAUUCAAACCACGUGGUCAAACCGUGUACUAUUGACACGUGGCGCAAUCCUGAGCGUCCAAAAUAUUUUUAAUCUGAUGGCCAUGAUUUACUCAAUGUAUCUAUAAAAAGGGGGCUUCCCCCUAAUUUGGCAUCCCUGAAUUCAUUUUUGAGUUCCAUUUUCCGUAAUUCCUUCUCCAUCUUGCAUUUUCUAUGUAUUUUAAUAAAUCCCCAUUUUGCCCCUAGUUCAAUUAUGAGUAGCUAAUUUUCUUUCAAGCUUGGGUUGAAGGUGAAGUCUCAACAUAUGCCAUGGGCUUUAUUUGGUAAAUUUACUUUCUCUUUCCCUCUAAUUAUUGUGGAUGUUUUGACGUUUCGUUGACAAAUAGUAAUAAUCUUAUCCAGAUACUGCACUGGUUUAACCAGCUCCCUAGUACAAGGUUAUUAUUAUUUGGCACGAUAAGCCCUUACCACCAUAUUAAUUAUAGUGUGGUUCAUGAGGAGUGGAAACCCCCCUCAUGAUUUAAUUGGCAUUAAUAAGGAAUAUUUAGCCCAUGAUGCAUGUUGAUGCAGAUCCAGAUACCCAAGUGCUUCAAUUUCAAUAGAUUUCACUUUAAUUUAUUAUCGCCGUUUUAAUUUAAAUUUUAGAAUAAUCUAAGUUACUUUCACCACAAAUCUAACCACCCACUUAAAAAAAAUUAAUUCUACGCAUAAUUAAAGUCCACCUCCUCGUGAGAUCGACACUCGUCACCAUUAAUCUAUUCUACAAUAGAUUCGUGCACUUGCGAGUUCAAUAAAAUUUGCACAACAUAUGGAGAAGAAGCUAUACCAUCGUAACUGCCACUAGGAGCACUCUUAGUAUAUGUUAAUGAUGUAGAGCACAAUGGACUAUAUGCAUUAUAAAGCUUAUUCAACAAUUUUUUUGGUGCUUUGGUCAUUUCUUCAAUCUUCAAGAUAUUAGUGCAAAAAAUGAUCUCAAAGAUAUAUUUAGCAAAGUCCAUUUUCGCCCGUGGAUCAAGAAUGAAGGCAUGAAUCAACAUAUUGUUUAUCUUCCCCAUGGACUUGCAAUAUUUAUCAAAUUUAUCCCUCAUACUAUAAGCCAUAAAAGCUACACUCAAAGUUGUAAAAAACAACAAUGUGGCAUCAUAAAAUACGUUCAAGAAGCUAUACCAUCGUAACUGCCACUAGGAGCACUCUCAGUAUACGUUAAUGAUGUAGAGCACAAUGGACUAUAUGCAUUAUAAAGCUUAUUCAACAAUGUUUUUGGUGCUUUAGUCAUUUCUUCAAUCUUCAAGAUAUUAGUGCCAAAAAUGAUCUUAAAGAUAUAUUUAGCAAAGUCCAUUUUCGCCCGUGGAUCAAGAAUGGAGGCAUGAAAAUAUAUUGUUUAUCUUCCCCAUGGACUCACAAUAUUAAUCAAAUUUAUCCCUCAUACUAUAAACCAUAAAAGCUAUACUCAAAGUUGUAAAAAACAAUAAUGUGGCAUCAUAAAAUACCUUCAAGAAACUUUAUAAUUUGUUCAACACUCUUUUAAUCCUUGAGUCUAGCAGCCCUAACCUUUUAUUUUUUCUUCUUAAGAAAGUAUACCUUAUAAGAUUUAUCCACUUCUAUCAUUCUAUCAAAUGUUGCUUGAAAAUUUAACACAAUCAUCAACAUUAAAUAGGUAGAAUUCUGCCUAGUAGGACAAUUGAAAAUAAUAGCUUCGUUAGGGACCUUUCACCUACUCAACACAUUAUUUAAAUGUCUACAACCUCAUAGUGGAGGAUCUCAUAUACUUUACAACAUUCUAAAGAGCAGCAACACUAGUAUAUAACUCAUUUAACCCUAAAAGAACAAUCAAAUUAAAAACAUGUGCACAACAAUAUACUAUCCUACCAACACAAAUGCAUCAUCAUUCCUCCAAGCAAGCAAUUGCAUAUUGACAUAACUAAUAGCAACACUACUAGAAAAAUGGCCUUUACUGACUUUAAAAUAAUGUCAGAAAUUACUUUUACUGACACUUGUUAAUUGUGUCAGUAAUCUGGGAGUCAGAAAAAUAGUGACACUUGUAAGUGGUGUCAGUAAUUACUAUUACUAUAGUAUCACUAAAAUAAUAACACCAUGGUAUCAAAAUAUUACAAUACUAUAUUAGUAUUUGUGAUUACUGUUACUAUAGUAUCAUUACUUUAUUUAUUAUUUAAAAAAAUAAUUAUAUAAAAUGACAUGUUGCCCAUUGAUUUGUUGAUAGAAUUAAAAAGUUGUGAGAAAUAAGAACAAAAAUCAAUUUAUAUAUCAAAACCUUUCAUAACAUUUAAAUAUUAUCAAUAUAUAUUACACAAUCCAAAUACUUCAAUACACAAAGACGUCUUAUUACAAGACAUCUUAUUCUUAUAAUUGAAUAAUCUUAACUGCUAUUAUCCAAUCAAAUACCUUCUACUUGUAGCUGAAUUUAAGGGCUAAAUUUACCAAAUCUAAAAGCUAAAUUUAGAAGGAUUAUUAUUUUUCUCUCCAUGAACAUAAGUACUGCGAUCAUGCAUUAUCACGGACAGCUUCUUCAUUCGAUGAAUUUGAUCAAACAAGCAAGUACUUCUCUGAUCUUUGAAAAAAAAAAACUUUUGAUUAUUUCAGCAAACACCAUAGUCCAUAAUCCCCCAAAAAAAAAACCAAAGCGAAUGACAAUAUAUUAUUAUUUAUUUCUAUUUUUCCUUCCUAUAUAUUAAUAAAAUAUGAACUGACCUUAUAAAAAGUUUACAACUUGUUGAGUCACCCGAAUGGCGUCCUCUGUGUGUGGAAUUGCUUUUGGCCCCCAUUCAAAAGCAUUUUUCUGCAGCAUAUUUGGUCAGUCUUUUCCUCUAAACAGAAUCAGUUGCAUUACUAAGAAAUUUGUUUAGGAAAUACCUGACUUGGAGAAACAGGAUGAAUACAAAAAAAUAUUUUCUCAUAGACCACACAGAAAUAGAGCUUGACCAGAAAGAUGUAACACAUGACAUGAAUACCAAAAACAAAUUGUAGCUUGGCUUGAAAUCAAAUCAUCUUGAGAGAAAUAAAUAGUGUUGCCAGACAGCUUGUCCACAACAUCACACACAUCUAGAGUUUAGCACACAAAUGUCGCUCAAAAGGUUUGAUUAACCAGAUUAGUCUGCCAUAUUAAACUUAUCAAUUUUGUAAAUGGGGUGAGCUAAAAUCAUUGUUAAGAGCAUUGAAGUUAAUACCUCUGGAUGCCAUUGGAAGGCGGUCACAUGAUAGUUAUAAGCUUGCACUGUCGAGACAUAGACCUGAUAAUGAUUAAUAACAGAAGUUAGAAUUGAUAACACUGGAUAAAUUGCCAUUAAAAUAUCAAGCAUUCAGGCAUAUAUCCUGAGUUUGUGUUUAUAUAUAAAAUAAAUUCAACAAAGGAAUAUUUACUUUUGUACCUUAUUAUAUUCAUCCACGCUUGUUGUCAAGAUCUUAAAAAACUUAGCUAGCUCCUGGUUUGCUUGCAUUCUUUCAGGUGAAAUGCCAUACUGUUGUAAUGGUACAACAUAUAAAAUUUCAGAUCAACCAAAUUAUUUACUCAAUCAUCCAUAAUAAUUUAAUAAAUCUAAACAUUUUUAGAGUCCAUUGUCUCCCAAAAUUGAAGUGCACUAAUCUAAGGAAUCAAUUGUACAAGAAGUCCAUAUAAAUGGAAUUCUUCCAUGAAUCAAAGAGGCUCACGACAAAGCAGGAUUUCCAAAAAAGCUCGCUUAUUAGACCCAACACUUUCAUAGAGCUAGAUAUUCAUGAGUGACUAGCAUUAUUACAGAAGAUGAAGGAAAUUAAAACAGAGAAUUGAAUCUAACAAUAAAUGCCACGCUGACUGUCAUUUAUUGCAUAAAAUAUAAAUGCCACGCUAACUGCCAUUUAUUGCAUAAAAUAUAAAUGCCACGCUAACUUGACUAAUUUUACAAAUUUGGUGAUGAUGCAUUUAAGAUUAUGGUUUAAAAGAAUAAUUCAAAGAUAGCAGUUUCAAUUGCCAGAUUAACAAUUCUUUUAUUUCUAUUAAACAUAAAAAAAAAGAAAGAAAAAGAAUGCAAAGAAGUAAGGGAGAUAGAGGAAUACGGGAACUGAGGUCUACCACACAAACAUCUUGAAGCAUUUCAGGAUCACUUUACUUGAGCUCAGUUUCUCCACGUAUCAUAUCCUUUUCAGCAAGGGCUGCCCUUUCAAGUAGUGUUUUGCUCUCUUUCUUCAUUAGCUCACCAGAAAGGUUCAGCUUAUUUACAUUUUUCUCGGCUCUAACAAACAUUGCCUGUGUAUAUAUUCGAACAAUUACUGAAUCACACAAAAUUUUGAACCUGAGAGUUUACCUCAGUUGAAAUGAACAUGUUAAAAAAGAAUUUUAUGCAACUGUUACUUCUAUUAGUAGGUUGAUAGGGUAAAAAUAGCAUCUAUAAAUUAAAAGAGGUACAUGCCUCCUCACUUCGAAGUCGAUCAAAGGUAUGACGAAACAAAAACCUUCUAGGCCCUGCAGUGAAAUCCUCGAGGAAUCAAAUCUUAUAGGAUUUUGGAAUGGCACAUACCGAUACAUUUAAUGCAGCCAAGAAGUAUAAAAUGCAAGAAAAAAGUGUGCAAAGAUGGCCAGGGCAGAGCACGUCCAAGGGAUUCCAUAUUCAAAAAUAUGCUAGAGAGGCUUAUUUAAAUGGUUGAAACCUAAGAGUGGAUAUAUCUCACUACCAGCACUAGUGACGGGAAAGCUGAACAUAUUCAUCUUUGGACUUCAACACUGGACAGCAUAAACAAAUAAGGAAACAGUCAUACAAUAUGGUUGAAAUUAUCAAAUUAAACUGAAGUCAAGAGUAACAACCUGCGGCCCAUUGAUGACCAACAUUAAGCAUGCUUAACAUUCUGUUAGACUAAUCAGCAGCAGUAGUGUUCAAGAUCACAGCAACAGUGACAACAAAAAGUGUCAAAGUACUAGCAGCAGUAGCAGCAGCAGCCGUGGUUACAAAAGUUCAAUUAUGAUCUUGUUAUUGCUGUAGGAAAAUAGAAAGAAAGAAUAAAAGAAAUGCUGAGAAAUUAAAAAAUUUAUCAGCUUAUCCACUCUCACUCCAGUCCCCUCAUCCUUGCCAUUUUCUUUCUUCUCUCAAUAGUACCACUGCCGAUGAUGACAAGACCGUCGAUGACGACACGGUCAUCGCCAAGUUAUUUAUUUCAUGAUUUCUCUCUUACGCACUCAUACAUAGUUUCCAUGUACUAUGAAAGAAAGACACGUAAAACAUUAGAUUAUCAUUUUCUACUUGUGCUAAUUGACAUCACUGAUCUCAGGUUUUCUUCUAAAACAAAAUCAAAGCAAAAGUAUCUCAUCACAAAGAGUAAGUACACAACAAAAGUAAGAAUUUUUAUUCAUAAAAGCUUAAGCCUUUUUCCGUUUAAUGUAUAUAAUAAAAACAGAGGUACUUCGUUCUCAAAACAACGAGUCAAUCAAAAGCUAACAAACUUUUCCCCCUAGUGAACCAGUUGCUUAUCUCCUCCAAUAACAUUUUGUUCAUCCAUUCGAAAGAGUAGAUAAGCAAGAUCAUAAAAGAAACACAAAACCCACAAAAAUAGAAAUCUUGUACACAUUAAUAUAGAACAAUGACAUAUCUACAAAAAAUAAUGAGGAGAGUGUAAAUAGAGGGAGAAGAAAUGUAGGGAAUUACCCUGAAGAGAAGGGGCAAGAUUAAGAGGAAAAACUUGAGUUGGAUCGAGAGCAGGCUCAACCGCAAGGGAGAGGAAGCAAAACCUGUAUUGUUGAGCUGAGCCAGCGAGAUGAUGGAAUGCAAUGGGAUGGAUGGUAGAGGACUGCUUGCGCCCAAAAGCGAUGAUUCACUGCGGUUCCCUCCAGUCCGUUCCGUUCCCGGGUUGGGUUAGGGGAACAUUCAAACGAUUACCUUCGCGGAUCCAAACGCGCUCGUCGGUACGCUUUCCGGCUCGCAACGACUCAAAUGGGCGAGUCUUCCUCGUUUUCCUUUCUCCUUCGGGUAGUUGAAGAGAGACAAGAUUGAGAGGGAAAAAUUGAGUUAGAUAGUAAAAGAUUGUGUUGGAUUGUAAGAGAAAGAUAAGAGAGGAGUGGCUGAGAGAAGAGUCGGGGUUGAUAAGACGACGCAGUAAGAUUAGAGUUUUGUGAAUUUGGUGAAGUCGGGGUUUUUUAGAUUUGGGGAGUUUAGGAGGGACGAGAUAGAUUAAAAAUUUUGUCUAAAUUAAAAGUUAAAAAAAUAAUGUUUGGUUUAGAAGUUAGUUUUCUAAACUAGAAAAUUUGAGAUUUGGACGUCCUGGUCUUUUGUUCGGAACUUAAACGCUUGAGUACUAGAGGUUCUCGGUUCGAGUUUUAUUUGGAACUUAAUUAGAAUUAUUUUAUUUUUAUUACUGAUACCUUAAUGUCAGAAAUCUCUGAUGCCUAAGUUACAGACACUAUAGUAUCACUAAUUUGUGAUAUUUUUAUGUUAAACACGAAAAAUGGUCCAUAUGUGUGAACAUACUGAUACUUUUUAAAAAAUUGUCACAAACCAAGUGUCAGUAAAGACCUUUUUUCUAGUAGUGCAACAUCAUUUGUAGUGAAAUUAUCAACAGUUAUCGCAAACAACCUCUCUAUCCUCUAAUCCUGUAAACAAGCUAUAAUAUUAUUGCCAAUCAUUUUCCCUCUAUUAUCUGCAAUAAAGCUAAUAAUCCUCUAAUUGAAAUGCUAGUCACUAUCAAUAAGCCAUGUAACUCAUCUUUUGAAUAGAAGUCUAUAUACCAGUUGUAAAAGACACUAACUAUUUGUUGUCACAAAUCAAACUCUUCAGCAUUGUUGUUUUCUCAAAAAAUAAAUCCAUAACAUCUCUACCAAUGACUCUUCAAGGUGCAUAAUGAACUAUGGAAUAACUACACAAUAGAAAUGCCUAACCCUUUGUUAUCUACAAAAAUAAGUGGCAACUCUUACAAGCGUCUUGACUCCAUCCUUCAACCAAAACAAUAUAACUUGCAUUUCCUUCGCCACCCUUAGCGGUCAAGUUCUGUUGACUGCCAUCUUAUUGUUCUCGGAAUGUCUUGUAUGCACCACAAACCUUUAUAUGAUUUCUUAUAGUUGUAAUCCCAUCAAGCCUUUAAUGAUGUUGAUAUUGUCUACCACAAUAGUUGCACUUGCAUUUGUUUAGAUUGUCCUCAAGUAAAGUGCAAUGAUUCUAUGUCUCAUCUUUUCUUCAUUGGUGGUCUUUUUUGUUUUGCCUUUUCCUUUCCCUUUUGGGUUCCUUCCAUUUGUAUGCUUUGUUCUUCAUCAUCACUUAUCAAAUUUGAACUUGCGUAUCGAGUCAUCUGAACAUACAAAACAAUAAUUAGUAGCCAUUAAUUCAAAAAUCAAAACAUAAAAAUAUUAUUAACAUAAUCUAAUUAGUAUUACAAAUCAUUUUAAAUAUUUGUUAAUUGAAUUAUAUGGUAAUUGUUUAAUUUGGCUUUUCCAUUGUAAUAUUUCUAUAUGAUUAGGUGUAUAACUGUAUAUAUAUAAAAAUUUAAAAUUGUUCAUACUCCCUAAAGGAAAAGCAAGAAUUAAUGAUUAAUUAAUUUAUAAUAUCCACUUAUCCAUUGCCCAUAAUAAUCGAAUAAUAUUUGCAUAUCCGUUUUCAUGCCCACAUUACAUGUACUUACUACUUAACGACUUAACAUCUACUUAACAUACAAUUAAUUGAAUUAGUCAAUUUUUGUUGAGGUUGAAGCUACUGCACAUAUCAUAUCUAACAGAAUAUUUAGUUUUAAUAUUUUUGAUCUACCUAAUCUAUUCAUACAAAAAAAAAAAGAUCAAUUAUUAACAAUUAACUAUUAACCAAAAAAAACUAAUACAUGAAUUUUCUUGACUUUAUUAUUAAAAUUUAAUAAUACAUACUAUUAACAAACCAAUUAACAAUUUACCGUAUAAUAUAUUAUACAUUACUACUAUAUACCAUCAAAGCUUCGAAAGGGAAAAUUCAAGUUGUCGCCUUGCUGUUGUUGGGUUCAAAUGGAGCUUGGAAGAACUUGGUGGGCAUAGCAGCAGAUCCUAUUGGCGUUGGCAGUGAUUGCCGGCAAAAUCAGGUUGCUAUGUCUGCAUUUGCGAAGUGCGGGCUGUACUGCGUUGGUGGCUGGCUGCUGCUUGCUUUUCUGAUGUGUGUGUUUGAAACCAUGAAGAGUGGUGAGUGUUUCUUGAUCUUAAGAACUUGAGGCCAUGAGGUUGAGGGAGGCUGUCGAGUGUCAGCUUGUGUGCUUCUGAAUUCUGAGGGAGUAUGUACGUGUAUCGUGUGUCUGUCACUCACUUUAUUGGCUCUCUAGUUUUAAUUUCCAUUAAUUAAUUUAUUUUAUUUUAAAGCCAAUCCGACGAGGUUUUUUUCAUCCGAUCCAACGAGUUAAAAAUGCAUACGAUCGAACAUUGUUAACAAUCUAAUUUGUUCCAAGCCCAAUAUUUUUUGGACCCGAUCGGGUUGAAUUGAAUUGGAUAUGAUAUUUUACCCAGCCCUAAUACCAACAAGACCUAAUUCACUUAAAUUGGUGGCUUUUGUGGUGACAUGCUAACCAUAGAAGCUAAAAAUCAACUUUUUAACCCCCGAUAUCUCUCAAAAUUUAAAUUUAAAUGGGUAAUCAAAUAAAGUUGCUUGAAAAUUAUUGACCCCGAGCCCAAGGAAGCCUCGUUUUUAGCUAGAUCUACAUGUGCUGAGAAUAUUACGCGGUGACAUGGAGUUUGUUGAGGCGUAAACCAGAUUGUUGGGAUUCAGUUGAGUAUUGAUGCGGGCUUACUUUCACUUAUGUUGAUCCAGCUUGUUCCAAUGAAGUGAAUCUCAUCUUGGUCAAGCUUUUCACUUUUAAGUAGAAGUGAAAUUCAUUCACCUCAUUUUCCCCAAAUUCAUUUUCAUGCUAGUGCUUUAUUAGUUGAUCAUGUAUAUAAGUUGCCCACAAAUGGACGAAGGUCCCUCUUUUUGCUCCAAUUGAGUCAGCAUGGCUGAAAUCCCAGCUGAGAGUCUUCACUUGCUGCAGGAUUCUUCUUUUGUUAAUGAAGCUAUGCUGUAUUAAAAAAAUAAAUAAAUAAAGUCCCACCUUGCAAACGCUGUCGGUCUUCUCAUUUUAUUUAUAAAAGGAAUCUGAAUCAAUUUAUUUUUGCAUGUCAUUCAAGUGGACUGGUCACUCGUGCCUUUCCAACUUAUAAAGAGAGAUUUUGUUCAUUCUAAUAGAAUAGAGUUCACUAGCACAAUCCUUUGUUUAGAUUUGACUCGUAGAAUGUGUCAACUAUUUAAGUUGCCUAUUAUUUUUUAAAAUGAAGUAUUAAAACAAUGAUGCUAUUCCACAAAUAUACAUUUUGCACCUUACAUUUUUUUCCAUUAAGCAAUUGAUAUGUGCAUAUUUUCUCCAUAUUCUCUAUAUUUUACUAUUAAUUUCUCCAACAUUUUUUUGUUUUAGUCUUAAAUACAUUAAUUAUUUUAGUUAAUUUUUAAUUUAGUUAUUUUAUUAAAUUAUAUUUUAUUAUGUUAAUUUUUGUCUUAAUUUUUAUAUUUUAUUAUUGUAGAUUUUAUCCUUAAUUUAAUAUUUACUAGUUAAUUAUAUUAUUUUAUUUCGUAAGGAAUUAAUUACAUAUUAUAGAUAAAAAAGAUAUGAAGAAGUUUAAAUUUAGAAAGUAAUCUAAAUUAAAUUGGAAAUCAAUUAAAAGACAAGAAAAAUAAGGAAAAGAAUUAAUGAAACCGGUAGUCAACAAGAAAACUAAGACCAAAAUUAAAGACAAUUUCCUUAAGCAGUUAAGAUGAUGAUGCAUGCGAUCAAUUGAGGUGGCAAACAAGUAAGCAUUUAGUGGACAUGCAUUUGGAAAUAAAGAAUUGGAAUUGGCAAUUGCACAUGCAUGGCACUAUAUAUUAUGGAAAGCAACUUGGAAAAAAGGAAAUGGCCAUAUUUAAGCAUGCACGUGAAUUGCCUAAGCUAAAGUCAGUGGGUGCAUGGCUUUAAAUUGUAAUUAAUUGCUUUAAAUUGGAAUUAGAAUCCAAAUUGGAUUCGGCCAGUCUUGGGCAUUAUAAAAUGCCAAUAUUUGGGUUUUGAAGAAACACACACAAUCGGCAACCAAGAGGAGAAUUGGAGAUUGCAGCCGCAAGAAGAGAAGAUAAAAAAAAUAAAAAAAAAUAAAAAAAAGGAGGCAGCUGCUUGGAUUAAUCUACAUGAUUGGUUUUAUCAACUCUCUUAUUCCUAAUUCAAUUAUGUUAGGUUAAAUUUUCUAUUUGGUUGAGGGUGAGUUCAAAACCCUAAAUAUGUCAUAUGAUUAACAUUUAAUUUCUAUCAUUCAAUUUAUUUAAUUGAGAUUGUUUGUAUUCUUCUAUAAUUAAUAGUUAUGAUUUUAUUCUUAUCUUAUUUGAGUGCUCAAUUAGAUAGGACUUGAAUAAAUUCUAUUACUAGAUUAAAAUUCUUGAUUUAUAAUUGUCUUGAUAUUUUAAUCAUUAGUAGUAGGUUGGAAACAAUAAUUUCAAUUGGAGAACAUAACCUAGGUUAAAUAAUCUGAGCUUGUUUGUUUAUUGCCUAGAUCAACCUAAAUCUUUCUCUACUUAAUGAUUUCAUUAUCUUAAAUUUAAAGAGUUUCUUUUAAAUUAUUUAACAGUUAGAGACUAGGUGAAGAGUUUGUUUUGCCUAACAACACAUUAAGGAAAGAUAGAGAUUAACAGAGCUUAUUGUUAUUUUCGAUUAAUAGUUUGAAUAGAAAUUGACGAUGGAAUUGAUAUAAUAUGUGCAUGUUUGGUGGCGGCGAAUGAUCCUUUAACCAAAGUUCUCAUCAUUAUUAUUUCUUUAUCUUUUGGCUAGAGUUUUUAUUAAAUUAUUGUUUUUGCAGUUUUACUUUCUUUACUUGGUAUUUCGUUAAAAAUUCAUAAAACCCCCCUUUAUUUAUGUUGGAUUUUCCUUUAGUUAGAUUAAUUCAUAUUAUUAUUAUUAUUAUUAUUAUUAUUAUUAUUAUUAUUAUUAUUAUUAUUAUCAUCUUAUUAUUAUUAUUAUUAUUAUUAUUAUUAUUAUUAUUAUUAUUAUUAUUAUUAUUAUUAUUAUUGUUUUAGUCUUUGUUUUAGCGUUAAUAAUAAAUACAACUAGCAUAAUUUUCGUGAAGAUCGAUUCUUACUCGCUCUAUAAUAGUUGUUUAUAUCAUUAAUAAGAUUUUAAAUUUGGUGUACCCUAACGACACUACCAACAAUUAUUCCUCAUUGAUGUUUUUUUUUUUUUUUUUUGUAUAGGUUAUUUUGUUGUUGUUGUUGUUGAUGAUGUUGUUGUUGUUAUUAUUAUGAUUAUUAUUGUUAUUACUAUUAUUAUUUUUUUUAUUUUAUGAUUUGGGAGUUUUAUGCAUAGAAGAUCAUGCGCUUAGUUUUCUUAUAUGUGCAUACUUUCAAAGGUGAGUUCAACCAGAGCCAAUUACUAUCACGGUGACUAAAGGAUAAAAAGUCCAAUAAUUUCUUGAGACUAUAAGGUUGUUUUGUAAGAGAGAAAAUUAGGGAUGGCAGAAAUUUCCCUAUUAGGAAUGGUAGAAAUCCUCAGAGGGAUGGGGGUUUUGUGGUCAACUGCAACUAAUAUAUACACAAAUUCAAAAGACGAUGGAAACGGACCCAUGAAAUCAAUUCCCCAAUAGUCAAAUAUUUCAAUCUCAAGUAUGAGAUUUAAAUGUAUCAUGUUUCUUUUAGUUAUUGAUCCCAAUUUUUGACAUUUUUCACAAGUUUUGCAAAAUUCAUAUGUGUCUUUGAAUAUGGUAGGCCAAUAAAAUCCACACUGUAAAGUUUUAGCAGUAGUUUUUCUUGAAGAAAAGUGUCCACCACAUGCUUCAGAAUGACAAAAAUUAAUGACACUACUUACCUCAUUAUCCGGAAUACAUUGCCGAAAAGUUUGAUCUGGGCAAUAUUUGAAUAAGUAAGGACCAUCCCAAUAAAAUUUAUUUACUUCAACAAAAAAUUUCUUCUUCUCUUGAGCAUUCCAUUGCAAAAGCAUUUUAUCUGUAACAAGGAAAUUAACAAUGUUAGCAUACCAUGACAUUGAAGUAACAGAAAAUAAAAAUUCAUCAGGGAAAGAAUCAUGGAUGGGUGUUAUAUCAGUGUAGAAUUCAAAUGUGAGUUUUGAUAGAUGAUCAGCAACGACAUUUUUAGCACCCUUUUUAUCUUUGAUGGUAAGGUCAAAUUCUUGAAAUAACAAAAUCCAACGAAUCAAUCUCGGUUUGGCAUCUUGUUUACUCAUCAAAUAUCUCACAACAGCAUAGCCAGUAAACACAACUGAUUUAGAGCCAAGCAAAUAUGAACGAAAUUGUUUAAUUCAAAUAUCACAGCAAGUAAUUCUUUUUCAGUUGUAGAAUAAUUCAUUUGAGCACUAUCCAAAGUCUUACUCGGGUAAUAAAUCACAAAGGGCUUACCAUCCCUUCUUUGUCCUAAAACCGCACCAACAUCAAAAUCACUUGCAUCACACAUUAAUUCAAAGGGUAAAGACCAAUCAGGAGAUUGUAUAAUAGGUGUAGAUGUUAAAAGACAAAUUAUUUUCUCAAAAGAUUUUUGGCAAUUAUCGGUCCAUUCAAAAGGUGCAUCUUUUAAUAAUAGGUUACAAAGUGGUUUAGAUAUGGCACUAAAGUUUUUUAUAAACCUCCUAUAAAUUAUGCAUGUCUUAAAAAGGAUCGCACAUCUCUAACUAUUUUUGGUUGUGGCAAUUUGGAUAUGACUUUUAUUUUGAUUUGUCAACUUCAAUUCCUUUAACAGAUACAAUAUGACCCAAAAUAAUUCCAGAAGUAACCAUGUAGUGACAUUUUUCUCAAUUCAACACGAGUUCUUUUUUAACACAUCUUUUUAAUGCUUCUCCAAAUUAUCAAGGCAAUCAUCAAAAGAAUUCCCAAACAACUGUCAAAUCAUCUAUAAAGACCUCUAAACAAUGUUCAACCAUAUCACAAAAAAUUCUUAACAUACAUCUUUGAAAUGUUGCAAGAGCAUUACAAAGCCCAAAUGACAUUCUUUUAAAUGCAAAUGUUCCAAAGGGACAUGUAAAUGUGGUCUUUUCUUGGUCCUCAAGUGCUAUAGGAAUUUGAUAAUAACCUGAAUAUCCAUCUAAAAAGUAUUAGUAGGGAUGUCCAACAACUCUUUCUAAGAUUUGGUCAAGGAAUGGUAAUGGAAAAUGAUCUUUUCUAGUGGUUUCAUUUAACUUUCUAUAAUCAAUGCACAUGCGCCAACUAGAUGUAAUUCAUGUUGGAAUUAAUUCAAAUUUUUCAUUUUUAACAACAACGAUUCUAGAUUUUUUAGGCAGUACUUGUGUAUGACUUACCCACUUACUAUCAGAAAUAGGGUAGAUAAUUCUCACAUCAAGCAAUUUAAGGACUUUUGUUUUGACUACCUCUUUCAUGUGUGGGUUUAAUCUUCUUUGAGGUUGUUGACAUGUUUUAGCAUUUUCUUUCAAAUUAAUUCUAUGUGUGCAGAUUAAGGGAUCAAUGCCUUUAAUAUCUUUUUAAGUCCAUCCAAUUGCAUUUUUAUGCCUUUUGAGAAUAGUUAGUAACUUACCUUCUUGGUCGCUUGUUAAAGUAGAAGAAAUUACAACAGGAAAAAUUUGUUCUUCUCCAAGAAAAGCAUACUUCAAUCCUUCAGGCAAAAGUUUCAAUUUCAAUUUAGGUGCUUCUUGUUGUUCUGUCUUUUCAAUAAUUCCAAACUCCUUAAAUUUUGGUUCGUCAUCAUAAUUUUGUGAAGUUUGCACAAAAUCAAGCAACAAAUUUAUAUUAGAAAUAUCAAAUUCAAGUUGCUUAUUUGACUCAAUUGAAUUAACUAAACAAACAUCAGAGAGUUCAGAAAAAUCCCAUUUUUGAAUAUUUUCCUCUAUACAAGAUGACACGACUCAAAAGUGUAUUACUCUCAAGUAUAAAAGUGUCUAGUUAUAAUAUAACCGGUGAGACCGGGGUCGAACCACAAAGAGUUUUAAAUCUAGUAAAACUAAGAAAAUUAAUUGUGGGGAAAAGAAAUUAUUUGAAAUCAAUUUAAAAAUAAACUAAGGUUUAGGAUCUACUCUCUGUAUUCAAACUAUAAUUUUAAUACUCUCUCAUUUAUAUUUUGCUUCACUUUUACCAAUUAAUUAUUAUAUCAUUUAAUUCUAUGUGUAUGGAUAAAUAUAGAAUAAAGUACCUAAUGUGCCAUACUAUAUUAAUGUGUCGACAUUAUGUCAAAAUACCAUAAAGUCCAGUGAGAUUUAUAAAUUAGCAUGAUAUAAAAAUAAUUAGAAAAGAAUUAAAUAAACUUAAAAAUUCAUUUGAGAAAAUAAUAAUAAUUAAUAGUUUAAAACAUUGAGCUUCACCCUUCACCUCAGCUUAAUAAAAUUAGCUACUCAUAUUGAAAGAAAACACAAUACUCUUUUUAUUUGAUAAACUUUUUGAAAUAUAUUACAAAGAAAAUUGAUACAAAUGGAAACAAGAAAAGAAAAGAAAAGAAACAAAGAAAGAAAGAAAUUCUUCAGCUGCACUCUAUUCUCUCUCAGCUUAAGCUCUCAAAAUAGCUCUCCCUCUUCUUAGGCGUCUCCCCAUCGCUUGCCACCCCUUUGCCUCUUAUAGGCAAAGUAAAUCAUCUUCUUUUCUUUUCUUUUAUUAAUAUUAAUAUUUUAUUUUAUUUUUAUAUUAUAUUAUAUAUAUAUAUAUUGAAUUGUGUGAUGGUCAGGAGGCGUGAUGGCCUCCUGACCAUCACCAACAUACUUUUGUUCUUUUUUUAUUUUUUUAUUUUUUAUUAUAUAUUAUUACAUCUCUUCAAUUGUGUUCCAGUAGUUCUUCUUUGUUCCCGGUUUCAAUUUCAAUUCCAUCUUUAUUCCUAAAAAAUAUUUACAAGAUAAAAAUUAACAAAUUACGAAUUAAUUUAACAUAAAAUAUAUUUGGGGAGUAUUAAAAUAAUUUAGAAAUAAUGAACGCAUUAAUCGACACAAUAAGUAAAAAACUAAUAAUUUUAUCCUUAUUAAAUAUACACUUUUUAGUGUCAAUCACACGCCCCAACCAGCUUAUUGCUAGGCCCUAGCAAUUUAAGCGAUAAAAAUUUAAAGAAAUUUCAAAACCAAAUUGAAAAUCUUUUUUUUUUUUGAAAAAUUGUGAUUACUUCCUUUGUCAGAUUAAUGACAACAAUCAAAUAAAAGUAUAAGCAUUAUCUUCAACCUAAAGAAAAUCACACCCGCUCAAAACAGUUCAGUAAAAUCCUGUAAAAUGAUCAAUCAUCAGAGCUACAUUAAUCAAGCCACUUUUAAGAAUGAUACAUCAAACCCCAAAAUUUCACGAUUAAGAGUGACUCUCUCAAAAGAAGAUAUACCCUAAAUUAAUUUGUCAUUCUUAAAAAAAAAGAUAAAUUUGAGAGAAUAAUAAAACAAUAUCACACGCUCUCACCAAGAUGAAAAAAUAAUGCCCACAACUUAGAAAUAAAAUGAUCUCAAGUCCAAUGAAUUACUAGCAAAAUUUAUUUUUAUUUUUAUGCAUCACCACAUCGUUUAGUCCAAUUACCAGCUUUUACUUCAGACUAUAGUUCUCAAAUAUCGAGAAUGACUUUUAUUAGGACGGAACGUAGGUUAGGGUCAUGGCUAACAAAAAAGAUAAUAGGGAAAACAAAAUAUAUGUUUGAAAAAUAGGGAACUUUUUGGAGAUUACAAGGUGCUUUUUUUUUUUUGCUUGGAUUUUUUUCUUUUUCUUUUUUCUUUUUUUUCUUCUUCUUUUUUUUUUCUUAUAUACAUAUCAUCCCUUUUUUUUUGGUAUAGCACCAUUAUUAGGAAUACAUAAUCAUCCCUAUUUUCAAACAUAAUUGGGUGGUGGAAAACAUAAAAUAUAAGGUGAUACUCCACAUUGGAGUGGGAUAAGAUAAUAGGUUAUCAAAGAAUUUUUUUUAAAAGGCUUAAAGGGGUUAACUAUGGAUUCUUUAUAGUAGGGUUGGCUAGAAAGGCUCAAACGGAUCAAUGAUGGCCUAUAUAAUCUUUCAUGUCCACUAGUUCAAUGGACUUUUAGAUGCGGCUGCACAAACCUUGUUUUUUUUAAAGAAAAUAUUGAGAUUUUGUACAAUAAAUUGUGAAGCUGUAUAGGCAAAUAAGGUUACUCUCCAAGGAUAAUAGGAUCAAAAACUCGCUUAGUCUUUUCAUAACAUGUACAUUCCUCCAAAUGGCUCAAUCAAUUUCACUCAUCCAAUUUCUCAACUUGUGUUUCAACAUGCAAAAGGAAAAACAUAGUGUAACAUAACUCAAGGCCAAAGAUAAUACAAAUACCAAAAUUUGAAAAUCGUCAUGUUAUCCAAUGUUAAAAGUUCACACCGAAAAAGAAAAUUUUUUUUUCUUUUUUUUUUAAAGAAAACACAAAAAGAAAUUGGGACUGAUUGCAGAAACUUAAGGGAGAUGAUUAAGAGAAAAAGACCAAAAACAAAAAGUUAGAAACUUUUUUUUUUUUGGAAGAAAACACAAAAAUUAAGAAGAUGCGUUUCUAGAGACACUACAUUCUAUAUUCUGCCAUCUUCGACUCAAAGUUUUAUCCAAAGUUAGUUUUUACAACAAAAAUUAGUAAAAACAUCACUAGGAUUGAGACAUUCCACAAUUAUCAACUAUUCCCUCCCCCCAACCUGAAGGAGACAUUGUCCUCAAUGUUUAAAGAAAGGAGUAGAGUUUAGAAGAUAUCACCUGGCCACUACUGGAAAUAUUUACAGACGGAGAGUUAAAUCUAAUUUACACUUUUUACAAGAGUUACUGCCAUCAUCAUCAAUUGCCCAAUCCAACACUAAAGUCAUGGGAUCUGGCCCUAGUUUGUAAGCUUGCAAAAGAUCAAGUAACUCAUUAGCAGUAGGAGUACAAAUGAAGAGUUUUUUCACUAAGGAUGGAAUAAAAUAAUUUUUUAUUGCAUGAUUAAGAAAUGUUAUUAAGCCAUCAUAAAAGUUAUUAACAUUUAACAAACCGAUGAGUUUUUUAUGGAUAUUCAAAUGGGCCCAAGAAGCAAAUGUAAUUAGUGCCUCCAAAGUUGCAAGAUCUCCUGGAGAGAAAAUAAAAGCGUCAGCAUGAUUCAACAUUUCAGAUAUUCUUUCUUGCAUACCUGAGACAGCUAACUCUUCUCCAGUUGGUGAGUCUGGUAGACAUCCUAAAGGUUUUAAGGCUUUUGGAAUGAUGCCUAGCACUUGGCUUCCUCGAACGAAAGCAGCUUCAGAGACAAGCUUUGAUAACCCUCGGUCACCUCCUCCAUAUACAAGAUGUAGUUUCCUCUCUGCUAUAGCACGACCAAGAUCUAUGGCUGCCUGAACGAACUCCUUAUACUUUCCAUAACGAAAUCCAGAAAGCACACAGAUGUUUUUAAGUUGACUGCUUGAAGUUGCUGCCAUUAGAACAAUUCUAAAAAGAAACAAUUUGUGAGUGCUUGAAAAGAAGUUCUUAUUUAAGGAUCUUGGUGACGGAUGUUGUGCAAAUUUUAAUGUACUCGCAAGCGCACGAAUCUAUUGUAGUAUAGACUAAUGGUGACGAGUGUCGAUCCCACGACGAGGUGGAUUUUAAUUAUAUAUAGAAUUAAUUUUGUAAAUGGGUGGUUGGAAUUGUGGUGGAAGUGAUUUAAAUUAUCCUAAAAUUGGAAUUGAAAUGGCGAUAAUAAAUUCUAAAAUUGGACUUGCAAUGGCGAGAAUAAAUUGAAGAGAAAUCUAUUAAAUUGACGUACUUGGGUAUCUAGAUCCGUAUCAACAUACAUCAUGGGCUAAAUAAUCCGUAUUAAGGCCAAUGAAAUCAUGAGGGGGGAAUCCACACCUCAUGAACCACGCUCUAAUCAAUAUGGUGCUAAGGGCUUAUCGUGCCAAAUAAUAAUAACCUUAUACUAGAGAGCCGGUGUAACCAAGGCGGUAUCUAGACAAGAUUAUGAUUAUUUAUCGACGAGAAGUCAAAACAUCCACAAAAACUAGAGGGGAAGAGAAAAUAAAUUUACCAAAUUAAGCCCAUGACACAUGUUGAGACUUCACCUUCAACCCAAGCUUGAAAGAAAAUUAGCCACUCAUAAUUGAACUAGGGGCAAAAUGGGAAUUUAUUAAAAUAUGAAGAAAAUACAAGAUGGAGAAAGAAUUACAGAAAAUGGAUCCCAAAAAUGGAUUCAGAGAUAUCAAAUUAGGGGGGAGAGGCCCCCUUUUUAUAGAUACAUGGAGUAAAUCAUGGCCAUCGGAUUAAAAACAGUUUGGACGCUCAGGAUUGUGCCACGUCAUCAGUCAACAGUCCACGGUUUGACCACGCGGAUGAACAGUAACACGGUUUGACCCGACUUUGAACAGUAACGCGGUUUGACCCGGAUGAACAGUAACGCGGUUUGGUUGAAAAUAAUCCUGUGUGAUGCAUGCACCGUAUGCGAGAUUUUUCGUCCACUGAUAUGCUGCCACGUCACCAUCAACAGUAUAUAAGAAUUUUAGUCCAACAGGAUCGUGAUACCUCAUCAGUCAAUGCCACGUCAUCGGUCCGUCUAUGUGAACAGUGUCGUGAACAGUAACGUAUACAGUACCGUACACGUGAAUAGUACCGUACAUGUGAACAGUGCCAUUUUUCCUUUUAUGCUCCUCCUAAGGUUUUCGACCGUCAUGAGUUCAAAAGUGAUGUCCGUUUUGCCAUCUGAUUUCUCGUUUAUUGUGAAAUGACUAUAAUGCCCCUAAAAUACAUAAAAUACUUAAUUAAAAUAAAACACAUGUAAUUAAAUCACAAGUAGGUUAAAUACAUAAAAGUAAGGGUUGUUAGUAAGACUUGAAAUGUAAAAUGACGGUUUUCUCCUUUAUAAAUAUGCAUUUUCUAACACUCAACACACCCCCCAACCAGCUUAUUGCUAGUCCCUAGCAAAUGAAGCAAAAAUAAAAUUCAAAUUCAAAAUGAUUUUUUUUUUAAAUUUAGAAACACUCGUGUUUAUUCAAUCAGAUUAAUGAUAGCAAUCAAAUAAAAGUAUAAGCAUUAUCUCCAGUCUAAAGUAACAUCACACCCACAUCAACCAUCCACAUGAAUCAGCCCAGUAGACUUUGUUAUAGCUACUUUCAAGAAUGACAUGUCAAACCCCAAAAUCUCACUGGAAGUAGUGACACUCUCACAAAGAAAUUAAACCCAAUAAAAAUAGUCACUCCAAUGAAUGGUAAUUGAGAGAAAAUAAUGAAGAAGUGAUAUCACAUGCUCUCACCAAAAUGAAAUAAAUAUGCCCUCAGCUUAAAAAUAAUACGAUCUCAAGUCAAAUAAAAACUGUUAGUCAACCCAAUUUAUUUAUUUAUUUAUUUUAUAUGCACCACUACAUCUUUUUAGCCCAUAUAACUAGCUUCUACUUCAGAUUAUAGUACCCUAAAAUCAGGAAGGACUUUUAUUAGGAUGUAAUGUAGGCUAGGGACAUGGUUAACAAAGAAAGGAAAUAAGGAAAACAAAGUGUAUGUUUGAGAAAAAUGCAGAGAAUUUUUUUUUUUUCAGAAGUUGCAAGGUGGAUUUCACCUAUUAUUGUUAUUUUUAUUCUUUUGAAACAACAACUUUUGUUUUGUUGUUGUUCUUUUUUUUUUUUUGGUAUAACUUCACUGAACAACAUAAUUAUUUACAUUUUCUCAAACAUAAAUAGGUGAUGGAACUUAUAAGAUAUCGGGUAAUACUCCAAAUCGGAGUGGGUCAAGAUGAUAAGUUGACAAAGAAAAUAUUUUUUUUUUUAAGGCUCAAAAAGGUUAACUAUGGAUAUUUAAUAAAAUGGAUGGCUAGAAAGGCUCAAACGGAUCAAAGAUGGCCUUUCCAUCGUCUUUUAGGGCUCUAAAUAAACUUCCAUAUCUACUAGUUAGAUGGGCCUCCAAAUGUAGCAACACACUUUUUUUUUUCUUUUUUUUUUAUUAAGGGUUAACUCAAAAGAAAUCUAGAGAUCGUGUAUACAAUAAUAAACUGUUAAGCUAUAUAAAGAAUGGGCAAAAGGGUUACUCUCCAAGAAAAAUGAUAGGCUCAAAAACUCACUUGGUACUUAUUAUGACAUGUUCAUUCCUUCAAGCAACUCAUAUAUGUCUCCGACAUCAACAUGUAGAGUAGCAAACAUAAUGUAACAUCACUUAAGACCAAAGAUAAUACAAAUACUAAAAUUUAAAAUUAAUCAUGUCACCCAAUGUUAAAACAAAUCACACAAUUUUUUUUUUUUAAACAACAUUCUACCCCCCAACCUAUUCUAAACAUGAAAGGAAAAUAUGCAUGCAGAAAUGUGAAAAUGAUGCAAAAAAAAAAAACAAAUUAGAAAAAGUACACUUAAAAUAAUAGAAAAAGAAAAUGGAUUUUUUUUUUUUACUAAGAAGAUGCGUUUCUAGAGGCACUACACUCCAUAUUCAGCCAUCUUCGACUCAAAAGUUAGAAAAUGUAUAUUCAUAGAGGAGAAAUUAAAAAGAAGAAAAAUAAACAUCAAAACUUAAUAAAGAAAAAGAAAAUGUCUAAUUUUUUUUUUGAAUUUUUUUUUUCCAAACAAUGAAGAUGCGUUUCUAGAGUAACUACACUCCAUAUUCAGCCAUCUUCAACACAAAAAGUUAGCAACAGUUAGUUUCUACAACAAAAAUUAGUAAAAACUUAACCAAAAUUCCACAAUUGUCGACUAUUCCCUCCCCCCAACCAGAACGAAACAUUGUCAUCAAUGUUUGAAAGGAAAGAAGUAGAGUUUAGAAGACAUCACCUGGGUGGUGCAACACAGAAAACAAUAUUUACAAGCGGAGAGUUAAAUCUAAUUUGUACUUCUUACUGCGGCUACUGUUACCAUCAUUAUUUGGGCGCUCCAAACAAAGGUCCAGGGGUCUGGCUCCGGUCUAUAAGCUUGUAACAGAUCAAGUAGCUCAUUAGUAGUGUGAGCACAAAUAAAGAGUUUUUUCACAUUAGCGGGAAUGAAAUAGUUUUUUAUUGCAUGAUUAUGAAAUGCGAUAAAGCCAUCAUAAAAGUUAUUGACAUUUAACAAACCGAUGGGUUUUUGGUGGAUGUGCAGAUGGGCCCAAGAUGCUAGCGUGAUAAGUGCCUCUAGUGUUGCAAGAUCUCCUGGAAGGAAAAUAAAAGCAUCAGCAUGAUUAAGCAUUUCAGUUAUUCUUUCUUGCAUAGCUGAGACGACUAACUCUUCUCCAGUUGAUGAGUCAGACGAACUGCCCAAUGGUUUUAAGACUCUUGGGAUGAUGCCUAACACUUGACUUCCUCUGAUAAAAGCUGCUUCUGAGACCAUUUUUGAUAACCCUCGAUUACCUCCUCCAUACACCAAGUGUAAUUUUCUCGCUGCUAUGCUUCGACCAAGAUCUAUGGCUGCCUCAACGAACUCUUUAUGUUUGCUAUAGGUAAAUCCAGAAAGCACACAAAUGUUCUUGAAUUGUCUAUUGGGAGUAGCUGCCAUUGUGAUACUUCUCGAAAAUAAUUUGUGAGUGCUUGACAAAAAAGAAAUCACAUUUAAGAGUCUUGGUGAUAGUGGGUCAUGGUUGUGUAUGAGGUAAUAUGUCAGUGUCAAAUAACGCGUAAAGCACGUGGCUCGCAAGUCAAAAAGAAAACAGUAAAAAGGAAAAAGCAAACAGUAAUAAAAUUAUUAAAGACAAUAAUGCAAACAAUAAGACAAUAGUGAAAUAAAAUAACAAUAAAGUAAAAGGAUAUUUACAGGUAGUUGCGACUGUGGCUCACAUCUUCCUCUGGUUUUACGUCCAGAAACGGCUUGAACGCCCUCUAUGGGUCGAGGAUAGGCUUCCUAUCCAGCUUUCUUAUAAACUGGCAAACAGGGUCGUUUAUAGUCAGAUUCCCGAGACUAUAUCGUGCAUGCUCUUUCUGGAAUAAUGACCAUAACUGGAGAAUCGCUCCUUGCACAUAUCCACUGGGAUGCGUUUCAAGAGAUAAAAGGAUAUCAUCCAAUGACUCCUUAUUCAAGCCAUCCCUAAUGAAUUGAAUCUUAUCUUCCCUGUUAUCAGACAUCAUUCCUAAAGAACAUGGGUUUUUAUUGCAACUCAUUCUGGCACACUUAUGACAAGCAACAGAAAUUCUUCGAGCUCGUCGUUUUCUUGCAUAAUUUCCUUUACCACAACCAGGCAUGUAUGCAAUAAAUUUUGGAGGUAACUCACCUGCCGAUCGUACUUUAGCCUCGAUUAACCAACGGAUGUCAGCAGGUAUGUUAUUCCUCAUGAGUAAUCGCAUGCGUUCGGACCGAGCUUUAUAGAUCGUAAGGAGGGCAUUCUGAGGAAGUGAAGGGAAUCGCUUGUGAAGUUUCGCUAGAAUCUCGUUUCUGUCCAUACCUUCGCCUCAAAAUAUCAGUUAUUAUGGGAAACUGAAGUAACCGACUUGAUUGUCACGGAGUACCGUUAUCCGCCACUUCACCGGGGUAACAAACUAAAGCACACAAACAGAAAAACAAAUUAAAACACACAAUUAAAAUCGUCCUCUUAUUGAAUUUACCUCAAGCUCCAACUGGAUGUCGUAAACACUUCUCUCAAUGUCUCUGAGUUGGCUUUCUAAACCCUCAACAUAGGCUACUAACUCUGGUGGUUGUAGAGCCCAAAUGCGAUGUGUUUUACAAAAUUGAAUCUGCCUUUUGAGAUGAGUUUUGACACGUUGAAGUGGUUUAAGAAUGUUCAGGAGGAACGGUCUAAGUAAGGUACUCAUGAUUAAAAACGAUAAAAGAAAACUUAAUAGUUAAACAAACACACUUAUGCAAAAAUAAUUUCAAUUAGCAGAAGAAUAAUAAAAAGAAAGAAGAAAAAAAAUCAAAUCAACGAAAGGAAAAAAAAAUCAAUUCAAAUCUGGUGGGUUACUCAAAUUUAUUUCGGUGUCUUCUCCGUGUGGUUGGUAUUCUAGAUAUGACUUUAAUCUUUGACCAUUAACUUUAAACGUGACACCGUUCUUUGGGUCCUUAAUUUCAAUUGCCCCAUGUGGAAAAACAGUAUGAACAAUAAAUGGGCCAGAUCAACGAGAGCGUAACUUACCUGGGAAUAGGUGCAAGCGAGAAUUGAAUAAAAGCACUUUCUGACCUGGAGUGAACGAUUUUCUCAUAAUUUGCUUAUCAUGGAAGACUUUCAUUCGUUGCUUGUAAAUCUUGGCAUUUUCGUAUGCAUCAUUGCGAAUUUCUUCAAGUUCUGCCAUCUGUAAUCUUCUUUCUGAGCUGGCUUGCUGCAUGUCAAAAUUGAAUUUCUUGAUGGCCCAAUAUGCACGAUGCUCGAGUUCCACAGGUAGGUGGCAAGCUUUUCCAUACACUAGCCUGUAGGGUGACAUCCCAAUCGGGGUCUUGAAAGCCGUUCUAUAUGCCCAUAAGGCAUCAUCAAGUCUUAAUGACCAAUCUUUUCUGUCUGGCCUCACCGUCUUUUCUAAUAUGUGCUUUAUUUCUCGAUUGGAGAUCUCAACUUGGCCACUGGUUUGCGGAUGAUACGGGGUCGCCACUUUGUGUGUGAUUGAAUACUUUGUCAAAAGAGCUUUGAAUGCUUUGUUACAAAAGUGGGCACCACCAUCACUGAUUAUUGCUCGAGGGAAUCCAAAGCGUGAAACAAUGUUGCUUUUCAAAAAUGCUAUCACCACUUUGUGAUCAUUAGUUCUGCAUGAAAUUGCUUCUACCCAUUUGGAUACGUAGUCAACAGCAACCAAUAUGUAUUGAUGGCCAAAAGACGGGGGAAAGGGUCCCAUGAAGUCGAUACCCCAUACGUCAAAAAUCUCAACCACUAAAAUUGGAUUUAGUGGCAUCAUGUUCCUUCGUGUAAUGCUCCCCAUUCGUUGACACCUAUCACAUGAAGAACAGAAAGUGUAAGCGUCUCGAAAUAUAGAUGGCCAAUAGAAACCACAUUGUAAAACUUUAGUCGCUGUUUUCUUAGCACUGAAAUGGCCUCCACAAGCUUGUUCAUGGCAGAAUGAAAGGAUAUUCUGAAUUUCACUUUCUGGGACACAUCGUCUAACAAUUUGGUCUGCACAAUACUUGAAUAAAUAUGGGUCAUCCUAAAAGAAAUUCUUUAUUUCUGCAAAAAAUUUAGCCUUGUCUUGCUUGGUCCAAUGCUCUGGAAGUUUACCUGUAACAAGAUAAUUAACUAUAUCAGCAUACCAAGGUAAUAAUUCCACACUCAUUAAUUGUUCAUCUGGAAAUGACUCAUUCAAUAUUAAUGGCUCUGUAAUUGAGUCAAAAUGGAGACGAGAGAGGUGGUCCGCCACAACAUUUUCUGUCCCUUUCUUAUCUUUGAAUUCCAAGUCAAAUUCCUGCAAAAGUAACACCCAACGAAUUAGCCUAGCUUUUGCAUCUUUCUUUGUGAGAAGAUAUUUAAGAGCAGCAUGAUCUGUGAACACGAUUAUUUUACAACCAAUGAGAUAAGAUCGAAAUUUCUCUAAUGCAAACACUACUGCUAGCAUUUCUUUUUCAGUAGUUGAAUAGUUCAACUGUGCAUCAUUCAAUGUCAUACUAGCAUAGUAAAUAACGUGGGGAAUUCGAUCAACUCUUUGUCCUAAUACUGCUCCUACUGCAUAAUCAGAUGCAUCACACAUGAGUUCAAAUGGUAAGCUCCAGUUCGGGGGCUGAAUGAUGGGUGAUGAUGUCAACAAAUGCUUUAAUUUUUCAAACGCAACAAGACAUGAAUCAUCAAAGACAAAAGGUACAUCCUUAGCAAGUAAAUUGCAUAAGGGUCUAGAAACUUUGCUAAAAUCUUUAAUGAAACGUCUAUAGAACCCAGCAUGCCCAAGGAAAAAUCUUACUUCUCUGACUGUUUUGGGUGGAGGAAGAUUAGAAAUGAGAUCCACCUUGGCUUUGUCAACCUCAAUACCUUUGCUCGAAAUGAUGUGACCGAGAACAAUACCUUGUUUUACCAUAAAAUGGCAUUUCUCCCAAUUUAAGACCAAGUUCUUCUCGAUACAUCUCUGCAGAACUAGUGUUAGAUGAUGUAAACAUUGAUCAAACGAGCCACCAAAGACAGAAAAGUCAUCCAUAAAGACUUCAAGGAAUCGUUCCACCAUAUCAGAAAAAAUGCUCAACAUGCAUCGUUGAAAUGUAGCAGGUGCAUUACAUAAUCCAAAUGGCAUUCUCCUAUAUGCAAAUGUGCCAAAAGGGCAAGUAAAAGUGGUCUUCUCUUGAUCUUUUGGUGCUAUGGGGAUCUGAUUAUAUCUUGAGUAGCCAUCUAAAAAGCAAUAAAAUUCAUGUCCUGCUAAUCUAUCAAGCAUUUGAUCAAUAAAUGGUAAAGGAAAAUGGUCUUUACGUGUGACAGAAUUCAACUUCCUAUAAUCAAUGCAUACACGCCAUCCUGUAGUCACUCUAGUAGGUAUCAAUUCAUUAUCGGCAUUGGUAACUACAGUGACUCCUGACUUUUUGGGGACAACUUGCACAGGACUGACCCAUGAACUAUCAGAAAUUGGGUAAAUGAUACCUGCAUCUAAUAGCUUAAGGACUUCUGUUCUAACAACUUCUUUCAUAUUAGGAUUUAACCGACGUUGCAUCUCCCUAGUAGUUUUAGCAUUUUCAUUAAGGUGAAUGUAAUGCAUGCAGUCUACUGGGUUUAUACCUUUUAUGUCUGCUAUGGUCCAUCCUAAUGCUCCUUUGUGCUCUUUUAAAACAUCCAACAACUUACCUUUUUGUUCGUCAUUUAGGGAUGAUGAGAUGAUUACCGGUAGAGUACUUUCUUCUCCCAAAAAUGCAUAUUCCAGAGUGUUGGUUAAUGGUUUGAGCUCGAGUUUCGGUGGUGAUUCUGAUGAUGGGAUGAGUUUCUUCUCUGAUGGUGCUAGUUGCUCAACUCUUGACUUCCAUUUAUUAGUGUCCAUAGAUGGUGCUGAGUCAAGCAGGGCAUUGACCUCAUCGACCGAUCUGUCAAUAUCAAAAUCAAAACCAAAGUGAGUCAAACAUGUCUGUAAAGGAUCAUCACUAAGGUUUGAAAUAAAAGUGUCAUCAAUUAAUGUUUCUAUUAAAUCCACAUCAACAAUUUCAUCAUCUGCAUUGUGAGGUUGUUUGGCAAUGUUGAAAAUGUUUAGCUCCAUAGUCAUGUUGCCGAAGGACAACUGCAUAUUUCCAGUCCUGCAUUGAAUGUGAGCAUCCGCAAUUGCCAAGAAUGGUCGGCCUAGAAUAAUGGGGAUCUGCUUCCUUGACUCCUGUAUUGGUUGAGUGUCAAUUACAAUUAAAUCAACAGGAAAAUAAAACUUGUCUACCUGGAUAAGCACGUCCUCCACAAUACCACGAGGUAUUUUCGUGGACCGAUCUGCAAGCUGUAACACCACUGGAGUUGGGUGUAAUUCUCCCAGUCCAAGUUUCACAAAUACUGAAUAAGGCAACAAAUUUACACUAGCUCCUAAAUCCAACAAAGCAUUCUCAAUUGUGUGGUUCCCUAUACUACAUGAGAUAGUGGGGGAGCCUGGGUCUUUGCAUUUUAAAGGAAUUUUAUGUUGGAGUAUAGAACUAACGUUUUCUGUUAAAAAUGCCUUCUUUUGAACAUGCAUAUUUCUCUUUUUAGUACAAAGGUCUUUAAGAAACUUGGCAUAAGAUGGAACUUGUUUAAUAGCAUCAAGCAAAAGGAUGUUAACACUUACCUGUUUGAAGAUUUCGAGAAUCUCACCUAUGGAUUUUCCCUUUUUGCCUUUAGCUAACCUCUGGGGGAAUGGAGCUUUGGGAACGUAUUCUCGUGGGUUGGUUUCUUCUUUCUCCUCCGGUGAUGAGUCAUCAACACUCACAGGUACAAUUUGAUUUUCUUUUGUUACCGGCAUCUCCACUUUGUUGUCGACUUCUUUUCCUUUUCGCAAGGUCAUUACUGCUUUGACUUCUCCAUGCUGCUGUGGUGAAUUGGUACUUGCGUCAUGCACUCCUUUAGGGUUAGGCACUGGUUGACUUGGAAACUUACCUUUCUCAACGGUCAUUGCCAAGGUCUGAACUGAAGAAGCAAGUUGUCCCACCAUCUUCUCGAGGCUUGAAACUGAUUGAGCUUGUGAGUUGAAGCCUGCUCUCAACUCAUUUCGUAGUCCAUCAAUGGUGCGGUUCUGUUGCUCAAUCGUGGAGUGAGUAAGAUUCUUAAGAUUCUGGAAUGAAUCCUCCCAUGGUCUGGGCUGAGAGUAAUUCUGGUUCUGAUUGUAUGGUCUAAAUGGUGGCUGAGAGGCUUGAGGAUUUUGUGGAAUUGGUGGAGCUGGAGCUGCUGGUCCAUUCUGUUGGAAUCCUUAAGACCAUGAAAAAUUGGGGUGGUCUCUCCAUCCAGGGUUAUAUGUGUUGGAGUAUGGGUUGUAAUUCGAUGGUUUUCUUAUUACACCUAUGGCAUUGGCUUGAUCUGAGUAUGAGUCAUGGUCAUGUGGCUCUGUUGAUUUAGCAGUCGAUAAUGAUGCUAUUUGUCGAGAGAGACCUUCAAUUAUCGCUUUGACUUCUUUAAUUUCUGAACUUGACUCGCCAAUGUGAACCUCAUUUGCUCCCUUAAUUCUUCUAGUAUUCCUGAGUGAUCGACUCCGUUGUUGGGAAUUAUCCGCUUGUCGCUGGAAGAAUUCCCAAAUCUCUGAUGCACUUUUUGACAUUAGCUCUCCUCCACUUGUUGCCAUUAGCCAUUCUUGCACAUUCGGCAGUAAUCCCUCCAAAAAGUAUUGGCAUUGGUGCCAUUUCUCGUACCCAUGAUGUGGACACUUCAAGAGUAGCCCAUUGAAUCGCUCCCAUAUUUCGAAAAAUUGCUCGUCCUCUCUCUGUGUAAACUCUGAAAUUUCCCUGCGAAUAGCAUUGGUUUUAUGCACUGGGAAAUAUUUAUUCAAAAAUUUAGUUACCAUUUGUUCCCAUGAUGAAAUGCUAUUGGCAGGCAAUGUAUUAAGCCAUGAACGAGCUCUAUCCUUUAAAGAAAAUGGGAAUAAUCUGAGUUUAACAUCAUCGUCUGAAAAAUUUUCAUAUUUAAAAGUUUGACAAAUGGCAUGAAAAUCAUUCAGAUGAUUAUAUGGGUCCUCAUUUUCUAAGCCAUAGAAUGUGGGGAGACAAUUUAGCACACUAGGUUUUAGUUCAAAACUUCUAGCAGCUACAUUUGGGUAUCUUAUUCAUGAUGUGCUCAAAUUAGCUAAGGGACUAAAAUAGUCCUUAAAUGGCCUCUCUUGUGGUGCUUGUAAAUCCAUUCCAAAUUUAUUUUUAAUGUGCUUUUGUGUGCGAAGUGUUUUUUCUAAUUCAAGGUCUAUAGGUUCAAGAUUAGGUAAUAAUGACCUACGACCAUGCAUGCAAAACAAAUAAAAUAAAAAUAAAGAUGGGAACAAAACAAUUAAAAAUAAAGAAGAGGGAGAAAUUACGAUACUAACCUUAUUGCGCUAUUACAACCUUUCUAUAAAAAUAAACAAAAAUAAAUACGUGAAAGAAAUUAACUAAAAAUUAAAUUAAUUAAAAUAAAAUAAAAAUAAAAAAAAUUACAAAGAAAAAUAAAUUGAAAAUUAAAUUGCAGAAUUUUAAAGAAGAGAAAAAGAAAAAAAAUACUAACCUUUAAAUGUAGAUUCACUUUUUUUUUUAAUAAUAAAAAAAUACAAGAAAACAAAUAAAAGAAAUUAUUCACAAAAAAUUAAUUUUACGAAUUAAAAUUACUUACCUCCCCGGCAACGGCGCCAAAAACUUGUUGUGCAAAUUUUAAUGUACUCGCAAGCGCACGAAUCUAUUGUAGUAUAGACUAAUGGUGACGAGUGUCGAUCCCACUAGGAGGUGGAUUUUAAUUAUAUAUAGAAUUAAUUUUGUAAAUGGGUGGUUGGAAUUGUGGUGGAAGUGAUUUAAAUUAUCCUAAAAUUGGAAUUGAAAUGGCGAUAAUAAAUUCUAAAAUUGGACUUGCAAUGGCGAGAAUAAAUUGAAGAGAAAUCUAUUAAAUUGACGUACUUGGGUAUCUAGAUCCGUAUCAACAUACAUCAUGGGCUAAAUAAUCCGUAUUAAGGCCAAUGAAAUCAUGAGGGGGGAAUCCACACCUCAUGAACCACGCUCUAAUCAAUAUGGUGCUAAGGGCUUAUCGUGCCAAAUAAUAAUAACCUUAUACUAGAGAGCCGGUGUAACCAAGGCGGUAUCUAGACAAGAUUAUUAUUAUUUGUCGACGAGAAGUCAAAACAUCCACAAAAACUAGAGGGGAAGAGAAAAUAAAUUUACCAAAUUAAGCCCAUGACACAUGUUGAGACUUCACCUUCAACCCAAGCUUGAAAGAAAAUUAGCCACUCAUAAUUGAACUAGGGGCAAAAUGGAAAUUUAUUAAAAUAUGAAGAAAAUACAAGAUGGAGAAAGAAUUACAGAAAAUGGAUCCCAAAAAUGGAUUCAGAGAUAUCAAAUUAGGGGGGAGAGGCCCCCUUUUUAUAGAUACAUGGAGUAAAUCAUGGCCAUCGGAUUAAAAACAGUUUGGACGCUCAGGAUUGUGCCACGUCAUCAGUCAACAGUCCACGGUUUGACCACGCGGAUGAACAGUAACACGGUUUGACCUGGAUGAACAGUAACGCGGUUUGGUUGAAAAUAAUCCUGUGUGAUGCAUGCACCGUAUACGAGAUUUUUCGUCCACUGAUAUGCUGCCACGUCACCAUCAACAGUAUAUAAGAAUUUUAGUCCAACAGGAUCGUGAUACCUCAUCAGUCAAUGCCACGUCAUCGGUCCGUCUAUGUGAACAGUGUCGUGAACAGUAACGUAUACAGUACCGUACACGUGAAUAGUACCGUACAUGUGAACAGUGCCAUUUUUCCUUUUAUGCUCCUCCUAAGGUUUUCGACCGUCAUGAGUUCAAAAGUGAUGUCCGUUUUGCCAUCUGAUUUCUCGUUUAUUGUGAAAUGACUAUAAUGCCCCUAAAAUACAUAAAAUACUUAAUUAAAAUAAAACACAUGUAAUUAAAUCACAAGUAGGUUAAAUACAUAAAAGUAAGGGUUGUUAGUAAGACUUAAAAUGUAAAAUGACGGUUUUCUCCUUUAUAAAUAUGCAUUUUCUAACACUCAACAACGGACAUAAUGAUAUACAUCUAUAAAUGGAGUGGUGUGUUUGUCAAAUAACGCGUGAAGCUUUUAGCUUAAUAAUUCAAAGACAAAUAGUGAAAAGAAAAAGCAAACAGUGAUUAGAUAAAAUAAAAAAAAACACAAUAAUAAUAAUAAUGCAAAAGAUAAAGAACAGUUAAAUAAAAGGAUAUUUACUGGUAGUUGUGAUUGUGGCUCACAUCUUCCUCUAGUUUUACGUCCAGUAACGGCUUGAACGCCCUCUAUGGGUCGAGGAUAGGCUUCCCAUCCAGUUUUCUUAUAAACUGGCAAACAUGGUCUUUUAGAGUCAGAUUACUAAGACUAAACUGUGCGCUUUCCUUUUGGAACAGCUUCCACAAAUUUUGAAUUUCACGUUGAACAUAUCCGCUCGGAUGCGUCUCAAGAGAUCGUAAGAUAUCAUCUAAUGAUUCUUUACUCAUGCCAUCCUUAACGAAUUUGAUUUUAUCUUCACAGUUUACAGAAACCAUUCCUAAAGCUUUACAACGUGGAUUUUUGCAAGUGAGUCUUACACAGUGAGAACAUUCAGAGCCAAGUCGCUUAGCUCUUCUUUUCUUAGCAAAUCUACUUUUACCAAAACCAGGCAUGUAGGAAAUGAAUGGAUCAAAAAACUCACCUGCCAAUCGGACCUUUGCUUCAAUUAACCAGCGAAUGUCAGCAGGAAUCCCAUUGAUCAUUAACAAACGCAAUCGUUCACAACGAGUUUUGUAAAUCUUCUUAAGAGCAUUUUGAGGGAGAGAGGGAAAAUGUUGAUGCAAAUUUUAUUGUAUUUCUUCCAUGCUUGACAUUGAGGUUUCAGUUAUUGUGGAAAACUGAGAAUACCGACUUAAAAAGUCACGGAGUACCGUUAUCCGCCAUUUAUACGGGAGAGUGAAUAAAAAAAAAAUCAAAUCUGCAAAAUCAAAUCAAAAGUGAAAAAGAACAAUAAAACAAAAACACACAAGGAAUAUAACUCGCCUUCGUCCUUUUAUUGAAUCCAGUUCUAAUUGCAGAUUAUAAAUACCAUCCUCUAUUUCCUUGAGUUUUCUUUCUAGAUCUUUCACAUGAGAUACUAACUCUGGUGGUUGCAGAUCCCAAAUGGGGUGUAAUUUACAAAAUUGGAGCAAUUUCCUCAGGUGAAAUUUUACAUGAAAAAGCAUUUUAAGAUGAUCAAGAAGGAAAUUUCUCAUGGAGGUACUCAUGACAAGUAUAAAAAUUUGGUGAGCUAAAUCACAAUUGUCAAACAACACAUAAUUAAAACAAUGCAAUGCACUCCAUUCAAGACAUAGGGAAAAGGAAAAGAAAAGAAAAUUAAAUAAUUCAAACGAUAAAGUAACAGUAAAUCAAAUUCACAAAACGUUAAAAUGAAAAGGCUUAAUCAAAAUUUUGGUGGGUCACUCAAAUGGAUUUUGAUAUCUGCUUCAUAUGGUUGGUAUUCCAGAUAUGGUUUCAAUCUUUGGCCAUUAACUUUAAAUGUGACACCAUCCUUUAGAUUCUCAAUUUCUAUGGCUCCAUAUGGAUACACAUUUUUUACAACAAAAGGACCAUUCCACUUUGACUUUAACUUUCCUGAAAAUAAAUGAAGACCAAUUUCAAAUGUUUUCCGAAAAAUUCUUUUGUUAUGAAAAAAUUUGGUUCUUGCCUUAAUAAUUCUGGAAUUCUCAUAUGCAUCAUUCCUUAAUUCCUCAAGUUCAUUUAUUUGCAAUUUACGCAUAUUGCUAGCAUCAUCAAGAUUUGACUUAAAAGCUUUAAUGGCCCAAAAUGAUUUAUGUUCAAGUUCUACUGGUAAGUGGCAAGAUUUUCCAUAAACAAGCUAAUAGGGUGACAUUCCUAAAGAUGUUUUAAAAGCAAUACGAUAUGCCCAAAGUGCAUCAAUUAGUCGAAGAGACCAAUCUUUACGGUUUGGAUUAACUGUCUUUUCUAAAAUUUGUUUUAUCUCCCCAUUUGCUAAUUCAACUUGACCACUUGUUUGAGGGUGAUAAGGGGUAGCAACCUUAUGUAUAAUUCCAUAUUUCUUCAUUAAGGACUCAAAUGGCUUAUUACAAAAAUUCUUACCUCCAUCACUGAUAAUGGCUCGAGGUAUUCCAAAUCUGCUCAAAAUAUUUUCUUUUAAAGAGCGGAUCAUAAUCUUGUGAUCAUUGUGCCGACAAGGAAUCGCCUCAAUCCAUUUUGAAACAUAAUCAACAGCAACCAAAAUGUAUACAAAUCCAAAUGAUAAUGGAAAAUGGCCCAUAAAAUCAAUUCCCCAACAAUCAAAUAUUUCAAUGAUAAAGAUGGGGUUUAAAGGCAUCAUGUUUCGCUUUGAAAUAGACCCUACCAUUUGACAAUUCUUACACAUUUUACAGAAUGCAUGUGAAUUUUUAAAUAAUGUAGGCCAAUAAAAUCCACACUGUAAUAUUUUUGCAGCUGUCUUUUUUGAAGAAAAAUGGCCACCGCAUGCUUCAGAAUGACAAAAUUGAAUGAUCCUACUUUCCUCGUCGUCUGGUAUGCAUUUCGAAAAAUUUGAUCGGAGUAGUACUUGAACAGGUAUGGUUCAUCCCAGUAAAAGCUUUUUACUUCUGUUGAGAAUUUCUUCUUGUCUUGGGAACUCUAGUCACAUUGCAUUUCACUUGUUGCAAGAUAAUUAACAAUAUUAACAUACCAAGGCAUUUUGUUUAUAGAAAACAAAAAUUCAUCAGGGAAAGAAUCAUUGAUGGGUGUUGUGUCAAUUGAAGACUCAUUUGUAAGUCUUGAAAGAUGAUCUGCAACAACAUUUUCAGCACCCUUUUUGUCCUUGAUUGUCAAAUUAAAUUCUUGAAGUAGCAAGAUCCAUCGUAUCAACCUUGGUUUGGCAUCCUGUUUUGACAUUAAAUAUCUCACAGCAGCAUGAUCAGAGUAAACAAUAGUAGAUGAACCAAUUAAAUAUGAACGAAAUUUAUCCAAUGCAAAUAUUACAGCAAGUAGUUCUUUCUCAGUUGCAGUGCAAUUCAUUUGAGCAUUAUUUAAAGUUCUACUUGCAUAAUAGAUGACAGAGGGCUUACCUUCCUUUCUUUGACCCAGAACAGCGCCAACGGCAUAAUCACUAGCGUCACACAUUAGCUCAAAAGGCAAAGACCAAUCAGGGGGUUGCAUUAUUGGGGCUGACGUCAAAAGGGUAGUUAUUUUUUUAAAAGCUUGUUGACAAUCAUUAGUCCAUUCAAAUUAUGUCUUUUAUUAGGAGGCUACAAAUUGGUCUAGAUAAGGCACUAAAGUCUUUUAUAAACCUCCUAUAAAAUCCUACAUGUCCUAAAAAAGAACGAACUUCUCUAAUUGUCUUUGGUGAGGGUAAUUUCGAAAUGACUUCAACUUUGGCUUUAUCAACUUCGAUUCCUUUUGAAGACACAAUAUGGCCUAAGACAAUUCCAGAAGUGGUCAUGAAAUGGCAUUUUUCCCAAUUUAAAACUAGUCCUUUUUCUUUGCACCUUUCCAAAACUUUUUCUAGAUUAUCAAGACAUGUAUCAAAAGAAUUACCAAAUACAGUUAAAUCAUCCAUAAAAACCUCUAGACAAUUUUCAACCAUGUCACUAAAAUUGCUUAGCAUGCACCUUUGAAAUGUUGCAGGAGCAUUACAAAGUCCAAAUGGCAUUCUCCUAAAUGCAAAUGUUCCAAAUGGGCAUGUGAAUGUGGUCUUUUCCUGAUCUUCUAAGGCUAUAGGGAUUUGGUAAUAGCCAGAGUAGCCAUCAAGAAAGCAGUAGUAGGGAUGUCCAGCCACUCUUUCGAGAAUUUAGUCUAGAAAUAGAAGGGGAAAAUGAUCUUUUCUAGUGGCAUCAUUUAAUUUUCUGUAAUCAAUGCACAUGCGCCAACUAGAUGGAAUUCGUGUUGGGAUCGGUUCACCUUUUUCAUUUUUUACAACAGUUAUUCCAGAUUGUUUUGGUACUACUUGUGUUGGACUUACCCAUUUACUAUCAGAGAUAGGGUAGAUAAUUCCUACAUCUAGUAGUUUAAGGACCUCAUUCUUUACCACUUCUUUCAUAUGAGAGUUUAGUCUUCUUUGUGGUUGACGGGUUGUUUUGGCAUUUUCCUCUAAGUGUAUUCGGUGUGUGUAAAUUAAAGGAUUAAUGCCUUUUGUGUCUUUUAAGGUCUAACCAAAUGCAGUUUUAUGCCUUUUUAGUACAAAUAACAACUUACCUUCUUGAUCAUGUGUGAGCUAAGAAUAAAUCACCACCGGAUAUGUCUGCUGCUCUCCAAGAUAGGCGUACUUCAAUUCUUCUGGUAAGGGCUUUAAUUCGAGCUCUGGUGCUUCCUCUUCGUUUGGUUCCUCAGGUUGCACCGUAUCUUCAAAGUUCGAUUGGUUAUCGUCACCUAUAGGUACCUGCAUAGAAUCAAGUGUAGGGCAUGUGUCAGCAGUAUCACAAUCUAAUUAUUUACUUGAUUCAAAAGAACCAGCAAAACAAAUUUCAGCAGGGUUUGUAAAAUUCUCAUCCUGAAUGUGUUCCUCAAUGAUUGGCUCGAUGAGAUCAAUUUUCUCAUUCUCAUUAUCAUCAUCUUCUUGGCGGUGAGGUUGUUUACACAUGUUGAACACAUUGAGUUCCAGUGUCAUGUUACCGAAAGAUAAAUUCAUUAAUUCAUUCCUGCAAUUUAUCAAAGCAUUAGCAGUAGCUAAAAAUGGUCGACCUAAAAUAACAGGAAUUUGUUUGCAUUCAUUAGCAAUUGGUUCCGUUUCCAGAAUAAUAAAAUCCACAGGAUAUAUGAAUUUAUGGACCUGGACUAAUACAUUUUCAAUUAUUCCUUUUGGAACUUUAAUCGAUCUAUCAGCAAGUAAAAGAGUGGUAGAAGUUGGUUUAAACUCACCGAGAUUGAGUUGUUGAUACACUGAGUAAGGAAGCAAAUUAACACUGGCACUAAGAUCAAGUAAAGCAUGUCCAAUUUUAUGAUCCCCAAUAGUGCAAAAAAUAGUUGGACAACCAGGAUCCUUGUAUUUCAAAGCACUAUUGGUUGAGAGAAUAGAACUUACAUGUUCUGCUAGAAAAGCUCUCUUUUGCACCUUAUGUUUUCUUUUCACUGUGCACAGAUCUUUCAGAAAUUUAGCAUAAGAAGGUACCUGUUUAAUGACAUCCAGUAGAGGAAUGUUGACCUUAACUUGUUUAAAAGCUUCAUAAAUUUCUGGACUGUGGUUUGAUUUCUUUGACUUGAUCAUUGCUUGAGGAAAUGGGGGUACAAGAGGAGAGUUGGUUAUUUUUUCAUUGUUUAAAGGUUCGACAAACUCUUCCCUAUUUUCUGAAAUUGAAUCUUUACUAGUUUCACGAGGAUCCACAAUGUGGUUUUCGACUACUUUACCACCACAAAGGGUUAUAACCAAUUUGACUUGACUCAUAUUUUGGUUUCCUGAAUUUCCCAUUUGAGGAUGUUGUUGACUCUUGGGGUUUGGUUCAGGUUGAGCAGGAAACUUUCCUUUUUCAUGUAUGGUCAGAACAGAUGUAAGUUUGGAGAUAGUUUCUGUCAAAUUGGUUAAGGUUUGCAUCGUUUGUUUAUUGAUCGACUCUUGUUUUUCAAUAAACGAAUGCAAUGUGUCUUCUAGAUUUUUUCUUGGUGGUGGGACAUAUGGUGGGUAACUCUGGGAGUUUUGAAAAUUUUGACGUGGAGGAACUGGUUGUGAAGGUUGUGCAUGGUUGUCAUUUCUCCAACUGAAAUUUGGGUGGUUUCUCCAACCAUAGUUGUAAGUUUGGGAGUAUGGAUUUGGAUUUGGCCUUUUGAAAUUGUCAACGACAUUUACUUGUUCAUGCAGACUUUCUCUCAGAGCUGGUAAAGUUGGACAGUCCUGCGUAGAAUGAUCAGUAGAAUCGCAAACAUAACAUGAAAUAUUUUGAACAGACUUUACAUGAUCAUUUUUUUUUCGACUCUAAUGCUUCAACUUUUAUAGCUAAUGAUGCAAAUUUGGCUUGAAAAUCAUGGUCUUCCAGUUUCUCCUGGUUUUUGAGUGAAAGUGGUGAUUUGUCUUUUGAAAGAAUUUGUUCUGUGGGUGGGAAGAAUUUUUUCAAAAAUUGUGCUUGCAUUUCAUCCCAAGUUCUGAUGGAUUCUGACCUAAGAUUUUGUAGCCAAGUUUUAGCUUUAUCCUUAAGUGAGAAAGGAAAAAACUUAAGCCUGAUUAUAUUCAUGCUACAAUUUUGAUCAGUACAUGUGUUACAGACUUUCUCAAAUUCCCUUAAAUGCAAAUAUGGAUUUUCAGACUCAAAACAAUGAAAAGUAGGAAGAAGUCGAAUGAUACCAGGUUUGAAAUUAAAAUGUGAUGCAUCAGGAGGGAAAAACUAUGCAUGAUGGUGACCCUGUUCUAGUAGGAUGCAUGAAGUCUCUAAAGGUCCUAGGUUGUUCAUGAAGAUUUUGCAAGGCUUGGUCAUUUUCGUGCUCCGAAAAAUUUUCAGCGCCUAUGUCAGCCAUAUUUAAGGGUGGUGAAGGUGAUUUUCUAAUUAAUCUACCACUAUUUGUACGAGACCAACGACGCAUGCAAUGCUAAUGAUGUGUGCUAGACUAGUGAUGCAAAAACACUAAAUGAAUAUUGCGAAAAUAAAAAUAAACUGGAAAUUAAAUAAGCAAAAAAAUGCAAAAUAAAAAUAAACAAAUUGAAGAUAAAUAAAAUAAAUAAAUUAGGCGGUGAAACCAGCCAUAAACAAAGAAAUUAAAAGAAAUAGUUUAGGCGGUAUUUUAAAAUCAGCCAUAUAAUAAAACAUAAAAUUAAUUAAAUUAAUGCACAAAAAUAAAUAAACUGAAAUUAAAAUGCUAGGCGGUAGAACCGACCAUAUAAAUAAAUUAGCAAAGUGAAAUUAAAAUGCUAGGCGGUAGAACCGACCAUUUAAACAAAAAUACAUAAAUUAACAAAAUUUAAAUAACAGUCAGGUAGUAGAACCGACCAUUUAAAAUAAAUGCGAAAAGUAAAUUGCAGAAAUUUAAAGAAAUAAAUUUGAUUUGGGGACUGAUUUGCAAAGGUUUCUGGGCUAAGAUGAAGUUUCUCACAAAAUUUAUAGAUAAUGUUAAGGUUUGAAAAGAAGAGGGGUGCUAACUGAAGUUUUACAAAAAGAGAAUAAAAUAGAAUCACGUAAAGAUGUUAAAGACAAAAUAAAAAAAAUAAAAAUAAAAUAAAAAUAAAGUAAAGACAAACUAAUACCAAAUUUAGAAAACUCUCCGGCAACGGCGCCAAAAACUUGACAUGACUCAAAAGUGUAUUACUCUCAAGUAUAAGAGUGUCUAGUUAUAAUAUAACCCGGUGAGACCGGAGUCGAACCACAGGGAGUUUUAAAUCUAGUAAAACUAAGAAAAUUAAUUGUGGGGAAAAGAAAUUAUUUGAAAUCAAUUUAAAAAUAAGCUAAGGUUUAGGAUCCACUCUCUGUAUUCAAAGUAUAAUUUUAAUACUCUCUCAUUUAUAUUUUGCCUCACUUUUACCAAUUAAUUAUUAUAUCAUUUAAUUCUAUGUGUAUGGAUAAAUAUAGAAUAAAGUACCUAAUGUGCCACACUAUAUUAAUGUGUCGACAUUAUGUCAAAAUACCAUAAAAUCCAGUGAGAUUUAUAAAUUAACAUGAUAUAAAAAUAAUUAGAAAAGAAUUAAAUAAACUUAAAAACUCAUUUGAGAAAAUAAUAAUAAUUAAUAGUUUAAAACAUUGAGCUUCACCCUUCACCUCAGCUUAAUAAAAUUAGCUACUCAUAUUGAAAGAAAACACAAUACUCUUUUUAUUUGAUAAACUUUUUGAAAUAUAUUACAAAGAAAAUUGAUACAAAUGGAAACAAGAAAAGAAACAAAGAAAGAAAGAAAUUCUUCAACUACACUCUAUUCUCUCUCGGCUUAAGCUCUCAAAAUAACUCUCCCUCUUCUUAGGCGUCUCCCCAUCGCUUGCCACCCCUUUGCCUUUUAUAGGCAAAGUAAAUCAUCUUCUUUUCUUUUAUUUUAUUAAUAUUAAUAUUUUAUUUUAUUUUUAUAUUAUAUAUAUAUAUUGAAUUGUGUGAUGGUCAGGAGGCGUGAUGGCCUCCUGACCAUCACCAAUAUACUUUUGUUCUUUUUUUAUUUUUUUAUUAUUUAUUAUUACAUCUCUUCAAUUGUGUUCCAGUAGUUCUUCUUUGUUUUCGCUUUCAAUUCCAAUUUCAUCUUUAUUCCUGAAAAAUAUUUACAAGAUAAAAAUGAACAAAUUACGAAUUAAUUUAACAUAAAAUAUAUUUGGGGAGUAUUAAAAUAAUUUAGAAAUAAUGAACGCAUUAAUCGACACAAUAAGUGAAAAACUAAUAAUUUUAUCCUUAUUAAAUAUACAUUUUUUAGUGUCAAUCACAAGAUUCAAACAACUCCUUUUGUUCAUCAGUAUCAUCUUCAUUCUCAUUUUCUUCAUUAGGUUGCCUGCACAUGUUGAAAACAUUCAAUUCCAAAGUCAUAUUUCCAAAGGAUAAAUUCAUUAAACCAUUCCUACAAUUAAUCAAAGCAUUAUCAACUGCUAAAAAUGGUCAACCUAAAAUUACAAGAAUCAAUUUAUAAUUAUUCACAACAUGUUCAGUUUCCAAGACAGUAAAAUCCACAGGGUAUAUGAAUUUAUCAACUUGUACUAAAACAUCUUCCACUAUUCCUUUUGGUACUUUAACUUAUCUAUCGGCAAGCAAAAGUAUAGUUGAAGUUGAUUUUAACGCACCAAUAUUAAGUUGAAGAUAAACUGAAUAUGGAAGCAAAUUAACACUAGCACCAAGAUCUAGUAAAGCAUGCUCAAUUAUGUGAUCACCAAUAAUACAAGAAUGGUAGAACAAUCACGAUCUUUAUAUUUCAACUUGUUAUUAGUAGACAGAAUUGUACUUACCUGUUCGGCCAUGAAAGUACUCUCUUUUACCUUCAAUUUUCUCUUAACAAUGCACAAGUCUUUUAAAUAUUUGGCAUAUGAAGGUACCUGCUUGAUUGCAUCUAAUAGAGGAAUGUUAACUUUCACUUGCUUAAAGAUUUCAUAAAUUUCAGAAGAGUUGUUUGAUUUCCUUGGUUUAUUUAAUGCAUGCGAAAAUGGUGGUUUAGGCGGAACACUAGUUAUUUCUUCACUAGGUGUAAGUUCAUUUAGUCCUAACCCUUUGAAUUUUCAUCAUCUUGACAAGGUUCAAGUAUAGGUCUAUCAACAACCUUACCACUACGAAGAGUUAUAACUGACUUGACUUGGUCCGUGGGUGGAUUUUGUUGAAUUUUAGGAUUUUGUUGUGGUUGGGCUAGAAAUUUUCAUUUUUCUUGAAUUGUGAGUGCAUAAGUAAUUUUAGCAAGAGUAUAUUUCAAAUAAGAAAAAAGUUUAUGCAUUUUGAUUGUUAAUAACAUCUUGCUUUCUAAUGAAUGAAUGAAUUGUGUCUUCUAGAUUUUUCCAUGGUGGUAGAACAUAUAGUGCAUAAGGCUGAGUAUUUUGAAAAUUUUUUGGAGUUGGUGCUUGUGAAGAUUGUGCAUUAUUAUUAUUCCUCCAACUGAAAUUUGGAUGAUUUCUCCAACCAGGAUUAUAAGUCUGUGAAUUUGGGUUUGCUUUAUUGAAAGUGUUAAUGGUAUUAGCUUGAUCAUUUAGACAUUCUUUAAGUGCAGGUAGAGUGGGACAAUCUUGAGUGAAAUGAUCAUUAGAACUACAAACAUCACAUGCAAUUUCUUGAACAAAUUUUACUUGAUCACUUUUUUGUUUUCCAAAGCUUCAACCUUCCUAACUAGGGAUGCAAAUUUUGCUUGUAAAUCAUGAUCUUCCCUAAGGUUAUAAAUUCCUCCACUAGAUAGAGAUGGUUGUUGCUUAUUUGUCAAUUCAAAAGUUUCAACAGUAUCCCAAAGUUGUGCAUUUUCAACUAAUUAGUUAAGGUAAUUUAGUGCAUCUUCAGGAUUUUUAUCCCUAAAUUUACCAUUACACAUUAUUUCAACAAUCUGUAUACUUUGGGGUAUUAAACCCUCGUAGAAAUAAGUGAUCAAUCGCCAAGUUUCAAAACCAUGGUGUGGACAUAUGUUAAGCAAUUCUUUAAACCUAUCCCAACAUUGGUAUAACAUUUCUCCAUUUUUUUGAGUGAAAGAAGUGAUUUGCCUUUUAAAAGAAUUGGUUCUAUGAGGUGAAAAUUUUUUUUCAAAAACUGUUCUUGCAUAUUAUUCCAAGUUCUUAUUGAUCCAGAUCUAAGAUUCUGUAGCCAAGUUUUAGCUUUAUCUUUUAAUAAAAAAAGAAAAAAACUUUAAUCUAAUUAUGUUCAUGCUACAAUUUUGGUCUGUGUAUGUAUUACAAACUUCCUCAAAAUCUCUUAGAUGCAAGUAUGGAUUCUCAGAUUCUAAACCAUGAAAUGUUAGUAAAAGUUGGAUAAUACAUGGUUUGAAGUUAAAUCGAGAUGCUUCUAGAGGAAAUAUUAUACACGAUAGUGCUCCGGUUCUAGUUGGAUUCAUGUAGUCUCUUAAAGUUCUUGAUUGAUUUUGAUCACAUACAUGUUGAGAAUGGUUGUCUCCCUGCUCAAUUUAAGGAUUAGGUUUGCCCAAAAGGUUUUCGUCUUGGACCUCGUCCGUGAUUGGUAACACAAAAACUAAAUGAAAAUUGCACAAACAAAUGAAAAUUAAAUAUGCAAAUAAUAUAAGUGUACAAAAAUUAAAAAAUUAAAAUUAAAAUUAAAUUGCAAUUUUGGUGGUUGAACCCACCAAUAUAAAAUAACAAAAUAAAAUAAAGCAAUAAAUAAAUAAAUAAAUGCGAAAUUAAAUAAAUACUGAAAUUAAAAAAAUAAAUAAAAAUUAAGAGUUAGUAGUUAGAAAAUUAACAGUUAGUAACUAGAAAAUUAAGAGUUAGUAGUUAGUUUGUUUGUCCAAAUUAAGUCCAAAUUGAGUCCAAAUAAGUCCAAAAUGUAAGUCCAACUCUGAUUAUUGUGAGAAAUUUUGUCUAGGGAUCUUAUUGCAAAUUAUUUAUAAUUUUAUGGCUACACCACAAAUUUUGGAAGUUUAGAAUUGAGCCAUGUGGGAUAAAAGUGAAGCUUCUAAAAGCUUUCGGGUCUGAACAAAAUUUUGGAAAAGGAAAAAGGGGUAUAGCUGAAACUUUACACAGAGAGAAAAAACCAAAAAUGAAAAAAUAAAACAAAAUAAAAACUUUUCCCCGAUAAUGACCCUAAAAACUUGACACAACUUAAAAGUACUUUUUUACUCUCAAGUAUAAGAAUGUCUUGUUAUAUUAUAACUCGGUGAGUCCGAAGUCGAUCCUCAGAGAAAAGAUUUAAUUUGUUUAUUUUAUUUUAUCUAAAAGUAAAAAUAAAACUUGAAUAUAAAUAACUUUAUUUAAAUGAAACUAUGAAAUUGAAAUAGUUAGGGUUGUGGAUCCACUCUUAGUAGUAAAUAAAACUUAAUAAAUUCUUUUUGCCAUUUUUUUAGAUUUAUUGCCCAAAAGAUUAAUUAUAUAAAUUAUUAUUAUUUCCCUUUAAUUUUAUGAUGGAUUAAGUAUUUAUUGCGCCAAAAUUUAAUUUGUCUACAAUAAGUCAAAAUACCAUUUACCAUACCUUAAAUUAAGAUAUUAAGAAUUUAUUGUGCCAAACUCCCUUGUUUGUCUACAAUAAAUCAAAAUUUCAAAAUAUAAAAAAUAUAUAAAAUUAAAUAGAAAAUAAUUUAAUUUAUAAAAUAAAAAAUAGAAUUUGAUUAAAUCAUAUUUAUUUCCUAAGAAUUUCACCUUACUAUAACUAUUAUUAUUUAGUUAAGCAUAAUUGAAAUAAAAAAAUUUAUUAAAAUUAAAUUACUUAUAAUUAAAAGUAAAAAAAAACUAAAAUUGAAAAUAAAACUAAAUUUAUUUUAAAAAAUAAUUAUACAAAAUAUUAAAAACACACCUAAAAAUCAAGAUUACAGGGAGAUAGAGAAAAAUUGAGAAGAAGAAAGAUGUAGAGAGAUGAUUAAAAACAUAAAAAUGAGGCUCUAUUUAUAGAAAAAGAAAUUCAUAAUCCAGUGCUUUGCAGUCCAUCAUAACCUUCAUGCAUGCGCUCUUAGCAACCAUUAGAUCAAGAUCAACGGAUAGUCAAACUUCCAAAGUCAACAUCACACGUGGCAUCAUUUGACUUGUCUGAUUUAGCCAAAGAACGGUUGAGAUUUGGAGGGUUAAUGAGUGGAUCGGGUCGACUCGAAUACAAAGAUUCGGAUCCUACAACUUGCUUCAUUCACCAUUGCCACGUGGCACAAUCAUGGCCAUUGAAUCAUGAACGGCUGAGAUUUAGUCAAAAUUGCCAGCUAUCCCAUGCACUCAUAUCUAUUGUAAGCUCAUUUUAUCAUCCAAUCAGUGCUCCGUAAAUAGGAAAAGUCAACUCUUUUUACACAAGCCCAAUUUUAAGCCGAUCUUGACUCAUAGUAAGGUUUUCGGACCUCCGGAAUCUAAAUUUGACCUCCGUUUAUCUGUUUGGAGCCUCGAAUUACAUGAAAUUAAUAUUUUACCUAAUAAACACACAAAAUUAGAUAUAUUUAAAAUAUAAUUAAUAAUUCAUAAUAUAUUACACAAACACAAAUAUAAAUUAUAACAUAAGCACAAAAUAACAUUAUUAUCGCUUGAUAAUUAAAAUUUUUUUAAUACUAAUCAAUAGGGAUGGAAAAAAAGCCGAACCGGCCCAGUCCAUUCCCACGAACUUUGGCUGGGCCUCCCACAUGAGGGUCUGGACAAGGGUUUAGAAAAAAAAAAAAGCCCAACUCAGGUCUAAGCCCUCUAUUUUUUCAAAAACAUAAAUCUAUUAAUUAGAAUAAUAAAUUAAAAUUUAAAAAUAAUAGAAAAACAAGAAAGAUUAAAUCCUUAAUUCAUAUAUAAAUAAUUAAUUAAAAAACUUAAAAUUAUAAUACUAAACUCUCUUUUAAGUGUUAAUUAAAUAAGAGGAUGCUUGUAUUAGAGAAUGCAAUAAUAAAAAAUUAAAUCUCUAAACUUUGAUUUUCUUCAUUUUCUUUAUUUAUCAUUUAAUUUUGAAAUAUUAUUUUUUUAUUCAUUGUUGAUUAUAACAAUUUGAUUAUUAUUAACUCAUUUCAAGUUUAUAACAAUUUAAAAAAAUUAAAAAAUAAGUGAAGGCCAAGUUCGGCCCGACUCACCCUUACACUUCCACUCUAAUGGACUUGGGCCUGAGCUUGAAAAAGAACGGCCCAAGCCUGUAUUUUGCCAUCCCUAAACCUAAUGAUGCGUUUACUUCAUGGAAUGAGAAUAAGGUGAAAUGGGAAUGAGGUGGAAUUUAAUUGAGGAAUGAGAUUGAGAUUUCAAUUAAUAUUUACUUGGUAAAAAUAAAUGGGAAUGAGAAUGUGCUGGAAUGCCAUUAAUGUGUUUCCUUGGCAAAACAAAUGGGAAUGGAGAAUGGAAAUGAGAAUCAAUUUACCAAAAUAACCUAAUAUUAAAUAAUGUAAUUUUCAUUAACUAGAUACAUGUAUAAAUAUUAUUAUAAAAAUGCUAUUAAUUAAAAAAAUAAAUUUAAUAAUAAUAAUAAUGACAUUUAAAAUAAUAAAAAUUAAUUUUGAUUUGAACGAGAGUAAUUUAGAAAAUAUGAAAAAAUUAUAGGGAUAUAAAAGUAAACUCAUGUUUUAUUCUCAUUCCUUCAUUUUCAUUCCCAACCCCCUAUGGGAAUGAGAUUCUCAUUCUUUAUUUCCAAAUUGUGUGGAACCCACAUAUUUUAUUCUUAUUCCCAAAUUAUAUUUUGUUAAGUAAACAUAAGUUUAAUUCACAUUCCUUCAUUCCCAUUCUCUAAACCCUCAAGUAAACACACUCUAAAUGUCUUAUAACUUUAUUUGAUUCACCACCUAGGUUUGAAUGUUUAAAUAAAGUUUUGGAGCUUGGCAACAUUAAAACAAAGUCUCAAGGGCAAUGCAAGAUUGUUUUCAAGCAUAUUUCUUUAUUUGGUCCUCAUUUUCGAAUAUUUAUAUGUACAUAUAAUGAAAAAGAAAACACCUUUUAGAACGAAGUCCCAGGGGCAUAGAAAAUAAUUUUUAAACAGAUUUCUUUAUUUGACCACUAAUAUUCAAAUAUUAGAGGAUGUAAGAAUUAAAAAUAAUAAUCUAGGCUUUACGGCUCCCUCUAAAGAUAAUGUAUAAAGAAAAAAUGAAAAAUCAAACAUGUCCUUACAAAUUGAAGGAAUAAAAAUAUAAUGCUCAUAUAUUGCACGCUCUUAAUUCUCCCUUUUAUUAUUGCUGAUAUAAAGGGAAGCACGCAGGUGACGCUUCAACCAUUGAACUUGGAGAGAUUCAAGGUCCCUCGUACAGUGAAAAUAGUUAACCGUUUUCUAUUUCUAUUAUGAGAGAGAUACAUUAUAUAGCAAUGAAAGCAUUUCCAUUAUACAUUUGCAGUGAGAACACUCUUUUCUCCUCGAUCAAAUUUUUGAUUAGAGGAAGAGAGAGUGUGUAGAAGAAUUAAAUAUGAGAAAAGGAAGAGUAAUCAUAAUAUACGAGCGUGACAAUGAAUUUAAUUCAGAAGGUAGAUUGACAGGACCUAUGCUGAUAAUUUGCAUUGCUGUUGCUUCAGCUGGACUUAUGUAUGGGUAUGAUAUUGGUAUAAAUGGUAAAUCCUCUCACUAUCCUUGUGCAUUGUUAGUCUAUUUUAUGGGAAAUUAGUCAUUAUGAUUGAGUUCGACAUUUCAUCUAACUACGCUUAGGAUAUUUUUGUAACUGUCAGGUGGCAUAACAAAAGCAGAAUCAUUUCUGAAGAAAUUCUUCCCAUCAGUUUUGCGUAGCCAGAAAAAUGCGAAAGUUGUGGAUGGCUUUUGUUUAUUUUAUAGUUGGAAACUAACAGCAUACAACUCCUCUUUGUAUAUUGCUGGUAUCUUUUCAGCCUUAAUGGCAGGUCGCUUGACAACGUCAGCAGGUCGUAAAGGCGCCUUAAUCAUUGGUGGUAUCAUUUACUUGAUUGGUGUAAGCCUUCAUGCAUUAGCAGUAAAUAUGGGAAUGCUCUUUUUAGGUCGUGUCUUUACUGGAUUGGGAAUUGGUUUCAUAAAUCAGGUGUGCUAAUAAUUUAUUUGUUGCUAUAUGUGUAAUCACUUGCUAAUGUUGUUGAAUGGUGGCUAUAAACCGUCAUUUUAUGUUGAUGUAACCACACUACGUAAGAUGAUGGUCUUUCUUAGAAUUGUCAUAAAAAUGGAAAUGUUGAGAUUAGUCUUUUGAGUUAAAUAUUUAAAAAUCUUAGGCCCAUCUACUAACAAGUGGAAGAUAUUAGUAGUCAAAAUAUGGUGGUAGAAUAAUUUAGGUGCGUCAGAUGAAAAGACCAAGGUCUCGCAGUCGUUUCAUUCAAGGGGCAUUAGAUUGUGUCCCACAUUAGCUAGUAAAGGAGAGUUACUUGGAUUUAUUUGUAGAAUAGAUCACUCCACCCAAUAAGUUAGUCUUUAAGGUCGAAUACCAAAAAAUCCAAAGUCCAGCCCCUUAAGGGAAGUUACAUGAUUUCCUAACAUAGGACAAGUUAUUCCACUCAAUAGGCUAGUAUUUUGAACUGAAUACCUAAAAAUCCUAGGUUCAGCUCCCCAACAACAACAAUGAUGACAAUUUUAAGACUAUUAUCUAUAUUCGUUUUGAACUGUCAUUGCUAGAUGUUUUUGUAGUAUUGGCUUACUGAUGGUGUUAAAUGGUGAUUAUAUACAGACAGCUCCAAUAUAUCUAGUCGAGAUGGCUCCUACGAAAUGGCGAGGUGCAAUUGGGAUAGGCUUCCAAAUAUUCUUCUGGUCUGGGGUGGCUGGCGCAAGUUGGAUUAAUUAUUUUAUAAUGUCCUCCUUAAAUUCCAAGAGAUGGCGCAUCGCCGUAAGUGUAUCUGGAUUUCCUGCCACUAUAAUGACCAUCAUAGCUUUUUUCAUACCCGACACACCAAGUAGCCUUAUCCAACGAGGCAAAGUGCAACAAGCUCUUAAAUCCUUGAAUCAAGUCCGUGGCACUAAAUUUGAUUCUGAAAAUGAGUUGAAAUACCUAAUUAAAUACAAUGAAGACAUGAGGAUUGCCAGUGAGACACCAUACAAGAUGCUUUUGGAAAGGAAAUACAGACCCCACCUCUUGUUUGCAAUCGCUCUCCCAACAUUUCAAGCACUUACAGGCUUCAAUUUAAAUGCCGUGGUUGGACAACUUAUUGUUACAUCCCUUGGCAUUAGAUUGAAAGAUGUUUUUCCUAUACUUUUAAUACAGAGCACAAUUUUUUUUGUCUGCCUGCUUUUAACGGGUUAUUUGAUUGAUAGAGUUGGACGUAGGAUCAUGUUAAUAGUGGGUGGGUGCCAAAUCUUCAUUUGUCAGGUUAGUAUCGUAUUGCAACUAUUUUGUUCUCCUUUCUUUCAAGGGAAAAUGACCUUAGAUCCUAAUAUUUCUCCUUUUUUUUUUUACCACUCAAGUUCUCAUUUACUUUUAAUUUUUUAAUAUAACACUUUACAUCUUUCACAUUAUAAUUUUAAUAUUUGAAUUUUACUUUAAAAAAAAAAUCCGUUUGUAGCGAAUCAUUUAUUAAGAAAAAUCGAUAAGCUUUAUACAAAAGCAGAAAAAGAAAUAAUAAUAACUUGGUCCUAGGCAUCUACCAAUAAAUCUGAUUGUUAACAACUCUUCAUAUCAUUUGACAAACAUGUCACAUUAAACUAGUAAUAAGAUUAUAAUUGUAGAAAAAAUUUAUAAGCCUAUAAUUUUUCAUAUUAUAGUUUUAAGUUGAGAGUUGAAAUAAAUAAUAAAAAAAAAUUAGGGACUAAAACAAGGGGGGAAACAUUAGAAUAAAUUAUCUAAUGUUUAAAAUAAUUUGGCGCUUCUUUAUUUAGAUUAUCUAUCUGUAUCAUUUUCCAGUUUAUCUAAUAUAUGUGUCGGUUGUGCAGGUAAUACUGGCAAUCUUAAUGGCAUCAGAAUCACGGUCACAUGGAACUUCAAUAUUCUCGAAGCGCUCAGCCUUUGUGGCGCUAAUCUUAAGAUGCUUCCUUGGUGUAGGAAUGGCAUUGUCUUGGGGGCCGCUACCUUGGAUUUUGAACUGCGAGAUAUUGCCCAUUGAGGUUCGCUCGGCUGGUCAAGGAUUAAGCACUGCCAUCAGUUUCGCAGUCAAUUUUAUCACAAUUCAAACAGUCUAUCCAAUGUUAUGCCACUUCAAGUAUGGGGCAUACUUAUUUUAUGCUGGAUGGACUCUCAUUAUGACGAUAUUUGUGGUUUGGUUUCUGCCUGAGACAAAAAGGAUUCCCUUAGAAUCCAUGGACAUAAUUUGGCAUGGCCAUUGGUAUUGGCAUCGAUUUUUUGACCAAACCAUGCUAAAAUCAAAAUUAGUUGAGUUAUCCGAAUCAGAAUCAGUUGAGCCAUCAGAAUCAGUUCGGUCGUCAGAAUCAAUUCACCUAAAGAGUUGAUUAUGGAAUAAGACAAUACAAUGUUGUGACUAUCUAGAAAAUUACUGUUGCACACAAAUUUUUUUUAAUUAAAAUGUCAGAAAAGAAAAUUAGUGGCUCCCAGGUGAGAAAGUAGCUCUUCAAUCAUCACAAAAUCGGCAGGAGCAUCAUCAAUUAUCAUCACGAUGAAUAGCUACCAUUUGCAAGGUUAUUUUUACAUUCCUCUCCUAAGAUUUCACAUAUUUAUAAUUUAGUAGAAAGUAUGAAGGUGUUUUUACGGGCCUCCCUUGCUGUUGGUGUAAAAUUAUGUAUAGUAUCAGUACAUGAGGUUAAAUCGUAAAAGCUCAUUUAAAAUUAAAAAAAAAAAACUUAGAAACUUAAACUGUAGCAGCACUGGCAAGCACGAAGUACCUGCUGCAUCACUCCAUUAGCCGGUCCAAUUCAUUAUCCGUUGUGUAAUUUUUGAAAAUAACUCUUCACAAAAGUGUAAAUCUGAUGCAAAAUGAUUUACAAUUUCACACAACAUUCACCUCUCAGUAGCAACGAUUUGGAAACAUUGAGUAUUAUCGAGCUUGAGGAUCAAGAUUCAUCACCAUUUUGAACUUGCCCAUGAACGAGACAAGCUUGGGUGGUGGUAGAAGAUUGCUGAGGAGCGAGUACAAACGGCAGCGUGGUCCCUUCCGCGACUGGUACUGAAGCUCCGAAGAGGUUAGUCUCUAUUAAACACUAUUGCAUGUAAUUUAUAAAUUUGGCUUUCUUCGUUUUGGAUAUAUAAGAUGAAAAAUUUGGUGCUGCCAUGUUGUGUAUAUUUGUUUAAAGGAUAUGGUUUUUGAUGUAUAUUGAAUUGGUAGAAAAUCAUGUUAACAGCCACUAUCCUGUGAUGUUACAGAUAUGCAGAACCUGCUCAGAGAUUAAUAAAGCAUGUAAAUGCAUAAAUUUGUAAUAUUUAUGUGAUUGGGAAUGGAAAAAAUGAGUAAAUUCUUUUGAAGUCAGAGGCUCUGUUUUUAUGAAAUAGCUUUUAUUUUUCCCUGCCUAGCUGGUGAAGAUGAUCAUGGAUUUUUGGGCAAUGGUUCAUCGUUCAUUUAUUUCGUAAUGCAUGACUGCAGGAGUGCAAAUUGUGCUGUAUUGCCAAAUUUUAUAAGUUGCAGCCAUUGUUUAGAGUUUAAUAAUAAAAUAUCACUAUAAGAAAAUAAGUAAUAGAUCACUGGAAAUAAGUUAUAACUGUCAUAAAAGGAGGUGUAUGAUAGAUUGUCUAUUCAUCAUCUAUGUUACUGUCAUUAAUUUAUAACAAAAGUAUGAUAGAUUAUCAUUAAUUUUAAUUAUUAAUAUUAUAUUUUAUAUUAAUAUUAUAUUGGAAAAUUUAAUUUAUGAAACCAAUUUUGCAUAACUUAGGAAUUCAUAAAAUUUUAUUAAUAAUAAUAAUAGUAAAAUUCAAAUUAUAAUAAAAAUAAAAUAAUAAUAAUAAUAAUAAUUUUUAAAUAAUAAUAAUUUUUCAGCCAAAAAAUUCAAAUAAUUUUAAAUUUUCCUCUAAAAUGUUGUGUGACAGAUAUAUGAUUGUGAAAAAUCAUCAUGAAUUCAUGACAAAAAAUAUUCUGUUACAAAAAUAUUCAUAUAUAAGGCUUUAAUUUCUCAAGGACUUCAAAUAUUUCCUCUUAUUUACAUAACAUACAGUGAGUAAAAUUAAUAGACUACUACAUACUGUACAUUCUCAAAUAUCAUAUACCAACCUUAGUUAGGUACUUUUAUCAUAACACUGUUACAUAAAGCAUACAUUAAGAUUAAGCCAAAUAUAAAAAUAAUAGGCAGUUCCACCACCAUAAUUUACGAUAAUUGCAAGCAGUGGUCAUCCCUAAAAUAUAUAAAUGGUCACUAAUAUUUCACUAGACAUUGAAGUGGCUUAGAUAAUUAUACACAAAAUAGUUAGUUAACUCUUAAAAUGACAUUUGGCAACUCUGGCCGAGCAAAACCUUGGAAAUGUUGUCAGGAUCAUAAAAAUGAACUUCUUUAACAUAAUGCCAGUUACUUCUUUUUAGUUUGCUCACUUUUCAUUAGAACAGACAUAACCCUGCAAGCUUGGUUCUUUAAUGGCACAACCAAAGGCUUAAAGAAAAAAUAAUAAUUAAAAUUUGAUUUCAAAUUAAUACCUCCGAGAACUCACCUUCGAGCUGUUUUAAAAGCUGCCGUAUCUACACCAACAAAAGUCAUUUAGAGUUGUUAAUAACUUAGAAUCAAUUUUCUUACAAUUCAAUUUACCACUACUCCAUCAAAGCAAAUAUUUGAGUAAAAAGGUCCGCAAAUGAAAAAAAAAAGUCAAAAAGCUUCACCUUCACUGCAUCCUCCACUUUAAAGCCCAACAAUAGUAAUGCCUAUAAACAAGAAUUUUAUAGUUGUAAAAUCCAAGUAAAAAGUCAAAUAACGAUCAAAUAUCUUAAUCUUAUAGUUAUGAUCUAAUUAAAGAGGUAAAAGCUUCAAGGUUUUACCAAACCUUUCUUUAAGCCAUUUACUCUCCAAGAAAACUGUACUGUUGAAUUUCAGUAUAAUCAUAAUUAAAUUUUAAUCACUUUAACUUUUUUUUCCGACAAUAAGAAAACUGGAUUCAUAUUUAAGAUCAAAGUGUAUGUAAUAAUAUUAGCCGUACAGCCAUACAACCAUGUUUAACUGAAAGCCAAAUUGGCAAAACAUUUGCAGUAAGGUUCCAGCAAAACAUGUCGAACAAUGAAAUUUUGCUGUUGAUCUUUCAAUUUUGACACUUUCUUUUUUAAUCUUGAAAGAAAAAUAAAAUGGUGAAGUACGAGAUUUAAAUUAGAGAAAGUGCAUGUUUGAAAAAAAGGAAAGAGAAAUAAAUAAAGAGAAAAGAAUCUGAAAUUUAGGAAUAAAAUACAUAACUUUAGUAACUGAUAGGAGAAAUAUUAAAAAUAAAUCCUUACCAUCCUCUAAAUCUUAGGAAAAAUUAGAUUAGGAGAGAAUUCAAGUCCUAUAAUUUGAUGUGUUAUAUUAAGCAUAAAGAAAGAAGCAUUCGUUACAAGAAAUUGGGGGGGGGGGGGGGGGGGGUUGGUGGAGGUGGGAUCAUAAGCAUUUAAAGGAAUGAACUUUGGAUCUUCGGUUAAUUCACUCGGAACUUCUGUAACACGCUUGUAAAAGUAAAUUAACAACUCAAUAUUCAAUUGAAAAGCAACAAAGACAAAAAAUUAUUUUAGAAUGUAAAAUUAAUAUGCAAAUUAAAAACAGAGACAAGGGUAAGCGCACACACACCUUCAGUUGAUGCACGUGGCGUUGGUGGGUGUAUUAGUUCCAAGCUGUGAGCACAAGUGCUACUCGUCUUUGACGAUAAAGAAAAAAUAAAAUUUUGAAAUUUGUGAAACUGUAUGUGGAUUUGACGAAACUGAAGGAAUCAAAAGAAGAGUUCAGAAAAUCUCCAAAAGAAGAGUUCAUUCUCAUCCUCUGAAUUGUAAAUUAAUUAUUAUUUCUAUAAAAAAAUUUCAAAACAGAAUCGAUUAAAACACGAAUCGGAUCAUACCUAGGGUUUAGAAGAGAUGAGAAAUUGAGAAAAUGCAGCAGGUUCUUUGGACUCAAACGCGUCCUCGCUCGUUCUCGCUCAAUAUCGUUGUGAAAUCAAUGAGUUUUUGUACUGGCUAGAAUUCUUUUAAAGAAACUAGGAUUUUUGAUUCCCUAAUAUGUAGGCAAUAAUUUAUUAGCUACUCUCCAUUUUUUAUUUCGUCCAAUGCUUUAAAAGAGAAAUUAGUUCUUUGUGGUGUUCUUGUUCUUGGUCAUUACAAUUUUGCGGUCAUUCCAUGAACUCAGGGUUUGAGCAAGAGAAGAAACUGAAUUUUCGAAGAUUUUAAAAAUUGGAGUGAGUUGAUUUUGCAUUCAAAUCAGACAACCUGAUAUUGCACUGAAAUCAACAUUUCUCCAAGAAAUUGGGGUGAGUUGCUGUUGAUUUUCUGCUUGGAUUGACCAACCCUCUUUUUUUUGCGAGCCAAUUGCUGUAGAUACCCUGUGAUACUUUCAAAAUUAUUCCAAUACCCAAAAAAUUGAAUUUAUUAAAAUUUUCAUGAAUGUCCUCUGAAAACUCAUGUGAAUUACCAAAGUAUCCUCAACUUAAAAUGCUUACAUGGCUGAAACAUGACUCGUACAUGCCAAAUCGAGUUUGGACGAGUGUACAUGACUGAAAUGUGUUUCGAGAAGGGGAAGCGCUGGACUUUUGAGAAGGAGAAGACUAUUUCAUUGCUGCACAGUCAGGCGACGGGAGCUGAUCCGUUGCUGCACUAAAGCCGGAAUUUAACUUCUUUAGGUAAGUAGCUCCUUCUUCUAAUUAGUUGAUAUGGUUAUGAUAUUUAGGGAAAAAAUAUUAAGGUUUUACAUUGAAAAAAUAGAUUAAAUUGGUUGUGAGUCUCUCAUAACAUAUUCAAAAACAAACUUUGUAACUAUUUUGCUCCAUAAAAAUGAUGAAAAAUUAAUGAAUUGUGAAUAUUAUAAAUUGGUCGUGCAAGGUCAUGUGACACACGAUUUAAGGUCGUGUAAUGUGACUUUAUGUAAUACAUGACCCUCAGUCAUUUAUUACAUGACUUCCUAUUCUUCUUGCAUGUUUGACUUGCAUGACGUGUUUGAGCUUUGGAAAUCUACGUGUUUGUUGAUGUGUUUUCUAAUUUUGGAUAAUGGUUGAAUAUGUCGAUUGAUAAGAGUGUUCAACAUGUGCUUGCUAAAUUCAUGUAGUGGCCUAUCUUCAGCUUCAAAAUAGAUGUGAAAUGGUGAUGGAGGCUUCAUCUUUUUCAUGGAAUUAUUUAUAGGCAAAUUUGCUGCCAAUAUUACUAUUGGAAUCAAUGGUAAUAUUAACAGCUUUGUUUCUUUUCCCCCCAAAUCUCAAACUUCUAUGGAAUGUCACUUUAAUGUGGAUAUUUUAGACUUUUCAGUAUACUUAUAUGUCUUUGUCACCAACUUUUGCCAAAUAUUAGUCGUGCAAUUGUACUUGUUAGCCAUUGAAAGGGUAUUUUUGUCAUUUUAUCAAUCCACAAAUGGUCAACCGACGAAAAUACAAACCGCAGAGGAGGUUUGUAAAAAUACUUUCCUACUUUCUAUUAAAUUGUAAAUACAUGAAAUCUUAAGAGAGGUAUGUAAAAAUAACCCAUCAUUCGUAACUUGUCCUUUCCUAAUUUAGCUACCAUUUAUACAUAAAUAACUUUGUAAACUAGGGAUGGCAAAAUAACCCAGACCCGGCCCGAACCCGGACGAACCCGGAUAAUCCGGGCCGGGUUGAACCCGUAUCGGAGUAUAAAAAAUCCAGAUCCGGAAUGGAUUUUAAUAACCCGGAUGAAUCCGAGUCCGGAUCCAGGUUUGGGGUAACCCAUAUAUCUAGAACCCGGACUCAGAUACCUUUUUCUUAUAUUAUUUUUAAUUAUAUUUAUUAGUUAAUAUAAAUACAAACAUAAAAAAACCCUAAUUCUAUCUUUCUACUCACGAUUUUACGAACACAAACACUAAAACACAAUAGUUGUGCCGCCUCUCGCUGUCCCGCAGGCAAGGUUGGGUUCGCCAUCAUCGCAAGGUUGGGUUUGCCACUGUCAAAAGCUUGGGUUCCCCACCGUCGCAACUCAUUUGGUUCACCACCGUUGCAGCUCGGCAGCUCCUUUAUUCAUCAUCAUCGGCAGUCUUUUUUGAGCUAUGACAGGCUGACAGCUCACCUUCCUUCACCAUUAGCUGUCGUGAACACCACUGAUUCACCAGCGUGAAUUGUGAGUUUCUGGCCUUUCGUUUUGAUGUUGUUAUACUUUGUUUUAUGUGAUUUGUGCCAUGUUUGGUCUGAUAUUGAUUUGUGUGUGUUAUACUUUGUGAUUUGAUUUAUGAUUGAAAUAUUGUUGAUUGUUGGUGAUAAUAGAUUCGAAAUUGUAUAUUUAAAAUGUUAGAAUGUUGUUACAGUUAAAAAUAAAUUGUUGUUGUUAAUAGAUUCAAAAAUAUAUCUUUAAAAUGUUAAAACGUUGUUACAGUAAAAAAAAUAUAUAUCUAUAUAUAUAUAUAAAAAUAUAUAUAAAAUGGAAGAAAUUAGAGGAAUGACGGGUUAGUUUAAUUUGUUUUGACAUAAUUCUUGUAGGGUGUUAAAUUCGUAAUGGAAAAUGAACAAAGAGUUGAUUUAGAUGUUUCCGAGACUGAUGAAAGUGUGGGUGUGAGGGUUGGCAUGGAUAUGGCAAUAGAAAAUAAUGAUACGACUGCUGAAUUAGAACUUGAUUCAACAACAAUAGAGCAGGGGAGUGGGAGUGGGAGUGGGAGUGGCCGUAGGGGUAAUACUACUGUUGUCGCUUCAAAAGAACGAGGCGUUGGCAGCGAAGGGAGUAGUUCAAGUAGAUUAGUUUUUGAUGCUUUGAAUCAUUUUAAAAAGGUUAAGUUAGGCAAGGAAGUUCAAGCGAUUUAUAAUUAUUGUGGGUUAGUUAUGCAAGGGCAUUAUUCUCAUGGCACUGAUCACUUGAUUAAUCAUGCUAAACAUUGUCCUAGAAGGUCAAUCAAGAAUGUGCAGCAAAUGCACCUUUCUUUUUCUUCUAAAGCAGAUGGAACUACUGUUCUUAGUAAUUAUAGUACUAAACCAAAGUGGGAUAUGGCAACAGUGAAGUUUUUUAUAGCUAAAAUGAUUGUACUGCAUGAGCUUCCGUUAUCAUUUGUUGAAUAUAUUGGGUUUUACGAACUUUUAAAGUUUCUCCAACCUUUAAUUGAGACUAUUAGUAGAAACACUAUCAAAGUUGAAUUUUUGAAGCUUUACGAUAUUGAAAAGACGAAGGCAAUGAGUAUUUUAGAAGCUUGUGAGAGUAGAAUUCUAGUGGCUACGGAUAUGUGGACUGCUAGUAACCAAAAGAAAGGGUAUAUGGUUGUUACAGCACAUUACAUUGAUAGCUCGUGGGUGUUGCGAAGUCGUAUUAUGAGGUAAUAUUCUCGAGACUUUUUUUAUUUAAACAUAAAUGAAUGUUUGCAUUAUUUAAUAUUUUGAUUAUUUUUUUACAUUUUUAGGUUUAUAUAUGUGCCAGCUCCACAUAAUGGUGAAGUUAUGUGCAAUGAGUUGUAUGAGUGUUUGAUGGAGUGGAAUAUAGAUAGAAAGUUGUCUACUGUAACUGUUGAUAAUUGUUCUGCAAAUGAGUCCAUGAUUGAUUUGUUGUUGGGGAAAUUUUCAAUUAGUUCAAUGAUUAUGGGUGGCAAAUUCCUUCACAUGCACUGUUGUGCUCAUAUAUUGAACUUGAUAGUUAAGGAUGGUUUAUCUGUGAUACAAAAAGAAGUUGAAAAAAUUAGAGAGAGUGUCCAUUACUGGACAGCAACACCUUCUAGGUUUGAAAAAUUUGAGGUUGCAAAAAAACAAUUAGGUGUUGAAGAAACUAAAAACUUAGCACUUGAUUGUAAAACUAGGUGGAAUUCCACUUAUUUGAUGCUUAGUACAACUUUGUUGCAUAAAGAUGUAUUUGUUCGUUUAAAGCAGCGUGAUAGAAAUUAUACAUCUUUGCCUAGUGAGUUGGAGAGGAAUUUUUCAAAGCUUAUGUGUGAGUAUUUGAAGAGUUUUUAUAAGUUGACAGAACUUUUUUCGGGGACACGAUAUCCAACAUCUAAUUUAUUUUUUGGCAAGAUUUGUGAAAUUAGAUUGUCAAUGAAUGCAUGGUUACAAUCACCAAUUGAGGGGGUAAAAAAUAUGGCCACUAAGAUGAUUGCGAAGUAUGACAAAUAUUGGGAUGUUAUUCAUGGAGUUCUUGUUGUGGGCACUUUGUUAGAUCCUAGGCGUAAAAUGUUGUUAAAUAACUUUCUAUUUCCCAAAAUCUAUGGAGAAAGAGCUGAAUCCGAAAUUGAAAGGGUGCGCAAAUCAUUUGUUGAUUUAGUGCAUGAGUAUGAAGUCAAAUAUUCAUCAAAUGCAAAUUGGGGGGUUAAUGAUUCAGCUAGUUCUCAAGGUACUGCAGCAGAUGAUUCUGUUAUGGUAGACUUAGACUUAGAUGAGAUGGUUGAGUGGGAAUCAUUUAGAAAUCAGAACUCACAAAAUAAUCAUUUCAAAACAAAAUUUGAGCUUUAUCUUGAGGAAAGUACUCUGCCUUCAACUAGUUAAUUUGAUAUUUUGUCAUGGUGGAAGAAUAAUCAAGGGAAAUAUCCUAUACUUGCAAAUAUUGCGAGAUACUUUUUGGCCAUUCCCGUAUGAACAGUUGCUUCCGAGUCCGCUUUUAGCACUGGAGGUAGACAUUUGAGUCCUCAUCGUAGUAGACUUCAGCCAUCUACAGUGGAGGCGUUGGUGUGUACUUAAAAUUGGUUUUGGCUUGACCACAACUUAAAAGGUAUGGAAAAUUUAUUUAUUACAUAAAAAUAAAUUAAUUUGUUAUAGUAUCAAUUUAUCACUAACUAGCUGUUUUGUUUCUUAUUUUUAUGAUUUAUGCAUGUUUUUUUAGAUGGAAUUCUAGAGGAAGCAAUACUUUUUGCAAAAUAGCUUAUUGAUGAAAGUUUGAUGAGUGAGUUGUGAACAACAGUGAGUCAAGUGAAGAAGAAUAGAAAAUGAUGGAGAAAAGUUUAAACUUUAGAUUUGUGGUUUUUAAUUUGAACUUUGAAUUGUAGACUUGUGUUAUGGAUUUAUAUUUGUGGUUGUUUGAUUACUUGAAACAUUGAAAUUUAUGGAUUUAAAUUACUGGAUGUGUUAUUGCUGAGAAAUUUGUAUUGUUUAUGAAUGAUUUACAACUUGGAUGUGUUAUUGCUUAGAAAUGAAUAUGAAGAUCUUAUUUUAGCAUGCACUUUGCAGAGAGUUGAUUAAUUGUGAGCACUGGACUGAUGUUACAAGCUUUGACUAUUAUGCCAUUUUAGUUUGUUGUUCUAAAUUUUCAUUUAUCAUAGGUUAGAAUAGAAUUGUAGAAAUUGAUUUAUUGAUCCGGGUUCAAAACCCAGAAUCCGGGAACUCGAAUUUUUCCAGGUUGAACUCAGCCCAGACUCGGAUGGGAAAAAGCCGGGUUUUAAUCCGGGUCUGGGAGAAAGAAAAUGGCGUCCAGGUCUGGAAUCGGGAAGGCUAAACUCGGACCCGGACCUGAAUUUUGCCAUCCCUACUGUAAACGUUCAAACAAACAACCAAUCAAUAACACCAUCUCCUUUCUAAUUGUCUUGCAUAUUGUUUACCACGUAACUCUUUAUUCUUUGUAUUAUUUUUUUCUCAUUAAUUACACAUAUUCACAAUCCAUAUCUCUGUUUGUAUCUCCCAUUCACAAUCUCUCUUCACAGAAAAAUACUUUGCUUUGCCAUAAUUAAAUUAUGAAAUAAUUGAACUGCCUGGACAUGAAAAUAAGUAGGAUAUUUUAGUAAAAUGACUCAUUAUCGUUUUCAAGUAGCACUUGAAAAACAAAAAUUGCCUACAAAAUUAAAUGAGCCAUGCUAAUGAAACAAAAGAUAUUUUUGGUCAUUUAAAAAAUUUAUGCAUUUUGGUCAACAUCUCUUUCAGUCUAAAUAUACUACCUCUUGUCCACCAUAUCCAUCCAUUAUUGCACAACUUUGGUUGAUACAAUUAUUGUUCAACUUAAAAUCAAAGGUUAAAUUUUAUCAAGUAUUAUAUAUGUCACUAAAAUCAAAAUAACUUGAGGCCAUUAAUUAUAUUGCUCUACAUAUACCUUAAAGCUACAUUGACCACAACCAACCAAGCAAAUUUCUCAAUAAGUUCUUGAAACACAUUAUUUUGUGAGAUUUUUAUCCCUAUAAAACUCACUCUUUAAUCAGGUUUCAAAUUUUAAAGAUUUUUAUAUGAAUUAAAUGAGUGUUUAUCCUUAGCAAUCACCAAUGUUCAAUGAUAACUGAUUUUUUUUUACACCAUAUCUCGUUUUGACGUUGAUUGUUUUGUAUUUUCAAUAGGGAAAAGUGUAACAUAUGUGAAUUAAAAAUGAAUAAGUAUGAGGUGGUUAAGAAGUUAGUAAAAGCAAAAGAAUAAGCUGGAAACAGAGGAAACAUAUGCACGUGUAAUAGAGAGUGAGAGAGAAGCUGCCAAACCGACCCAACUACAGACCCGAAAACCCGACCUGGAACCCGCGACCUUGACCCGGCCAUAUCUCCCAUUUUCGGCCACCGUUUCGGCCGAGCUUGGUACCAAUCUGAAGCUUAGAAGCCGGCCGUCGUUCCCUUGCCAUCCUCGUCACCGAAAACCAACCGGAACGCCGGCGAUCGAAGCUUGAAACCCGCGACUGUUUCACUUUGCUCUGCCGGGAUUUUCGCCGGUUUUGGGUGACACCACCGGUUGGAUUUUGUUCCCCACGACUCCCUCUUCCAUUUCCAACCAUCCAUAGGCACCGAGAGUCACUGUUUUGUCACCGGUUGAUUGUUGGAAUUCAAGGUUGCCGAGCUAGAUUCCAGCGUCGUUACCGUGCGUUGGAGCUCACCGCCAGUACCAUUGAACUCAGCGUGAUUGGAACUUUCAGAUUUGAGCUUCCUAGCUAGUGUUGACCAAAUUUCGGUGACCGUUGAUCGGCAAGGGCAUUUUGGUAAUUUCACACUAUGAGGGCAAUUUUGUAAUUUUUGAGCCUGUGGAUAUUUUAGUAAUUCCUCGAAUUAAGGAUUGGGUGUAAUUACGAUUCCGAGGGUAAUUCAGUGAUGUAAGAUUUUAGAGCAUGUUAAUGAUCUACGGACUCAAGGGCAUUUUAGUAAUUUUAUGGACACGGGAGUUGUCAAUUAUGGAUAGAUGUUCGUUUCGAGUUUAUUGCAUAAAAGUUAGUCAUACUUCCGAUUUACGGAAAAUAAUUAUGUCGUUUCCUUGAUUUAAGAGGAUCCGCGAGCGAGAACCGGUCCGCGGACAUGGACGAUAACCUACCGUGAACACCAUCACUGUGAGUGGAAUAUACAAAACCUAUUUUAUAGUUAAUUAUGAUAGUAAGGCAUGUUUGUGAAAUAAGUAUUUUAAAUGUUUUGAUUUAAUGAUUUCCUUGAAAUGGAUUUUGUCCACGCAUUGGUAUUUUAUUAAAAUGUUUGGUUAAUGAUUUUGUGUAUCGACUUUGAAUAAGCAUGAUAGUAUUUUAAAGAUAAGAAAAAUGGAUUCAAAUGUGGCAUGAUUUAAAAAUAUGGUUAAGAGGUAUGUGAAUAUGAGUAUAAUGAUUGUUUUUUAAAUCAUUAGACAGUACCCUUCCUCUCCAGAUACAGUGAUACAUAUGAGAUGAGAUGAGAUAGAGGCCUUUGGGGCCCAUCUGAACACACAUAGAGGCUUUGGGCCGUGUGUUUGGGCGCUUUUGCCUUUUGGGGGCAUAUGCAUGCGGUAUGAUGAUUACAGAGAUACAGACAUAUAUUGAGAUACAGAUGAUACAUAUGAGAUACAGGCCUUUGGGGCCCCGUCUGAGUACACACAGAGGCUUUGGGCCGUGUACUCGGGCGCUUUUGUCCUUUGGGGACUAGAUUAUGCAUGCACAGAUAUGAUGAGAUAUGAGAUUGUAUUUCCCUGUCUAUCCGUGUAGCUCCGGGGCGUGACGGUAUCCAGAUAGUACAUCAUUGCCCGUCCGUUGAGGUCUGAAUAUGACGAGAUUAUUUCCCUGGGUACUUGUUUGGUGAUGAUUUUUAGAUUUGUGUAUUUUAUAUGAUAUUGUGAUAUGAUUUCCAUGGUUAUUUGGUAUGAUAUAUAUGCUUUUCAUGGUUAGUAAUCUGAUUUAAAUGUUAAAUGAUUUAUUAUUGGUUUCUUGCAUAUGGUUUGAUGAAAUUGUGUUUGGAAACGAUAUGAUUAUUUCUUUUAAAGUAAGAAUUCAUUUUCAAAACUACUAUCCACUCACUGAUCUCACUGAGUUUUAAACUCACCCCGUUUUUAUUAUACUUUCCCCCCUCACCAGGAGGUUGCAGGUAUACCAGACUGACCCAGCGACUGUAAAUAUAAUUUGAGUCUUGGCCAUGUGAUGGUGUUAGAAGAUAUAAAUGUUUUUGUUAGGACAUCUUGGUUAUCUCGUCCUCUUGGGAUUGUAUAAUUUUGUUAUAUUAUUCUUUUGGGAUUAUGAAUACACUGAGAUAUUAAUAUUAGUUAUAAUAUUAUCUUUUGAGACUCUGGAGAUAUAAAACUCAGCAUUUUGGUUGAGGAUGUUGAUCACUGGAGUUUGUUGUAUAUUGAAUUGUAUUGGGAGUGUUAUAUAUAUAAAGGAGACUCUGCCGAAAUUUCGGUAGAAUCUUUACUAAUAGAAUUUUUAUCAAGUCUGUUUUGAUGAGACUAGAUAGACUCGCCUUGGGGGGAUUCGGGGCGGGUUGUUUCAGUUGGUAUCAGAGCCAGGUUUUAGAUUCUGUAGACUUUACUGUCUUAAUAAGAAUAAGUUUUAUUAUUAAAGUUAGAAUUUAUAUCUUGUAGGCACCAUCAUGCUUCGUCGUAGCAGUAGACGUGGCCGUGGCCGUACUAAGCCAAUAGUUGGGUUGACUUCUAGUAGUGUACCUGCGGGGGAAAGUGAACCCGCAAAUGAGGGGAUAGUUGAAUCCUCUACGCAUGAAAUUGCACAACAGGCACCGGGGAAUGCCCCAAAUAUUGAGCAGUCAUUUGAUAGGCUGACUCAGAUCAUGACUACAGUUGUGCAAAAUCAGACUCAAGCGCAUGUCGGUAACGCAAACACUAUUGAGCGAGUGAGGAGUUUAGGGGCGAGGAGUUUUAAUGGUUCUGGAGAACCACUUGAGGCUGAGUCAUGGUUUGUUAAAUUAGAGAGUAUUUUUGACGUGAUGAAGUGUUCGGAGGAUGACAAAUUAUCCUUCGCCGCUUUCUUGCUCGAGGAUAAAGCUUACCAUUGGUGGCAGACAGUGGAGAGACGAUAUCAGGGGCAUGCUGCGAUUACUUGGGCCAUUUUCCGCAAGGAAUUCUACGAUCAUUAUUUUCCUGCUGUAUAUCAGGAUAUUAAACGGAGUGAAUUCUUUCGGUUGGUUCAGGGAUCUCUGACAGUUGAGGAGUAUGAGAAGAAAUUUUUAGACCUCUCUAGAUUUGCUACAUCUGUAGUCGAUGAUGAGAGAGAGAGAUGCAGAUGGUUCGAGGAUGGCCUCCGAUUUGAGAUUCGCACCACCAUGACUGCAUCACUAUAUACUGAGUUUAGAGAGGUAGUUGAGGCAGCCAGGAGAGUAGAGCACAUUAUUUCAUAAGGACGUAGAUUUCAUGCACUGAAGCAGAAGCGUAGCCAGAGCUGGGCAGAGGGUGACUCUAGUAGUAGGCCGCCCAAGAGAAGGGGUAUUCCUACGAUUUAUUCUGAUAGUACGCAAAUGAGUCAGAGUACAGGCUUCAGGGGAGACUCAAGACAGGCUGUUAGUCACAACUCUGUGCAACCAUCAGUGGGGAGUAAUACUAGGAAUUAGGGACAGUACGACCGUAGUGGUGGGGGAUAUUGCGAUGAUCGUUCUAGGAGUGUCCAGCAAACUUCUUGCCCUUCAUGUGGCAGGAAUCAUCAGGGCCAAUGUCGUGUUAGAGACAGAGUUUGUUAUUUAUGUGGUCAGCUUGGACACAUCAGGAGAUUCUGCCCUACUUUAUCUCAGGGUGAUAGCUCUGCAGGAGGGACAGCCUCACGGUAUCGGCCUUACUCUGGCCUGACCCGGGGUCAGAAAGGAGCGCAGAUAAGAGGUUCUACAUCUACCUUUAUGAGUCAGACGACUGCUCCAGGUCAGAGAAGUCACCAUGGUCGACCUCAUACUCAGGCUCGAGUUUUUGCUUUGACGCAGCAGGAGGCACUUGCUGCACCAGAAGUUAUUAUGGGUAUAUUAUCUAUCCUUGGCCGCGAGGCUCAUAUUCUUAUUGAUCCUGGAUCCACACACUCUUUUAUUUCUCGUACUUUUGCUAUGCACAUAGGGCGAGAGCCCGAACUGCUAGAUUGCGAUUUAGUUGUUCGUACACCUACCAGAGAGUCAUUACUUGCUGAGAGUGUGUAUCUAGAUUGUAUGAUUGGAAUGGGUGAACAUGAAUUUGAGGCAAAUUUAAUUUCCUUAGAUAUUUAUGACUUUGAUGCUAUUUUGGGAAUGGAUUGACUUGAAUCUCAUCAUGCUACAGUGGAUUGUUUCACAAAAGAAGUUGUGUUUAAAAAGUCAGGGAAAGCUAAGGUGAAAUUUUGUGGGGAGCGCAAAGUUCUACGCUCAUGUGUUAUAUCUGCUAUGAGUGUAAGACGGUUGCUAAGAAAAGGAUGCUCAGCUUAUUUAGCUCAUGUGAUAGAUACAGAAGCUCGAGAAUUGAGAUUGGAGGAUAUUACAGUAGUUAAAGAAUUUCCAGAUGUAUUUCCAAAUGAACUUCCUGGGAUGCCACCUAACGGAGAAGUUGAGUUUUCUAUUGACUUAGUCCUUGGAACAUCUCCAAUAUCUAUGGCACCGUACAAAAUAGCUCCAGCAGAAUUGAAGGAAUUGAAGGUUCAAUUGCAAGAGUUGGUGGAGAAAGGGUUUAUUAGACCUAGUGUGUCCCGUGGGGAGCUCCAGUCUUGUUUGUUAAGAAAAAGGAUGGGACUUUUAGACUCUGCAUCGACUACAGGCAGUUGAAUAAAGUUAUGGUACACAAUAAGUAUCCACUUCCGCGUAUGAUGACUUGUUUGGUCAACUCAAAGGGGCAAAAGUAUUUUCUAAGAUUGAUUUGUGCUUGGGUUACCAUCAACUUAGCAUUAAAGAUGUCGACGUCCCUAAAAUAGCAUUUAGAAGCCGUUAUGGGCACUAUGAGUUCUUAGUGAUGCCAUUUGGGUUGACAAAUGCCCCAGCUGCUUUUAUGGACCUGAUGAAUAUGGUAUUUCGCCCAUACUUGGAUCGGUUUGUGAUUGUAUUCAUUGAUGAUAUCUUGGUGUAUUCUCGAAGCGAGGAGGUGCAUGCAGAGCAUUUGCGGACUAUUUUACAGACUUUGAGACAGAAGCAAUUGUAUGCCAAGUUCAGUAAAUGCGAGUUCUGGUUGGACAGAGUAGUAUUUUUGGGCCAUGUGAUAUCAGCUGAAGGCAUUUAUGUUGAUCCUCAAAAGAUUGAAGCAGUUGUGAAAUGGGAACGGCCUACAAAUGUCACAGAGGUUCGGAGUUUUCUUGGAUUAGCUGGUUAUUAUCAUAGAUUUGUAGAGGGAUUCUCCAAGAUUGCUACUCCUCUGACACAGUUAACUAGAAAGAAUGCUAAGUUCCAGUAGGAUGAUGACUGUGAAAAUUUUUUUCAAGAACUUAAGACACGUUUGACCUCAGCACCAGUUCUUACACUUCCAUCUGGUAAUGAAGGAUUUGUGGUUUACAGCGAUACCUCUAGGCAGGGAUUGGGUUGUGUAUUGAUGCAGCAUGGGAAAGUGGUGGCUUAUGCUUCUAGACAACUUAAGAAGCAUGAACAAAACUACCCAACACAUGACUUAGAGCUAGCAGCAGUGGUGUUUGCACUGAAGAUAUGGCGACAUUACUUAUAUGGGGCAACGUGUCAGAUUUUCAUUGAUCAUAAAAGCUUGAAGUUUUGUUUACUCAAAAGGAGUUGAAUUUGAGACAGAGGAGAUGGAUCGAGCUGAUUAAGGACUACGAUUGCACUAUCGAUUAUCAUCCGGGCAAAGCAAAUGUGGUAGCUGACGCACUGAGUAGAAAGUCUUCCAGCUUUAUAGCUCACUUGCGAGUGAAAUAUGUGCCUCUGUUGAUCGAGUUGAGAUCUUUGGGAGUCGAAUUGAACGCUGACAAUCGUGGAGCUUUGAUAGCUAAUUUUUUAGUUAGGCCGACUUUGAUUGACAAAGUUCACCAGAUGCAAGCUCAGGACCCACAAUUAAUAAAGUUGAAAGAUGAUGUGCAGAAAAGUUUAUGAACCGAUUUUAUGGUGAGAGAUGAUGGUAUCUUAGUCAUGGGUAAUAGACUCUGUGUACCUGGUAUUAAAGAUCUGAAAGAAGAGAUUAUGGAAGAAGCUCACUGUUCAGCAUAUGUGAUGCAUCCUGGUACUACAAAGAUGUAUCGUACCCUAAGGGAUCAUUACUGGCGGUAGGGUAUGAAGAGAGAGAUAGCAUAAUUUGUUUCUCAAUGUUUAGCCUGUCAGUAGAUUAAGGCUGAACACUAGAGGCUUGCAGGGUGUUUUCAGCUGCUUCCUAUUCCUGAGUGGAAGUGGGAGCACAUCACCAUGGAUUUUGUAGCGAGACUUCCACGUACGCAGAAAGGACAUGAUGGUGUUUGGGUGGUUGUUGAUCGACUUACAAAAUUUGCUCAUUUCUUCCCUUUCAAGACCAUCUACUCGAUGAACAAGUUGGGGAGUAUUUAUGUGGCUGAAAUAGUUUGACUUCACGGAGUACCUGUGUCCAUAGUCUCAGAUAGAGAUUCUCGGUUUACUUCUAAGUUCUGGACUAGCUUGCAAAAUGCUUUAGGCACCAAGUUGAACUUCAAUACAGCUUUUCAUCCACAGACUGAUGGACAGUCAGAGCAUACUAUUCAAACUCUGGAGGAUAUGUUACGAGCUUGUGUUAUGGAGUUUAAAGGUAAUUGGGACAAUUAUUUACCUCUGAUGGAGUUUGCUUACAACAACAGCUAUCAAGCUAGUAUCGAGAUGGCACCAUAUGAGGCUUUGUAUGGUCGAAAAUGUAGGACUCCAGUAUGUUGGGAUGAGGUUGGUAAGCGGAGGUUAUUCGGUCCAGAACUAGUCCAAAAUACGAACGAGUAGAUACAAUUGAUUCGGGAUAGAUUAAAGGUGGCCCAAGAUAGACAGAAGAGCUAUGCAGACAAGCGCAGACGGGAACUUGAAUUCAAAGUUGGUGAUAGAGUUUUCAUACGGAUAUCUCCUUGGAAAGGGGUGCUUCGAUUUGGGAAACGUGGGAAGUUAAGUCCACAUUACAUUGGGCCAUAUGAGAUCAUUGAGCGCAUCGGUCCGUUAGCUUAUCGAUUAACUCUACCACCCGAGUUAUCCAAAAUCUACGAUGUGUUUCAUGUCUCAAUGCUCCGGAAGUACUUAUAUGACCCGAGUCAUGUGUCAUCGAAGCAACCAAUUCAAUUGAAGGUAGAUUUGAUUUACGAAGAGGAACCAAUGGAGAUACUGGAAGAGAAACACCAAGUUCUACGUUCUAAGACCAUUCCUCUAGUAAAAGUACGGUGGAGGAAUCAUACAAAGGAAGAGGCUACCUGGGAACGCGAGGACUUAAUGCGAGCUCAGUAUCCCUAUAUUUUCUUAUCAGGUACAUAAAUUUCGAGGACAAAAUUUUUAUAAGGGAGGAGGAUUGUAACAUAUGUGAAUUAAAAAUGAAUAAGUAUGAGGUGGUUAAGAAGUUAGUAAAAGCAAAAGAAUAAGCUGGAAACAGAGGAAACAUAUGCACGUGUAACAGAGAGUGAGAGAGAAGCUGCCAAACCGACCCAACUACAGACCCGAAAACCCGAUCCGGAACCCGCGACCUUGACACAGCCAUAUCUCCCAUUUCCGGCCACCGUUUCGGCUGAGCUUGGUACCAAUCUGAAGCUUAGAAGCCGGCCGUCGUUCCCUUGCCAUCCUCGUCACCGAAUAACCUCGCCGACGAUCGAAGCUUGAAACCCACGACUGUUUCACUUUGCUCUGCCGGGAUUUUCACCGGUUUUGGGUGACACCACCGGUUGGAUUUUGUUCCCCACGACUCCCUCUUCCAUUUCCGACCAUCCAUAGGCACCGAGAGUCACUGUUUUGUCACCGGUUGAUUGUUGGAAUUCAAGGCUGCCGAGCUAGAUUCCAGCGUCGUUGCCGCCCGUUGGAGCUCACCGCCAGUACCAUUGAACUCAGCGUGAUUGGAACUUUCAGAUUUGAGCUUCCUAGCUAGUGUUGACCAAAUUCCGGUGACCGUUGACCGGCAAGGGCAUUUUGGUAAUUUCACACUAUGAGGGCAAUUUUGUAAUUUUUGAGCCUGUGGAUAUUUUAGUAAUUCCUCGAAUUAAGGAUUGGGUGUAAUUACGAUUCCGAGGGUAAUUCAGUGAUGUAAGAUUUUAGAGCAUGUUAAUGAUCUACGGACUCAAGGGCAUUUUAGUAAUUUUAUGGACACGGGAGUUGUCAAUUAUGGAUAGAUGUUCGUUUCGAGUUUAUUGCAUUCAAUUUAGUCAUAAUUCUGAUUUACGAAAAAUAAUUAUGUCGUUUCCUUGAUUUAGGAGGAUCCGCGAGCGAGAACCGGUCCGCGGACGUGGACGAUAACCGACCGUGAAUACCGUCACUGUGAGUGGAAUAUACAAAACCUAUUUUUAUAGUUAAUUAUGAUAGUGAGGCAUGUUUGUGAAAUAAGUAUUUUAAAUGUUCUGAUUUAAUGAUUUCCUCGAAAUGGAUUUUGUCCACGCAUUGGUAUUUUAUUAAAAUGUUUGGUUAAUGAUUUUGUGUAUCGACUUUGAAUAAGCAUGAUAGUAUUUUAAAGAUAAGAAAAGUGGAUUCAAAUGUGGUAUGAUUUAAAAAUAUGGUUAAGAGGUAUGUGAAUAUGAGUAUAAUGAUUGUUUUUUAAAUCAUUAGACAGUACCCUUCCCCUCCAGAUACAGUGAUACAUAUGAGAUGAGAUGAGAUAGAGGCCUUUGGGGCCCGUCUAAACACACAUAGAGGCUUUGGGCCGUGUGUUUGGGCGCUUUUGCCUUUUGGGGGCAUAUGCAUGCGGUAUGAUGAUUACAGAGAUACAGACAUAUAUUGAGAUACAUAUGAUACAGAUGAGAUACAGGCCUUUAGGGCCCGUCUGAGUACACACAGAGGCUUUGGGCCGUGUACUCGGGCGCUUUUGUCCUUUGGGGACUAGAUUAUGCAUGCACAGAUAUGAUGAGAUAUGAGAUGGUAUUUCCCUGUCUAUCCGUGUAGCUCCGGGGCGUGACGGUACCCAGAUAGUGCGUCAUUGCCCGUCCGUUGAGGUCUGGAUAUGACGAGAUUAUUUCCCUAGGUACUUGUUUGGUGAUGAUUUUUAGAUUUGUGUAUUUUAUAUGAUAUUGUGAUAUGAUUUCCAUGGUUAUUUGGUACGAUAUUAUAUAUGCUUUUCAUGGUUAGUAAUCUGAUUUAAAUGUUAAAUGAUUUAUUAUUGGUUUCUUACAUAUGGUUUGAUGAAAUCGUGUUUGGAAACGAUAUGAUUAUUUCUUUUAAAGUAAGAAUUCAUUUUCAAAACUACUAUCCACUCACUGAUCUCACUGAGUUUUAAACUCACCCCGUUUUUAUUAUAUUUUCCCCCUCUCACCAGGAGGUUUCAGGUAGGGAUGGGCAUUUUACCCGACCUGACCCGACCCGACCCGACCCGAUAAAUUUCGGGUUCGGGUCGGGAUCGAAACCCGAUCGGUUUGAAAUUUACAAACCUGAUCGGGUUGUGAUCGGUUCAUGAUCGGUUCGGGUCAAACUCGACGCGAUCCGAAUACCCGAUCGGGUUCAAAAAAAAAACUGUAAGCUAAGUAGCUAACAGUCUAAGUGUCUAACACUGCACACACACACAACAAUGGUUUCAAACUUUCAAUCACUUAAGUUAACACUAACAGUAGCAGCAAACUUGCAGUAAACAAAUUGAAGAAGAAGAUGUUUAACAAUUAACACUUUAACAGUUUAAGCCACAGUCAAUGAGUCAACUUCAACAGCAAGUCAGCAACUACACAAGUCACACACAUACGCUGCUCGCUCGGCUGCUGCACAACACACACAAACACAACUUGUCACAAGCGAAAUAGCACACAACCACACGGCCCACACACACAUACGCUGGCUGCUGCACACACACGACACAACUACACAAGUCACAAGCUGAAGCUGCACACUUGCACAGUACACACAUAGAAUGACAGAACAGAACAAAACAGAACAGAACACACACGAGCUGCACAGUACACACACAUGCUGAACAGUCACUCAAGUCUCAAUAAUUCACUCGCAAACCUAACACACACACAUACACACGCUGUCAGCCACAACUCACAAGUUCAAUUGUUCAAACAACUUAACAGCAGAACAUUACAAGGCAGCCGCAACCCGCAAGUCUGUAACCACCAACCAGCCACCACAAGACGGAUCUGUUGCUGCCAACUGCUGAAGAAAUCACGAUCUGUUGCUGCCAAGUGAAGUCACAACCAGCCGUGAGCCGUGAGCCGUCCGCAUCUCCAUGAUCUGCUGCUACCAACUCCCAAGUGAAGCUGCGAUCUGCUGCCAAGUGAAAUCCCGUCCGUCCAGCCGUGAGCCGUGGCCACCGAUCUACUGCUUGAAGGCCGAAUCCUCUCCACCCGAACCCGAUUUUGAAGCUUUCCGGUUUCCACCUUCCAUUUUGAAGUUUCAAGCUUCAAGCUUCAAGCCUUCAAGGCUUCAACUUUAUUGAAGUUCCCAAUCCGUUUCAGUUUCAGACUUUUAAAGUUUUAAUUUUCCUUCAGUUCACGACUUCACGCCUCACGGUAUAUAAGAUAUAACUAUAUAUACACUAUAUAAUUAAUUAAUUAUAUAUAUGCUAAAUAAUUUAUUACUUUAUUAUGUAAUUGAGUAAUUAGUUAAUGGUUAUUAUUUAAUUGUUGUAAUUAACUAAUUAUGUAUUUAUAAAUAUUAAUGAUAAAAUCAAGGAAAUUUUGUUAAUUAUUGAGCUCAUCAGAAAUUAUUUUUUUGUCAUAUAUAAAAAGGAAUUGAAUAUUGAUGAUUGGUGAUUUGGUGGGUUUUGUUUUUAUUUCAUUGAUUAUUAAUUUUUUAUUGUUGACUCUCUUUAGCGAAUUAGACUAUAACAAAUUAACAAUCAAGCACAAAGAAUAUAUGAAAAUGGUGUUAGUCAGCGAAUAAUAAAAAUUUUGAUAAUUGUUAAUAAUUGAAAUAAUAUUAAUUGAUAAUUGUUAAUAAUUGUUAAAAAACAGUUAAUAUUUGAUUUUUUAUGAAUAAAUUAGCACAUUAGGUAGAUUAAAUAUUAAAAUUAAUUAUUAUAUUGUAUAUAUUUUAUAAUUAUAAUGUGUUAUGUAAUUAUGUGUACUUGUGCAGUAGCUUCAAGCUUUCAAUCCUAAAAAAAUUAAUAAAUUCAAUUAAUAUUUUAUUGUAUGUUAAUCAUCCGUUAAGUUGUUAAGUACAAGUAACUUGGACUUGAAAUUAAAGGAUUUAAUUUAUAAUAAGAAAUAAGAUAUAGAUAGACAAAUAAUAUCAUAUUAUUAUGGGGAAUAGACUAUUGGAUAUUAUAAAUUAAUUAAUUAAUCAUGAAUUUCUUAUUUUUUGUUUAUGAAGCAUGAACAACUUGAAUUGAAAUUACUAAUUUUUGUUUAUGGAUUAUGUUAAUAAUAUUUAUGUGUUUUGAUUUUUGAAUUAAUGAUUAUUAAUUAUUAUUUUGAAUAUUCAGAUGCUUGGACACUCAAGAUCGAAUUCGAUGAGUGACGAUGAAGGCCAAAGUGUACAAAUGGAAGGAACCCAUAGAGGAAAGGAAAAGGCGAAGCGGAAAAGACUGCCAAUGAAAAAAAGAUCGACAGUAUGGAAUCAUUUCACUUUACUCGAAGAUAAUCCAAACAAAUGUAUGUGCAACUAUUGUGGUAAGCAAUAUCAAUGUCAUUCAAGGCUUGAUGGGAUUAUAAAUAUGACAAGGCAUAGAAAGACAUGUGAAUCAUACAAGACAUUUCGGGCACAACAAAGUGGAAGUCAACAAAAUUUGACAUCCGAGGGCGGCGAAGAAAAUGCAAGUAAUUUGGUUUUGGGUAAAGGAUGGAGUCAAGACGCGUGUCGAAGGGCAGUAACUAAAAUGAUUAUUAUGGGUGAGUUGCCGCUCAGUUUUGUAGACAACAAAGGCUUUAGGCAUUUCUGCAGUGUAGCUAUCCCUCAGUUUGUUAUGCCAUCUCGAAGAACAAUUGGUAGAGAUGUUAUGGAGUUAUUUUUGGAGGAAAAGGCAAUGUUGAAGAGUUUUAUUUGUAACAACAAGCAACGGGUGUCUCUUACAAAUGAUUUAUGGACUUCUGUUCAAAACAUGAGCUACAUGGUGAUUACAGCUCAUUUUAUUGAUAGUGAUUGGUGUUUGAAUAGGAGGAUUAUUAGUUUUAGCGCCAUCGAAGAUCAUAGAGGGAAGUCGAUUGGUAAAAAGAUUGUGGCUUGCCUACAAGAUUGGGGGAUAGAGAGGUUGUUUGCAAUAAUUGUUGAUAAUGCCACUGCAAAUGAUGUUGCUGUUGGUUAUGUAACUAUGCAGUUGCUUAGUUGGAGGAAUGAGGAUGCACUUGUGUUGGCGGGACAAUAUAUGCAUGUGCGUUGUUGUGCACAUAUUUUGAAUUUGAUUGUUGUCUCAGGAUUGGGAGAGUUGCAUGCUAGUGUUACCGCUAUUCGAAAUGCAGUGAAGUAUGUGAGAUCCUUCAGCAUGAGGCUACGGACAUUUAAACAAUGUGCUGAGUAGGUGAAUUGUCCAAAAGGAAUUGUUGUUUUGGAUUGUCCUACCAGGUGGAAUUCCACUUAUUUGAUGUUGAUGACUGCGCUGAAAUUUCACGCGGCAUUUGAUAGAAUGGCAGAAGUGGAUAAACCUUAUGAGGCAUUCUUUGCUGAGAAAGAAAAUAAUGUUAGAAGGGUAGGCCCACCUGGACCGGAUGACUGGGAGAGUGCCGAACGAAUUGUGAAGUUUUUGAAGGUAUUUUAUGAUGCCACAUUAUUAUUUUCUGCCUCUUUGAGUGUGACUUCUAAUCUUUGUUAUGAUACUAUUGGCUUAAUCGAGAGUUCAUUGACUGCACUGCAAGAAAGUACCGAUCCUUGAGUGUCCUCUAUGGCUUAUAGUAUGAGGGAAAAUUUUGACUAGUAUUGGGAGUCCACAGGAAAGAUAAAUAAAAUGUUGAUUAUUGCCUCUAUUCUUGAUCCACGAGCAAAAAUGGAUUUUGCUAAACAUAUUUUUGAGAUCAUUUUUGGCAAUGAUAGUUUGAUGGUUAAACAAAUGACCAAAGCAGUGAAGGACUUGUUGAAUGAGUUUUAUGAUGCAUAUAGUGCAUUCUCCGCUAGUUUCACACCAUCGAUGUAUGGUGAGAGUGGUCUUAGUGGCAGUUAUAGUUUGAUGGUUGAACAAAUGACCAAAGCAGUGAAGGACUUGUUGAAUGAGUUUUAUGAUGCAUAUAGUGCAUUCUCCGCUAGUUUCACACCAUCGAUGUAUGGUGAGAGUGGUCUUAGUGGCAGUUAUGGAGGUACAAGUUCUUUUCAACGUUUUACAACUGAGGCUAAUUUGGUGGAUGUUGCUGGUGGUGAAUAUGAUGACGCUUUUCAAGUAUCUCGCCCUUUCCUUGGAUAUGCCAGGAAGGUUUCUGUUCAGAAUGAGAGUAGAAGAGUAGUAUCUGAGGUGGAAAGGUACUUGAAGGACCCAGUUAAAGAUCCCAGCAAUCUUAAACUUAAUGUUUUGCUUUGGUGGAGGGUGAAUGGAUCGAGGUAUCCAAUUCUUGAGAAAAUUGCAAGAGAUGUCCUUGCUGUUCCUGUUUCCACAGUGGCAUCUGAGUCUGCUUUUAGCACCGGGCGUCGUAUUAUUGAUGAGUAUAGGAGUUCUUUAACUUCGGCUAUGGUUGAGGCAUUGAUAUGCACUGAAAAUUGGCUGCAGUCUAAACUUUUUGCCAAUCCCGUCUACAACCUCCAAGAAGAUAUCAAGGAGCAAAUAUUUCAUAUGGAAUUACAAGAAGGUAAUGUUUUUAAUUUUUUAUCAUACAUUAAAUACAUAAUAUAUUUAAAAUGCAUUAUAAUUUUAUAUAGAACAUAUACAUAUUAAUUGUUUUUUGGAUUUUAUAGAACUUAUAAAAUCGCAAGCUUCGACAGUGGAAGCGGUGAGCGCCGACAUUGGUGUUAUGGAUGUUUGAAAGGUAACUUUUAAUAUAUAUUAUUAUUCAUAAUUUGAUAUUAUAGUACUAUUAGUAUUUGGUUGUAAUUUAAGCUCCUAUAAUUAUAGUUGUUAUAGUUUUAAAUUUUAAGUUUAAUUUGUAAUUAUUUUAGUUGAAGUUGAUAGAAUGUUAUUAUUGUCUAAUAUUAUUAUUAACUUGAUUUGGUGAUGAAUGCCAUAAAAUAAGCAUGAUAAAAUAGAAAUAUAUAAUCAAGAGUGUAUUGAAAAAUUUGGUAAACAUAUAUAUUUAUUUGUAAUUAUAAAUUUAUAAUGAUAUAAUAGAAAUUAGAAAGAUUGUAACAUCCCUUAAUUUAAUUAAAGAUAUGAAUUGGAUUUAUUUAUUUGUAUUUGUGUUUGAUGUGUAACCUUAUGAAUUUGAUAUAUUUGCUCAAUUUUUAAUAUGAAUUGAGUUUGUUCAUUUGGAACGUGGCUUAAGGAAAAUAUUUAUUGUAAAUUUUCUCAAUCUUUCUCUAGGCAAUCGGCACUUGAACUUGGAGUUCAAAAUUUUCAAUUUAGAAUUUGUCAAAGUACUUGUAUGGAGCCAUGGAGGAACCAAGGUGGAGGAACCAAAAAAGCUUAUUUAGUUUUAAUGUUUGAACUUUGAAUUUUGUGAUUUAUGUUUCUAAACAAUUUAAUUUUGUGACUUUGUGAGUUUGUGUUUCAAACUUUUAAAGACUAAUAUUUGGAAUUUGUUCUUUGGACUUUGUAAGUUUGUAUUAAUUUUAACUUUUAUUAAGUUUGGAACUUUGCAUUUUGUUGAUUGAGCAAAUAAUAGUCCUAAUUCUACCCUCCAAGUCCAAGCCAAUAGGCAAAUAAUCCUAUAAUAGCUUUUUAACUUUAUUCAUUUGAAAUAAUGACAUUUUCUUUUCUUUUUUCAGUUGAAAAUUAGUAAAAAUGACUACAAUUAAGAAAAAUGUCUUAAAACUUUCAUAAAAAACUAUAAUAAUAGGAAAAAAAGAGCUCAAAAUUGUAUUAACCGAAUUUGACCCGAAUUGACCCGAUUUCAACCGACCCGAACUGACCCGAACUCAAUCCUACCCGUUUUAAAUCCAACCCGAUCCAACCUGAACAUAACCCAAAUUAAUGACCCGACCCGAACAUAGUUCGGGUCGGUUCGGGUCGGGUCAUUAAUUCGGGUUAUGUUCGGAUUGGUUCUUGUCUAACCCGAACAACUCGAAACCCGAUCGGGUUGACCCGAACCCGACCCGAACCCGAUUUUGCCCACCCCUAGUUUCAAGUAUACCAGACCGACCCAACGAUUGUAAAUAUAUUUUGAGUCUUGGCCACGUGAUGGUGUUAGAAAAUAUAAAUGUUUUUGUUAGGACAUCUUGGUUAUCUCGUCCUGUUGGGAUUGUAUAAUUUUGUUAUAUUAUUCUUUUGGGAUUAAGAAUACACUGAAAUAUUAAUAUUAGUCAUAAUAUUAUCUUUUGAGACUUUGGAGAUAUAAAACUCAGCAUUUUGGUUGAGGAUGUUGAUCACUGGAGUUUGUUGUAUAUUGAAUUGUAUUGGGAGUGUUAUAUUCAUAUUUCUAGAUUGAGAGUGUUAUAUUCAUAUUUGUAGAUUGAGAGUGUUAUAUAUAUAAAGGAGACUCUGCCGAAUUUUCGGCAGAAUUUUUAUCAAGUCUGUUUUGAUGAGACUAGAUAGACUCGCCUGGGGGGAUUCGGGGUGGGUCGUUUAAAAAAGGAUCGUUAAACCUCAAAUAUUUAUCGAAAGGAACAUAAACCCCUUUACGUUUUAAAAAGAUAUUCAAAUCUCUGUUUCUCAAGAAAUUCUGUUUGCUUAACUGAAAAUAUAUUUUAAACAUGUAAUUACUAUUAUACUUCUCUAGCAUACUAGUCAAUAUAUUGGUUUAUUAACCUUUCCUUUCAUCAAGCUGAUGAAGUUGGGAGUGACAGUGGUGGCUUAUUGACUUUACUCAUAAAACGCCUAGCCACAACAACACUCCGGUAAACAAUAAGAAAUUCCUUCUAAAAUAAUAACUAGACAACCCAAGGGGGGGGAGAAUUGAGAUUUUUAAAGCUUAUACUAAACAAACCACACAAUAAUUUAAUUUAAUGCCUUAAUGAAAUAAAAAACAAUAAAUUUAACAAUACUAAAAAAUAAAAGAGUAAGAGAAGAGAGAGCAAACAUAAAGAUUUUUACGUGGUUUGGCCAACCCCGCCUACGUCCACGCCUCCAAGCUCACCGGGGUUGAGGAUUUUACUAUUCAAGCAUCCCAAGGUUUCAAAUGCUUACAAUUGACUUCUAAGGUGUUAAUGGACCUUUACAACAAGAGAUCUUUCUCAAUCUCUUCAUCCAAGUGUAUUCCAACAUUUACAACCUCUCAACUUGAUUUUAUAAAAAUGAAUACAAAUAAAUUUUCCUCACACAAUGUAUUUGAUUAUAAAUGAAAGCUCAAUGUGUGUAAAUAAAUGAAAUGAAUACAAAUUUUAUGCUCGAAUUGCAGAGAAUGGCUCAAUCAUAACAAUGGUUGUAUAUAUAAAAUGAAUUUGAUUUGUGCCAAUUUAUAGUUGAAGAAGAAAAUUAGCUGUUUGACUUUUUGGUGAUAUUCGGCUUGCCGCUUUGUGUUAACUGGCUUGCCACUUUAUGUUACCAUUAUGUUCAAAGAUUUGAAUUAUUGCACAUUCAGUGUGCCGCUUUUCAUUUCUGGUUAGCCGCUUUUACUCCAGAGAGCUUCUUCUUGAUAAUCCGUUUGCCGCUUUGAUAAAUCCAACUAGCUGCUUGCUACAGUGAAACAAUUAGUUUCCAAAAUUAUAGUUUUGCCCCAAUACUUUAUAAAAUUACACUAUAACCUAAAUAUUUAUAAAACUUUACAAAUAGGUCCGUUUUCAAAAUUUUAAAAUAAUAUUUGUUGAUUUCAAAGUUCUUAAAACUUUUCAAUUUAAACCAUAAACUUGAAAACAACUAAUUUCAUAAAAUUAUUUUCUUGUUAUAAAAACAUAAUGUGUAAUUCUUUAUUUAUCCAAAACAUGUGGUUUGUUAUCAUCAAAAUCAACAUUUUAUAUCCAUAUAGGCUAACAAUCUCCCUCGUUUUUAUGACGACAAAACACAUUAUAAAAUCUUUGGGGACUAGAUUAUACAUACACAGAUAUGAUGAGAUAUGAGAUGGUAUUUCCCUGUCUAUCCGUGUAGCUCCGGGGCGUGACGGUACCCAGAUAGUACGUCAUUGCCCGUCCGUUGAGGUCCGGAUAUGAUGAGAUUAUUUCCCUAGGUACUCGUUUGGUGAUGAUUUUCAUAUUUGUGUAUUAUAUAUGAUAUUGUGAUAUGAUUUCCAUGGUUAUUUGGUACGAUAUUAUAUAUGCUUUUCAUGGUUAGUAAUCUGAUUUAAAUGUUAAAUGAUUUAUUAUUGGUUUCUUGCAUAUGGUUUGAUGAAAUCGUGUUUGGAAACGAUAUGAUUAUUUCUUUUAAAGUAAGAAUUCAUUUUCAAAACUACUAUCCACUCACUGAUCUCACUGAGUUUUAAACUCAUCCCGUUUUUAUUAUAUUUUCUCCCCCUCACGAGGAGGUUGCAGGUAUACCAGACUGACCCAACGACUGUAAAUAUAUUUUGAGUCUUGGCCACAUGAUGGUGUUAGAAGAUAUAAAUGUUUUUGUUAGGACAUCUUGAUUAUCUCGUCCUGUUGGGAUUGUAUAAUUUUGUUAUAUUAUUCUUUUGGGAUUAUGAAUACACUGAGAUAUUAAUAUUGGUUAUAAUAUUAUCUUUUGAGACUCUGGAGAUAUAAAACUCAGCAUUUUGGUUGAGGAUGUUGAUCACUGGAGUUUGUUGUAUAUUGAAUUGUAUUGGGAGUGUUAUAUUCAUAUUUCUAGAUUGAGAGUGUUAUAUUCAUAUUUGUAGAUUGAGAGUGUUAUAUAUAUAAAGGAGACUCUGCCGAAUUUUCGACAGAAUCUUUACUAAUAGAAUUUUUAUCAAGUCUGUUUUGAUGAGACUAGAUAGACUCACCUGGGGGGAUUCGGGGCGGGUCGUUCCAAAAAGGAUCGUUAAACCUCAAAUAUUUAUCGAAAGGAACAUAAACCCAUUUACGUUUUAAAAAGAUAUUCAAAUCUCUGUUUCUCAAGAAAUUUUGUUUGCUUAACUGAAAAUAUAUUUUAAACAUGUAAUUACUAUUAUACUCCUCUAGCAUACUAGUCAAUAUAUUGGUUUAUUAACCUUUCCUUUCAUCAAGCUGAUGAAGUUGGGAGUGACGGUGGUGGCUUAUUGACUUUACUUAUAAAAAGCCUAGCCACAACAACACUUCGGUAAACAAGAAGAAAUUCCUUCUAAAAUAAUAACUAGACAACCUAAGGGGGGGUGAAUUGAGAUUUUUAAAGCUUAUACUACACAAACCACACAAUAAUUUAAUUUAAUGCCUUAAUGAAAUAAAAAACAAUAAAUUUAACAAUACUAAAAAAUAAAAGAGUAAGAGAAGAGAGAGCAAACACAAAGAUUUUUACGUGGUUUGGCCAACUGACCUGCCCAAGUGAAGUCUCUCUGCAAAAGCAAUUGCGGAGAAUAAUGCCACAAUAACGAGCUGUAAAGGACUGAACAUCGCUUCCAAGGUGUUAAUGGACCUUUACAACAAGAGAUUUUUCCCAAUCUCUUCAUCUAUGUGGUUUGUUAUCAUCAAAAUCAACAUUUUAUAUCCAUAUAGGCUAACAUUCUCCCUCUUUUUUAUGACGACAAAACACAUUAUAAAAUUUUGAUUUAGUUAUGAAAAAAAACUCCCCCUUAAUAAUUGCAAGAUUAAAAACUGAUUUAAAAAGCCCCCUACAUGAAUGCAUAUUUUCCAUAACAAAUAGUUAUAUAUCAUAUCUCCCCUUUCAUCAUAAAAAAGAGUAGAAUACUCCGCUUGAGUAUAUUAUAAGUUUAAACAAUUUGCCAAUCAGCUAAAUUAACAAUUUUAAAUACAUGUAUUCUUCUCCCCCUUAUCAUAAAAAAGAAAACUUAGUGGAAAAGAAAAAGAGUAGCAAAUUUGUUACCCAUGUUGUCCAAGUAAAAAUUUCGACAGAAUCUCUCCCUGUCAACAAGCAUCACCUCAAAUACAAGUUUAGUAAUAUCACUCCCAAAUUAUCAUAAAUCAUGAUACAAACCAACGUCAUAAACAAAUCAUCACACAAUCCAUCAACAAUAAAAAGAUCAUAAACCAUCAUUACAUCAAUUAUCAAAUUAGCAACUUACAACAUAAAAUCAUCAUCUAAAACAACCAUGUAAUCAAAUCAUCACAAUAAUCACAAAUCAACCAUCAAAAGAAUGCUCAAAGUACAUGUUAUUCUCCCCCUUUUGACAUCAUCAAAAUGGUAUAUUACUUUGUCGCCCCUUUUUGAUAUCAUCUAAAACAAGUAAUGCAUAUUCAACAAUACAUCAAUAAAGUACAAAAAAUGCAUCCAUUUACCAAUCAUAGAUCGUAUAAGAUCAAACUUUAUCAAAUGCAAUGUAAUCAUCAAAGCACAUUCUUUAUCAUCAAAACUUAAGCAAAGCAUAAGUACAUAAUGGCAAUAUAUAGAUCAUCAAAAUCAACAUAGGCAUUAAGAUAAGCCAUCAUUAUCAGCUAAAAGAAUAAGUGAUCAAAUUCAUAAGUACAAUAAGUCAUAUAUGCCAAUUUUAUAAAUGAAUGAUGAUAUAACACAAUCAAUGGCACAAGAAUUCACACAUACAUAAGUGAUGAACAAUUAAUACUUAGUGAUGGAUAAUGAUUUAGAAAUAUCAAAUGAGAAAAAAAACAUAAAGAUAAUGGAUUUUUGUGAGAUAAAUGUUUGUGUUUGGCUUUUUGGAGAGAGUGUGAUGAACAAAUAAGAAAGAUGAAUAAAUGACAUGAAACAUAAUGAUAGAUGUUGUGCAAAUUUUAAUAUACUCGCAAGCGCAUGAAUCUAUUGUAAUAUAGACUAAUGGUGACGAGUGUCAAUCCCACGAAGAGGUGGAUUUUAAUUAUAUGUAGAAUUAAUUUUGUACAUGGGUGGUUGGAAUUGUGGUGGAAGUGAUUUAAAUUAUCCUAAAAUUGGAAUUGAAAUGACGAUAAUAAAUUCUAAAAUUGGAAUUGCAAUGGCGAGAAUAAAUUGAAGCGAAUUCUAUUGAGAUGACGUACUUGGGUAUCUGGAUCCGUAUCAACAUGCAUCAUGGGCUAAAUAUUUCUUAUUAAUACCAAUUAAAUCAUGAGGGGGGAAUCCACACCUCAUGAACCACACUCUAAUCAAUAUGGUGCUAAGGGCUUAUCGUGCUAAAUAAUAAUAACCUUGUACUAGGGGGCCGGUGAAACUAAGGCGGUACUAGACAAGAUUAGUAUUAUUUGUCGAUGAGAAGUCAAAACAUCCACAAAAAAUUAGAGGGGAAUAUAAAGUAAAUUUACCAAAUAAAGCCCAUGACACAUGUUGAGACUUCACCUUCAACCCAAGCUUGAAAGGAAAUUAGCCACUCAUAAUUGAACUAGGGGCAAAAUGGGAAUUUAUUAAAAUACGUAGAAAAUACAAGAUGGAGAAGGAAUUACAGAAAAUGGAGUCCAAAGUUGGAUUCAGAGAUAUCAAAUUAAAGGGGGAGGCCCCCUUUUUAUAGAUACAUGGAGUAAAUAAUGGCCAUCGGAUUAAAAACAGUUUGGACGCUCAGGAUUGCGCCACGUCAUCAGUCAACAGUACGCGGUUUGACCACGCGAAUGAACAGUAACACGGUUUGACCCGGGUUGAACAGUAACGCGGUUUGGUUGAAAAUAAUUCUGUGUGAUGCAUGUACCGUACGUGAGAUUUUUCGUCCACUGAUAUGCUGCCACGUCACCAUCAACAGUACAUAAGAAUUUUAGUCCAACAGGAUCGUGACACCUCAUCAGUCAAUGCCACAUCAUCGGUCAAUGCCACGUCAUCGAUCCGUCUAUGUGAACAGUGUCGUGAACAGUAACGUAUACAGUACCGUACACGUGAAUAGUACCGUACAUGUGAAUAGUAUCAUUUUUCCUUUUAUGCUCCUCCUAAGGUUUUCGACUGUCCUGAGUUCAAAAGUGAUGUCUGUGUUGCCGUCUGAUCUCUCCUUUAUUGUGAAAUGACUAUAAUGCCCCUAAAAUACAUAAAAUACUUAAUUAAAAUAAAACACAUGUAAUUAAAUCAUAAGAAGGUUAAAUACAUAAAAGUAAGGGUUGUUAGUAAAACUUGAAAUGUAAAAUGACAGUUUUCUCCUUUAUAAAUAUGCAUUUUCUAACACUCAACAAUAGACAAUUAAAAAGAUGAAAUCAAAGAUUAUAUAAUCAUCAAAAUCAAACAAAGGCAUCAUGAUAAGUUGACAUGCUACCAUAAUAUAUAUCUAACCACGCAUCAUGAUUACACACAAUAAUAAUUAAUUAUGUAAACAUACGAGCAUGCUUUUGUAAAUUCAAGCUAUUAUCAAUCCAUCGUGAUUCCUUAAACAAAAUCAAUAUGGCAAGCAUUGUUACCGAAACAAUUAAAUAAUCUUGCCUCAUCUUUUUCUCCUAGAUCAUGAUCAAGUAAUUAUCCUCACAAGUUUUCAUCAAGGAACUCUCCACCAUUUCUUGAUUAUGGUGCCUAUAAAAAAUAUUCAAAUUGUUCCCUUUAGUACCCAAAUACUUUUGGGUCCUUGAGUGUUAGCAAUGGUUCCUUUUGGAACCCAAACACAUUUUACUCCAUAAUAUGCAUUUAUUUUAACUCGACAUCCAAGAUUCAUGUGAUUAUUUUGAUUGCAAUAGUGACAUACAACAUGAUUGCUAAUAGAGGUACUCUUCACAAAGUAAUUCUUAUAAAACUUUUGUUUCAAAUUUGGCUUAUAACCAAUGUCUCCUUUGGUAAACACACAUUUUUGUGAAUUAAGCAAGUUAUCCAACAACUUUUUCUCAUUUGUAAAUUUUAAGACAACAUCAUUAAGUUCAAUAUUCUUUUUCUUGAGCAUUUUAUUUUCCUUUUUCAAAUCAUAUACAUGUGAUUCUAUAUGUUCAUGUGAAGUGUUAUGUUUCUCAUUUGAUAAUGCAACUCUAUCAUGCAAUGAUUAUUUCUAAUUAUAGACAUGUAAUCUUUGCAUUUAAAGAUUAAUUUUCAUUUAUGAGCUCUACCAUUUUCUUUUUAAGACAUGCAUUCUUUUUACUAGUUUUCAUUCAUUCAUCAUACAAUCCUUUAAAAGCAUAAGAUAAUUCAUCAUAAGUAGGAAGAUCAUUUACCUCAUCAAGUUCAUCAUCUCUUAUUGCCACAAGUGCUAGGUUUGACACUUCUUGCGAAUCUUCUUCAUCACUUGAUUCUUCAUCGCUAUCAUCCCAAGUAGCCACCAUAACUUUCUUCAUGAGUUUGUUAAGAAGUGGACACUCCGAUCUUAUAUGGCCAAGCUUUUUGCAUUCAAAACAAACAAUUGGCUGCUUCUUCCCUUUAUUUACCUUAAGGUUUUCUCUCAUGAGAUCUUUAAACUUUCUUCUCUUGAUUUGCUUCUUGAAGAUCCUUUUAAACUUUAUAGUAAUCAUUUCAAUGCCUUCAUCUUCAAAGUCACUUCCAUCAUCAUCACUUUCAACUAUAGAAGAUUUAAAAGCAAAGCUCUUCUUUUUUUUUUUUUUAUCUUUAUCAAUUCUUUCAUUAGCUAUAUCUUCUUCAUAUGAGAUAAGUGAACCAAUAAGAUCAUCAAGAGAUAAAGUAUUAAGAUUUUUUGCUUCUUCUAUAGCCGUUCUCUUUGGUCUCCACUUUUUCGGCAAUGAUCUAAUAAUUUUCUUCACUUUUUCACAAUGACUAAAUGUCUUUCCUAGUGCUUCAAGAGAAUUCACAAUAUUGGUAAAUCUAGUGUACACAUCAUGAACACUCUCAUAUGAUUCCAUUUGAAACAUUUCAUAUUGCCUAGUGAAUCUACUAAUUUUGCACUCCUUAACUUGAUUUGUUCCCUCAUAUACAACUUUAAUUUUCUUCCAAAUUUCAUAAGCACUUUCACAAUUAGAAACUCUAUGAAAUUAUUUCUUAUCUAAAGCACAAAAUAGAGCAUGAAGGUUUUGGAAUAUCAUCUUCUACUUCAUUUUUAGCUAUAAGCAUGAAUUUACCAUCACAAACAACUUCCCAGAUUUUAUAUUCUAAAGCUUACAAAUAAAUUUUCAUCCUAGUUUUCUAAUAUGGGUAGUCAUUACCAUCAAAGAAUGGUGGCCUAGUUGUGGAUUGUCUUUCCCUGAAGGUAGAGUUAUUUUGAGUUGCCAUGGAUCUUUUACUCUAGACGAUUAAGUCCUAAUAAGAGAACCUUGCUCUGAUACUAAAUGAAAUAAUAACUAGGCAACCCAAGAGGGGGGUGAAUUGAGAUUUUUAAAACUUAAACUAAACAAAUCACACAACAAUUUAAUCUAAUGCCUUAAUGAAAUAAAAAAAUAAAUUUAACAAUACUAAAAAAUAAAAGAGUAAGAGAAGAGAGAGCAAACACAAAGACUUUUACUUGGUUCGGCCAACCCCGCCUACGUCCACGUCUCCAAGAUCACCGGGCUUGAGGAUUUCACUAUCCAAGCCUCCCAAGGCUUCAAAUGCUUACAAUUGACUUCUAAGGUGUCAAUAGACCUUUACAACAAGAGAUUAUCCUCAAUCUCUUCACCCAAGUGUAUUCCAACACUUACAACCUCUCAACUUGAUUUUACAAAAAUGAAUACAAAUAAAUUUUCCUCACACAAUGUGUUUGAUUACAAAUAAAAGCUCAAUGUGUGUAAAUAAAUGAAAUGAAUACAAAUUUUAUGCUCGGAUCGCAGGGAAUGGCCCAAUCAUAACAAUGGUUGUAUCUAUAAAAUGAAUUUGAUUUGAGUCAAUUUAUAGUUGAAGAAGAAAACUAGCUAUUAUUGACUUUUUGGUGACAUCCGGUUUGCCGCUUUGUGUUAACUGGCUUGCCGCUUUAUGUUACCGUUCUGUUCAAAGAUUUGAAUUAUUGCACAUUCGAUUUGUCGCUUUUCAUUUCUAGUUAGUCGCUUUUACUCCAGAGAGCUUCUUCUUCAUAACCGGUUUGCCGCUUUGAUAAAUCCGGCUAGCCGCUUGCUACAGUGAAACAACUAUUUUCUAAAAUUACAGUUUUGCCUAACACUUUAUAAAAUUAUACUAUGACCUAAAUAUUUAUAAAAUUUACAAAUAGGUCCAUUUCAGAAUUUUUAACAAUAUUUGUUGAUUCAAGUUCUCAAACUUCUCAAUUAAACAUAAACUUGAUAACAACUAAUUNNNNNNNNNNNNNNNNNNNNNNNNNNNNNNNNNNNNNNNNNNNNNNNNNNNNNNNNNNNNNNNNNNNNNNNNNNNNNNNNNNNNNNNNNNNNNNNNNNNNNNNNNNNNNNNNNNNNNNNNNNNNNNNNNNNNNNNNNNNNNNNNNNNNNNNNNNNNNNNNNNNNNNNNNNNNNNNNNNNNNNNNNNNNNNNNNNNNNNNNNNNNNNNNNNNNNNNNNNNNNNNNNNNNNNNNNNNNNNNNNNNNNNNNNNNNNNNNNNNNNNNNNNNNNNNNNNNNNNNNNNNNNNNNNNNNNNNNNNNNNNNNNNNNNNNNNNNNNNNNNNNNNNNNNNNNNNNNNNNNNNNNNNNNNNNNNNNNNNNNNNNNNNNNNNNNNNNNNNNNNNNNNNNNNNNNNNNNNNNNNNNNNNNNNNNNNNNNNNNNNNNNNNNNNNNNNNNNNNNNNNNNNNNNNNNNNNNNNNNNNNNNNNNNNNNNNNNNNNNNNNNNNNNNNNNNNNNNNNNNNNNNNNNNNNNNNNNNNNNNNNNNNNNNNNNNNNNNNNNNNNNNNNNNNNNNNNNNNNNNNNNNNNNNNNNNNNNNNNNNNNNNNNNNNNNNNNNNNNNNNNNNNNNNNNNNNNNNNNNNNNNNNNNNNNNNNNNNNNNNNNNNNNNNNNNNNNNNNNNNNNNNNNNNNNNNNNNNNNNNNNNNNNNNNNNNNNNNNNNNNNNNNNNNNNNNNNNNNNNNNNNNNNNNNNNNNNNNNNNNNNNNNNNNNNNNNNNNNNNNNNNNNNNNNNNNNNNNNNNNNNNNNNNNNNNNNNNNNNNNNNNNNNNNNNNNNNNNNNNNNNNNNNNNNNNNNNNNNNNNNNNNNNNNNNNNNNNNNNNNNNNNNNNNNNNNNNNNNNNNNNNNNNNNCAUUUUCAGAUUUUUAAACAAUAUUUGUUGAUUUCAAAGUUCUCACCAACUUCUCAAUUUAAACCAUAAACUUGAUAACAACUAAUUUCAUAAAAUCAUUUUCUUGUUAUAAAAACAUAACGUGUAAUUCUUUGUUUAUCCAAAACAUGUGGUUUGUUCUCAUCAAAAUUAAUAUUUUAUAGCCAUAUAGGCUAACACCUUCUUCCUUAAGGUGGAAAAAAAAAGACAAGUGAGAAUCAAAGAGAACAAACAUAGAAAGAGAAAAAAAUUGCUUCGAACAUUUUUUUUAAAGAAAAUAAUAUCUUUCAAUCAUUCAACUCUGUGAAUAAGUACAAAAGGUGGGCUGGUAUGUUAUCCAACCAUAAUGUAAAAUCAUUGUAGUCUAAGGUUAACUUAGCAAGUGUGUGAGCAAAGCCAUCACAAGCUCUUGGCGUGUGUUGUACUAUUACUUGUUUAAACCUCUUCAUCAUCUGUUGGACAUAAGAUGCAGUCCAAAAUAUCUUAGCCUUUGUGCUUUUUCUAGCUGAGACUAAACUUGCUACAUCCUAUGAAUCAGUCUGAAUAAUCAAAGAUAAACAUUCUGUGUUUUCAGUUACUUUGAACUUGAGCAAAAUUCUAUUUGAUUUUUCUCUAUUUCAAUAUUUUUAUUCGUUCUUUUGUAUUUUUUUUAAAUUCUGAAACUUUAUUGUUCUUCGUUCUAUGAUUUAGAGUUUUGUAGAACAAGAGAGAUGUAUAAGGUGAAGGGUAUGUUAAUACCAAAACCAAAACCACAACAACAAUUGAGAGUUUAGCAAAUAUAUAGUUUUGGGGACAGGGGCAAAGAUCAAUUAAAGUUGAGAAAAUUGUGCAAAAAUGAAUUAAGAGGCUACUAAAAGAAAUGAUAUGGGCCCAGCAAAGGCAUUCACUAAAGAAAAAAGAAUAUUAAAAAAAAAAUAUAUAAAUAAACAUAUAUAUAAAAAACAAAAAACAAAGAACGGGAGGAGAAACUUAUAUACCAUCAAUAUACCAUCAAACUCUGUUUCCUCAAAGUCAGCUAGGAAUAAAACCUUGGUCAGAUCGUUUUUUUUUUUUUAGUUUCCUUUAAAGCGACAUAAGUCUUCUCACAAGGAUCAAUAAGUUUUCCCACAUGCAAAUCAACAUCCAUAUACUUCCCACCAUGAAUCUUGCAAGUAGGAUUAACCACAAUCUUUCUUCCCAUAAGUGGGCCACUUGCUUAACAGCAUCAGCCUUUUUUGCAGGUCGUUCCCUAGUAAUCUUGCUUGCCUCAUUAGCUUGCUUCUUAAUAAGAAUACUUCCUUUGAGCUUUCUUUUUUCCUUAUCUUAUAAUUUCGUAGACCAUAUAAAGGAGACCUUGGAUUUAAUUUGGGCUCUUUAGCCUUGAUAUCAAUAAGGAUCCUCUUCAGAAGAGGAAUAUCUUCUUCAGCCACAUAUAAAUUGAAUAUUAUCCUUGUAUCCCUAUUUAUUUCAUCAUUGCUAGAAAGGCAAGACAACCCAAGGGGAAAAAUAACAUAACUAUAAUACAAGGGAAAUGUUUGCCCUAAAAGCUCCUCUCCAUAUAAGCCAUAGGGGCACCUAACAAGGGCAGAUAAACAAAAGGCUUAUCUAAUACAAUAUAUACUGAGUAAAUGGAAAUUAAUACAUAUGCAUAGCAAAUCAAAAGAAAAAAAACUCAUGAAGGGUUUUCCAAAAAGCAUAGCUCAGUGUGUAAGACUCCCUAUAUUUUCUCCUAGACUAAUAGCCUGUAACAAUCAUAUGAUGAUGAAGCAUCCACUUCCUAAAUGAUCCUUCUUUGAAGUAGUAGAGAUUUUAUAAAAACUCCCUUAUUUCCUCGAACCUUAUAGUAGGAUACCAUAAGUCUUUCUCACCUUUAGAUCCACAAUUAAGCUUAAGCUUACAACAAACUAAAAAUGCGUAUAAUGAGAGAAAGUGAGGCCCCUUAAGAGCCAAAUUUAAUUAUAGCAAAAGCUUGCAAAAGUGAUAAAAUGCAGAGGUGAUUAUUAAUGUUGAAGCCCAUACUUAAUAAAAAAUUCUAUAACCAAAAGAGAAAUAUAGAAUGACAUUACCUUAAUUUGCUGGCGAUAAAGCAAGAUUGAUUUCCUAUCAAUCCCAAGAUCCAUAAUUGUUGAGUGCUGGAGAAUGUAUAUUUAUAAAGGGUAAAAUCAUCAUUUUGCACUCUAAGUCUCACUAACAUUUCUACUUUUAUGUAUUUAAGUUCUUUAAACUUUCAUUGUGUGUGUUUUAUUAACAUUUGAGUAUUUUACGAAUUUUAGGGCAUUUUGGUCAUUUCACAAUUAACGUGAAAUCAUACAGUAAAACAAAUAAUGUUUUUGAGUUUAGAAGAGCUAAAACCUUAUGGGCAUGAAGGGUAAAAUCAUAAUUUUAGGAUUUUGGUGGGGCCCAACUGACGUGCCAUUGAUUAAUGAUGUGGCAACAUCCUAUUGCAUUGACCGAUGAUAUGGCAACAUUCUAUUGGAGUGAAAAAUGAGCUUACGAUACAUGCAAUACAUUAAAUCAAUGCUAGUUGACUUUUAUGUUGACCGAUGACGUGGCAACAUAUUAUUAGACUAAAAAGCAUGCGUAUGUUACAUGCAAUUCACUGAAUCAUAUCCUCGGUGAAGUGUUCCAUCAAUCAGAGCUUGCAACGUGGCACAAUCAUGAGCGUCCGAGUUAUUUUCAUCUAAUGACUAUAAUUUACUAGUUGUAUCUAUAGAUAGGGCAUACCCCUAAUUCGACACCUUUGAAUCCAAAUUUGAGCUCUAUUUUGUGCAAUUCUUUUUAUAUCUUGUAUUUUCUAUGUAUUUUAAUAAAAUUACCAUUUUACUCCUAGUUCAAUUAUGAGUGGUUAAUUUAAUUUCAAACUUGGGUUGAAGGUGAAGUCUUAACAUGAUUCAUGAACUUAAUUUGGUAAGUUUAUUAACUCUUUCUGAUUUAUGUGGAUUAUUUUACUCAUCGUUAAUAGACAAUAAUAAUCUUGUCUAGAUUUUGCACGGUAUUCCGGCUCCCUAUUGCAAGAUCAUUACUGUUUGGCGUGAUGAGUACUUUAGACAACUCAAGGAAAUAUAAGGUGGUAUCUAUAGUAUCCAAUUAAAACUUGUGGUAAACUCAAUAAAGGUAGAAUGAUGAGUUAACAUCCCACUUUUUGCAUUAUGUGUUUUCAUUUUGUUGUUUGCCAUCCAUGCAUCUUAUUUUUGCUAGAUUAAUUUUUUUAUUUAGUAUAUUGUGAUUUGUUACCCUGGUUAAGUGGCGGAUAACAGUAUUUGUGGCUAUUAAAGUCGGUUCCAUUAGUUUUUUCACAGUAACUGACAUUCUCAAGCCAAAGUAUGGAUAGGCACGCAAUUUGUUGAGUGUUAGAAAAUUCAUAUUUAUAAAGGAGAAAACCGUCAUUUUACAUUUCAAGUCUUACUAACAACCCUUACUUUUAUGUAUUUAACCUUCUUGUGAUUUAAUUACAUGUGUUUUAUUUUAAUUAAGUAUUUUAUGUAUUUUAGGGGCAUUAUAGUCAUUUCACAAUAAAGGAGAGAUCAGACGGCAAAAUAGAAAUCACUUUUAAACUCAAGACGGUCGAAAACCUUAGGAGCAGCAUAAAAGGAAAAAUGGCACUAUUCACAUGUACGGUACUAUUCAUGUGUACGGUACUGUCUACGUUACUGUUCACGACACUGUUCACAUAGACAUAUCGAUGACGUGGCAUUGACUGAUGAUGUGGCAUUGACUGAUGAGGUGUCACGAUCCUGUUGGGCUAAAAUUCUUUUGUAUUGUUGAUGGUGACGUGGCAGCAUAUCAGUAGAUGAAAAAUCUCGCGUACGGUACAUGUAUCACACAGGAUUAUUUUCAACCAAACCGCGUUACUGUUCAUCCGGGUCAAACCGUGUUACUGUUCAUCCGCGUGGUCAAACCGUGGACUGUUGACUGAUGACGUGGCGCAAUCCUGAGCGUCCAAACUGUUUUUAAUCCGAUGGCCAUGAUUUACUCCAUGUAUCUAUAAAAAGGGGGCCUCCCCCCCUAAUUUGAUAUCUCUGAAUCCAUUUUUGGGAUCCAUUUUCUGUAAUUCCCUUUCCAUCUUGUAUUUUCUUCGUAUUUUAAUAAAUUCCCAUUUUGCCCCUAGUUCAAUUAUGAGUGGCUAAUUUUCUUUCAAGCUUGGGUUGAAGGUGAAGUCUCAACAUGUGUCAUGGGCUUUAUUUGGUAAAUUUAUUUUCUCUUCCCCUCUAGUUUUUGUGGAUGUUUUGACUUCUCGUCGACAAAUAAUACUAAUCUUGUCUAGUACUGCCUUGGUUUCACCGGCCCUCUAGUACAAGGUUAUUAUUAUUUGGCACGAUAAGCCCUUAGCACCAUAUUGAUUAGAGCGUGGUUCAUGAGAUGUGGAUUCCCCCCUCAUGAUUUAAUUGGUAUUAAUACGGAUUAUUUAGCCCAUGAUGCAUGUUGAUACGGAUCCAGAUACCCAAGUACGUCAUUUCAAUAGAUUUCGCUUCAAUUUAUUCUCGCCAUUGCAAUUCCAAUAUUAGAAUUUAUUAUCGCCAUCUCAAUUCCAAUUUUAGGAUAAUUUAAAUCACUUCCACCACAAUUUCAACCACCCAUUUACAAAAUUAAUUCUACAUAUAAUUAAAAUCCACCUCCUCGUGGGAUCAACACUCGUCACCAUUGAUCUAUACUACAAUAGAUUCGUGCGCUUGCGAGUUCAACAAAAUUUGCACAAGUUUUUGGCGCCGUUGCCGGGGAGGUAAGUAAUUUUAAUUCAUAGAAUUAAUUUUUGUGAAUAAUUUCUUUUAUUUUUUUUCUUGUAUUUUUUUUAUUAAAAAAAAAGAAAAAGAAAAAAAAAAGUGAAUCUACAUUUAAAGGUUAGUAUUUCUUUUCUCUUUCUCUUCUUUAAAAUUCUGUAAUUUAAUUUUCAAUUUAUUUUUCUUUGUAAUUUAUUUAUUUAUUUUUAAUUUAAUUUUUAGUUAAUUUAUUUCACGUAUUUAUUUUUGUGUAUUUUUAUAGAAAGGUUGUAAUAGCGCAAUAAGGUUAGUAUCGUAAUUUCUCCCUCUUCUUUAUUUUUAUUUGUUUUAUUCCCAUCUUUAUUUUUAUUUUAUUUGUUUUGCAUGCAUGGUCGUAGGUCAUUAUUACCUAAUCUUGAACCUAUAGACCUUGAACUUGAGAAAACACUUCGCACACAAAAGCACAUUAAAAAUAAAUUUGGAAUGGAUUUACAAGCACCACAAGAGAGGCCAUUUAAAGACUAUUUUUGUCCCUUAGCUAAUUUGAGCACAUCAUGCAUAAGAUACCCAAAUGUAGCUGCUAGAAGUUUUGAACUAAAACCUAGUGUGCUAAAUUGUCUCCCCACAUUCUAUGGCUUAGAAAAUGAGGACCCAUAUAAUCAUCUGAAUGAUUUUCAUGCCAUUUGUCAAACUUUUAAAUAUGAAAAUUUUUCAGACGAUGAUGUUAAACUCAGAUUAUUCCCAUUUUCUUUAAAGGAUAGAGCUCGUUCAUGGCUUAAUACUUUGCCUGCUAAUAGCAUUACAUAAUAGGAACAAAUGGUAACUAAAUUUUUGAAUAAAUAUUUCCCAGUGCAUAAAACCAAUGCUAUUUGCAGGGAAAUUUCAGAGUUUACACAGAGAGAAGACGAGCAAUUUUUCGAAACAUGGGAGCGAUUCAAUGGGCUACUCUUGAAGUGUCCACAUCAUGGGUACGAGAAAUGGCACCAAUGCCAAUACUUUUUGGAGGGAUUACUACCAAAUGUGCAAGAAUGGCUAAUGGCAACAAGUGGAGGAGAGCUAAUGUCAAAAAGUGCAUCAGAGAUUUGGGAAUUUUUCCAGCGACAAGCAGAUAAUUCCCAACAACGGAGUCGAUCACUCAGGAAUACUAGAAGAAUUAAGGGAGUAAAUGAGGUUCAAAUUGGCGAGUCAACUUUGGGAAUCAAAGAAGUCAAGGAGAUGGUUGAAGGUCUUGCUCGACAAAUAGCAUCGUUAUCGACUGCUAAAUCAACAGAAUCACAUGACCUUGACUCAUACUCAGAUCAAGCCAAUGCCAUAGGUGUAAGAAGAAAACCAUCGAAUUACAACCCAUACUCCAACACAUAUAAUCCUGGAUGGAGAGACCACCCCAAUUUUUCAUGGUCUCAAGGAUUCCAACAGAAUGGACCAGCAGCUCCAGCUCCACCAAUGCAACCAAUUCCGCAAAUUCCUCAAGCCUCUCAGCCACCAUUUAGACCAUACAAUCAGCACCAGAACCAGAACUACACUCAGCCCAGACCAUGGGAGGAUGCAUUCCAGAAUUUCAAGAAUGUUACUCACUCCACGAUUGAGCAACAGAACCACACCAUUGAUGGACUACGAAAUGAGUUAAGAGCAGGCUUCAAUUCACAAGCCCAAUCAGUUUCAAGCCUUGAGAAGAUGGUGGGACAACUUGCUUCUUCAGUUCAGACCUUGGCAAUGACCGUUGAGAAAGGUAAAUUUCCAAGUCAACCAGUGCCUAACCCUAAAGGAGUGCAUGAAGCAAGUACCAGUUCACCACAGUAGCAUGGAGAGGUCAAAGCAGUAAUGACCUUGCGAAAAGGAAAAGAAGUCGACAACAAAGUGGAGAUGCCGGUGACAAAAGAAAAUCAAAUUGUACCUGUGAAUGUUGAGGAAUCAUCACAGGAGGAGAAAGAAGAAACCAACCGACGAGAAUACGUUCCGAAAGCUCCAUUUCCUCAGAGGUUAGCGAAAGGAAAAAAGGGAAAAUCCACAGGUGAGAUUCUUGAAAUCUUCAAACAGGUAAGUGUUAACAUCCCUUUGCUUGAUGCUAUAAAACAAGUUCCAUCUUAUGCCAAGUUUCUUAAAGACCUUUGUACUAAAAAAAGAAAUAUGCAUGUUCAAAAGAAGGCAUUUUUAACAGAAAACGUUAGUUCUAUCCUCCAACAUAAAAUUCCUUUAAAAUGCAAAGACCCAGGCUCCCCCACUAUCUCAUGUAGUAUAGGGAACCACACAAUUGAGAAUGCUUUGUUGGAUUUAGGAGCUAGUGUAAAUCUUUUGCCUUACUCUGUAUUCGUGAAACUUGGACUGGGAGAAUUACACCCAACUCCAGUGGUGUUACAGCUUGCAGAUCGGUCCACAAAAAUACCUCGUGGUAUUGUGGAGGACGUGCUUAUCCAGGUAGACAAAUUUUAUUUUCCUGUUGAUUUCAUUGUAAUUGACACUCAACCAAUACAGGAUUCAAGGAAGCACAUCCCCAUUAUUCUAGGCCGACCUUUCUUGGCAACUGCGGAUGCUCACAUUCAAUGCAGGACUGGAAAUAUGCAAUUGUCUUUCGGCAACAUGACUAUGGAGCUGAACAUCUUCAACAUUGCCAAACAACCUCACAAUGCAGAUGAUGGAAUUGUUGAUGUGGAUUUAAUUGAAACAUUAGUUGAUGAUACUUUUGUUUCAAACCUUAGUGAUGAUCCUUUACAAACAUGUUUAACUCACUUUGGUUUUGAUUUUGAUAUUGACAGAUCAGUUGAUGAGGUCAACGCCCUGCUUGACUCAGCACCAUCUAUGGACACUAAUAAAUGGAAGUCAAGAGUUGAACAACUAGCACCAUCAGAGAAGAAACUCAUCCCAUCAUCAGAAUCACCACCGAAACUCGAGCUCAAACCAUUACCCAACACAUUGGAAUAUGCAGUUUUGGGAGAAGAAAGUACUCUACCGGUAAUCAUCUCAGCAUCCCUCAAUGACGAACAAAAAGGUAAGUUGUUGGAUGUUUUGAAAGAGCACAAAGGGGCAUUAGGAUGGACCAUAGCAGACAUUAAAGGUAUAAACCCAGUAGACUGCAUGCAUUACAUUCACCUUGAUGAAUAUGCUAAAACUACUAGGGAGAUGCAACGUCGGUUAAAUCCUAACAUGAAAGAAGUUGUUAGAACUGAAGUCCUUAAGCUAUUAGAUGCAGGUAUCAUUUAUCCAAUUUCUGAUAGUUCAUGGGUCAGUCCUGUGCAAGUUGUCCCUAAAAAGUCAGGAGUCACAGUAGUUACCAAUGCUGAUAAUGAAUUGAUACCCACUAGAGUAACUACAGGAUGGCGUGCAUGCAUUGAUUAUAGGAAGUUGAAUUCUGUCACACGUAAAGACCAUUUUCCUUUACCAUUUAUUGAUCAAAUGCUUGAUAGAUUAGCAGGCCAUGAAUUUUAUUGCUUUCUAGAUGGCUACUCAGGAUAUAAUCAGAUUCCCAUAGCACCAAAAGAUCAAGAAAAAACUACUUUCACUUGCCCUUUUGGCACAUUUGCAUAUAGGAGAAUGUCAUUUGGAUUAUGCAAUGCACCUGCUACAUUUCAACGAUGCAUGUUGAGUAUUUUUUCUGAUAUAGUUGAACGAUUCCUUGAAGUCUUUAUGGAUGAUUUUUCUGUCUUUGGUGAUUCAUUUGAUCAAUGUUUACAUCAUCUAACACUAGUUCUGCAGAGAUGUGUCAAGAAGAACUUGGUCUUAAAUUGGGAGAAAUGCCAUUUUAUAGUAAAACAAAGUAUUGUUCUCGGUCACAUCAUUUCAAGCAAAGCUAUUGAGGUUGACAAAGCCAAGGUGGAUCUCAUUUCUAAUCUUCCUCCACCCAAAACAGUCAAAGAAGUAAGAUCUUUCCUUGGGCAUGCUGGUUUCUAUAGACGUUUCAUUAAAGAUUUUAGCAAAGUUUCUGGACCCUUAUGCAAUUUACUUGCUAAAGAUGUACCUUUUAUCUUUAAUGAUUCAUGUCUUAUGGCGUUUGAAAAAUUAAAACAGUUGUUGACAUCAUCACCCAUCAUUCAGGCCCCGAACUGGAGCUUACCAUUUGAACUUAUGUGUGAUGCAUCUGAUUAUGCAGUAGGAGCAGUAUUAGGACAAAGAGUUGAUCGAAUUCCCCAUGUUAUUUAUUAUGCUAGUAUGACAUUGAAUGAUGCACAGUUGAACUAUUCAACUACUGAAAAAGAAAUGCUAGCAGUAGUGUUUGCAUUGGAAAAAUUUCGAUCAUAUCUCAUUGGUUGUAAAAUAAUUAUAUUCACGGAUCAUGCUGCUCUUAAAUAUCUUCUCACAAAGAAAGAUGCAAAAGCCAGACUAAUUCGUUGGGUGUUACUUUUGCAGGAAUUUGACAUGGAAUUCAAAGAUAAAAAAGGGACAGAAAAUGUUGUGGCGGACCACCUCUCUCGUCUCCAUUUUGACACAAUUACAGAAUCAUUACCAUUGAAUGAGUCAUUUCCAGAUGAACAAUUAAUGAAUGUGGAAGUAUUACCUUGGUAUGCUGAUAUAGUUAAUUAUCUUGUUACAGGUAAACUUCCAGAGCAUUGGACCAAGCAAGAUAAGACUAAAUUCUUUGCAGAGAUAAAGAAUUUCUUUUGGGAUGACCCGUAUUUGUUCAAGUAUUGUGCAGACCAAAUUGUUAGACGAUGUGUCCCAGAAAGUGAAAUUCAGAAUAUCCUUUCAUUCUGCCAUGAACAAGCUUGUGGAGGCCAUUUCAGUGCUAAGAAAACAGCGACUAAAGUUUUACAAUGUGGUUUCUAUUGGCCAUCUAUAUUUCGAGACGCUUACACUUUCUGUUCUUCAUGUGAUAGGUGUCAACGAAUGGGGAGCAUUACACGAAGGAACAUGAUGCCACUAAAUCCAAUUUUAGUGGUUGAGAUUUUUUAUGUAUGGGGUAUCGACUUCAUGGGACCCUUUCCCCCGUGUUUUGGCCAUCAAUACAUAUUGGUUGCUGUUGACUACGUAUCCAAAUGGGUAGAAGCAAUUUCAUGCAGAACUAAUGAUCACAAAGUGGUGAUAGCAUUUUUGAAAAGCAACAUUGUUUCACGCUUUGGAUUCCCUCGAGCAAUAAUCAGUGAUGGUGGUGCCCACUUUUGUAACAAAGCAUUCAAAGCUCUUUUGACAAAGUAUUCAAUCACACACAAAGUGGCAACCCCAUAUCAUCCGCAAACUAGUGGCCAAGUUGAGAUAUCCAAUCGAGAAAUAAAGCACAUAUUAGAAAAAACGGUGAGGCCAGACAGGAAAGAUUGGUCAUUAAGACUUGAUGAUGCAUUAUGGGCAUAUAGAACGGCUUUCAAGACCCCGAUUGGGAUGUCACCCUACAGACUAGUGUAUGGAAAAGCUUGCCACCUACCUGUGGAACUCGAGCAUCGUGCAUAUUGGGCCAUCAAGAAAUUCAAUUUUGACAUGCAGCAAGCCAGCUCAGAAAGAAGAUUACAGCUGGCAGAACUUGAAGAAAUUCGCAAUGAUGCAUACGAAAAUGCCAAGAUUUACAAGCAACGAAUGAAAGUCUUCCAUGAUAAGCAAAUUAUGAGAAAAUCGUUCACUCCAGGUCAGAAAGUGCUUUUAUUCAAUUCUCGCUUGCACCUAUUCCCAGGUAAGUUACGCUCUCGUUGGUCUGGUCCCUUUAUUGUUCAUACUGUUUUUCCACAUGGGGCAAUUGAAAUUAAGGACCCAAAGAACGGUGUCACGUUUAAAGUUAAUGGUCAAAGAUUAAAGCCAUAUCUAGAAUACCAACCACAUGAAGAAGACACUGAAAUAAAUUUGAGUGACCCACCAAAUUUGAAUUGAUUUUUUUCUUUUCGUUGAUUUGAUUUUUCUUUCUUUCUUUUUAUUAUUAUUCUUUUGCUAAUUGAAAUUGUUUUUGCAUAAGUGUGUUUAUUUUACCAUUAAGUUUUCUCUUAUCAUUUUUAAUCAUGAGUCUCAUACUUAGACCGUUCCUCCUGAACAUUCUUAAACCACUUCAACGUGUCAAAACUCAUCUCAAAAGGCAGAUUCAAUUUUGUAAAACACAACGCAUUUGGGCUCUACAACCACCAGAGUUAGUAGCCUAUGUUGAGGGUUUAAAACGCCAACUCCGAGACAUUGAGAGAAGUGUUUACGACAUCCAGUUGGAGCUUGAGGUAAAUUCAAUAAGAGGACGAUUUUAAUUUUCUUUGUGUGUUUUAAUUUAUUUUUCUGUUUGCGUGCUUUAGUUUGUUACCCCGGUGAAGUGGCGGAUAACGGUACUCCGUGACAAUCAAGUCGGUUACUUCAGUUUCCCAUAAUAACUGAUAUUCUGAGGUGAAGGUAUGGACAGAAAUGAGAUUCUAGCGAAGCUUCACAAGCGAUUCCCUUCACUUCCUCAGAAUGCCCUCUUUACGAUCUAUAAAGCUCGGUCCGAACGCAUGCGAUUAUUCAUGAGGAAUAACAUACCUGCUGACAUCCGUUGGUUAAUCGAGGCUAAAGUACGAUCGGCAGGUGAGUUACCUCCAAAAUUUAUUGCACACAUGCCUGGUUGUGGUAAAGGAAAUUAUGCAAGAAAACGACGAGCUCGAAGAAUUUCUGUUGCUUGUCAUAAGUGUGCCAGAAUGAGUUGCAAUAAAAACCCAUGUUCUUUAGGAAUGAUGUUUGAUAACAGGGAAGAUAAGAUUCAAUUCAUUAGGGAUGGCUUGAAUAAGGAGUCAUUGGAUGAUAUCCUUUUGUCUCUUGAAACGCAUCCCAGUGGAUAUGUGCAAGGAGCGAUUCUCCAGUUAUGGCCAUUAUUCCAGAAAGAGCAUGCACGAUAUAGUCUCGGGAAUCUGACUAUAAACGACCCUGUUUGCCAGUUUAUAAGAAAACUGGAGAGGAAGCCUAUCCUCGACCCAUAGAGGGCGUUCCAGCCGUUUCUGGACGUAAAACCAGAGGAAGAUGUGAGCCACAGUCGCAACUACCUGUAAAUAUCCUUUUACUUUAUUGUUAUUUUAUUUCACUAUUGUCUUAUUGUUUGCAUUAUUGUCUUUAAUAAUUUUAUUAUUGUUUGCUUUUUCCUUUUUACUGUUUUCUUUUUGACUUGCGAGCCACGUGCUUUACGCGUUAUUUGACACUGACAUAUUACCUCAUACACAACCAUGACCCACUAUCACCGAGACUCUUAAAUGUGAUUUCUUUUUUGUCAAGCACUCACAAAUUGUUUUUGAGAAGUAUCACAAUGUCAGCUACUCCAAAUAGACAAUUCAAGAACAUUUGUGUGCUUUCUGGAUUUACAUAUGGCAAACAUAAAGAGUUCGUUGAGGCAGCCAUAGAUCUUGGUCGAAGCAUAGCAGCGAGAAAAUUACACUUGGUGUAUGGAGGAGGUAAUCGAGGGUUAUCAAAAAUGGUCUCAAAAGCAGCUUUUAUCAGAGGAAGUCAAGUGUUAGGCAUCAUCCCAAGAGUCUUAAAACCAUUGGGCAGUUCGUCUGACUCAUCAACUGGAGAAGAGUUAGUCGUCUCAGGUAUGCAAGAAAGAAUAACUGAAAUGCUUAAUCAUGCUGAUGCUUUUAUUUUCCUUCCAGGAGAUCUUGCAACACUAGAGGCACUUAUCACGCUAGCAUCUUGGGCCCAUCUG
rnacentral:lncRNA from 1 species